rnacentral:lncRNA from 1 species
UUUUUUUUUUUUUUUGUAGGUUGAUUGUGCAUGAAUUUGUUAAUCAGAUUUAAGUUAUUUUAUUUUGAAGAAAUCUUCAAUUUUUUGUUGUAGGUGAAUUUUUCCUUAAUCUGAAGAUGAUAUUGACAUAUAUUAUAAUAAUUCUCUCGCUUUUUUCUCACACAAAUUAAAGUGUUUGUGUCCGUGCAAAUGUUAAUUAUUAUCCUUUUAAAUUCUUCAUGAAACUUUAGUAAAAUUUAAAUCAGUAUAUAUAUGUGUGAGAGAGAAUACCAAUUUGGAUAUAUUAUACAAAAAUAAUAGAAAUAUUUUUGUAUAACAUUUCUAUUGUUUUUUAUAUUUUUUUUUCAUGUAGGAAUAUAUUUUUUAAAUGGGUCUGAUUAAGGAUUUUAAAAAAGAAAAGAAAAAAUCUAAAUCAGAGUUGAAAUCAAUAGCUACUUCUCUUUCACUCUGAGAUAUGGUGAUUUCAUGUGGUUUGAUUUUAAAUAGUUUGUUUUAUAAAAUACAUCAAAGACACUAAAAUUAUAUUUUUUGCUUUCAGUAUUUUACAAGUGAUACUUUUACAAUUACUCUCAUUUUCCUUUCUCUUUAUAUCUUUUUUGAAAUCCAAAAAUUCUCUAUAAAGGAAGAUAAAAGGAAUGAAUGAAAGACACUAUCAAGAAUGAAAAAUAACAAAAAAAAAAAAAGGUUAUAAUUAAACCUUGUGCUGAUUUUCUUAUAUUUUCUUGAAAUUAACAUUAUCAGUUUACAAGAAGAUUACGACACUACAUAAUUUUUUAAAAAUGUUAUACUGUUUUUAAUUUCAAUAUCUUUAUAGAAGAAGAAUAUAACAAUACUUUUUGCAAUAAUAAGUAUUAUUUGAAUGAUCCUAUGGAAAAUCAAUUCUAGUAAAGAACUUGAACUCAUUAUGAUCAACUCUCACCUAAGUUUAAAAUGGUACUACUAUUUUCCUACCAAUUAUGCAAACAUUCUACUAUUUUCCUCAAUCUCUUUAAGGUUUCUGGUAAGUGAUUCAAUAAUUUACUUUUGGAAAUUAAAUUUUGUACAAGAUAUUGUGCAUGGAUUUGGAUAAAUGUAAUAGCCUUUUCCUAAUUAGAUUCUAUAUUUGUAAUCCUUAAAUGUAGUAUAUAAAUAUCAAAUGGCAAAUCUUAUAACUAAAGUUUAUCAAGAAAAUCCUAUAACUAAAAAGGAGAAUUCGAAGUCCUUUUAACUUUAAAUCUUUAAUUCAUCUCUAAAAACUAACCUAUUUUUUUUUUUGGCUUAAAAAUAUUUAAAGAUGGAAAGAGGCAGAAGAGAGAAGGCAAUAAUAUUACUGGUUGCGACUCUUUCAACAUGUUUCUCUGCUUAUGGACAAGAAAUGAUCACUGAUCCAAAAGAAGGUAAUUUAAUUAUUUCCUCCUCUUGUGAUUGUCGAGCUAGUUAAUGAUAUUUGUAAAGGUUAAUUUGGUAGAGUAUAUAAAAAUAAUGCUAAAUAAAGUAUAUUAGUAGUGCUUAUAUUAGUAAUGUUUGCAUUAAUUAUAGAUAGAUUAUUUUUUAUGUAUUGUUUGAUUUGGUGCAUUAAAAAUAACAUGCAUUGCAUAAAAAGUUUUAUUUACAAAUAUACCCUUCAUAAUUAUGAUGAAAAAGAUGUAAAAAAUGGUUAUAAGGGACAAUUGUGUCUUUAACCAUUCUAUUACAUGCAUUAAAACUAGGGGUAUUCACAAUUUGGAUAAAAACCGAUCCAAACUGGAAAAUCAAACCAAACCGAUUGUUGUGCCGUAAUUUUCCUAUCUUUAGAAAAGUUACUUUUGAAAUGUUUUAAGUAUAAAACAAUUUGAGAAAUAUACUUAGAAAGGAGUCGCCACUUAAUUUUUUAAAGAAAUUAAGAUAAGUUAAUUUAAAAGGGCUUUAACAGAUAAACCUUUAAAAAUUUAGAGAAAAUGGGUAAGAAGUUCUUAUUUCUACUCUAAGAAGGUAUUAGCACUUAAAGUAGCCGCUAACCUGCGGUUAUCCUACGACUUGACAAAAAUAAUUUUUUUGACUAAUUCUUUGGGAAAAUGAUUUAACAUAAAAAUAACAAUUUAUAAUAUUUGAUUAAUUUUAAGAAAAUGAUUAAAUAAAUGACACAUUUUAUAUUAUAUUAUUUUUUUUAGAGAAAGGGAUCCAAAAUGGAACAUUUGACUCGAAAUACAAGUGAUUAGAAUUUUAAUAAAACUAGAUUAAUUAGAAUUUAUUUGACUUAUUUUUUUAUUUUAUUUUUUUAAUAAUAAUUUAAACCAAAUUGGUUUGAACAUUGAAACCAUUUAAAAUUAAUUGAGGAAUAAAAGUUUUGACUAACCUUUUGAGAAAAUGACCAAGUAUGUAUUUUUUUUUUUAAUUGAUUGAAAAAGUUGACUAACAUUUUCCAAGUUUAUUUGAGAAAAAUACUUUAACUUGAAAACAAUUUUAAAAAUAAGUAAAUGUGAUUAAGUUAAAACCAUUAAAGAACAUAUUUAAUUUUAUUUAAGAACAAAAGGUUUAACUUAAUUAAAUAUAAAAAAAUUGAUCGGCUACUUGAUAAAUAAAAUAGAUGAAUAAAAAAAAGAUGUAUUAAAAACAAACCAACACAAAGAAGUAACUCAUCUUUUGGGGAAUCUAAUUAAGUUAAUUAAUAAUUUUAAGGUUAGAGUUAACAAACAACAACAAUCAAUAAUCACAAUUAUAUACAAUUUAAGAGCAAAGGAAAAAAAGGAUUUGGGCCUUUCUUGGCCUGCUGCAAUUGAUUUGGGCUUCAACUCUAUUUCUACCCUUGAAACCCUGUGUAUACACCAGGUGUAUACUGCUGUAUACGGAUCGUGUCUUGGCCCAUUUUCCUGUAUAUUGAACCAUAUAACAACUGUAUACAGUCCUCUUUAGCGCCUCCAACCUAUGUUUUCGUUUCUGGCCACAUGUUUGUUGCACCGAACUGGUAUAUCAGUGUAUACUGUUGUAUACAACAUGUAUACAGACCAUUUUCAGCUUUCCGAGAACCUAUUUCAGCUGCUCUUUUAUUACAAAUAUAAGGAUACCUCGGAACAACUCAAGGAUAUGCAAGGGAGGAGUCCCAAAGAACUCAUUGUGUGAGUUAUAACCCAACAAAGAAAAGAUGAAUCAGUAUUUGAAUAAUAUGGAAAUGUGUUGAAUGAACAUUCAUUUAAGCUUAUACUACUUUAAUAAGUAUAAUAAAUCAAGUUUAUAAUGUAACAACACGUACCAAUGCUCUUAGUAAAGAAAGAUACAAAAUAUGGGAACUUUAAGGCAUGGAAUGAGAAAAUAAAAUAAAAUAAUAAUAAUAAUAUCCAUGCUACUCUCUUAACAAGGACUUAACUAUAAGCAUACAUGUAUGAGAAAUCUAGACUUUGAUAUCUUCCAAAUCAAAGAAACAAACAACAGAAAGAAGGGAGGGAAAAGGGACCUAGUUCAAACUAACAAAGAAGAUAAAUCUAAGUGGGGCUUUAAAAAAACUCCUAACUGUCACUUGUAGGUAGUAAUAGACAUAUGAUACAUAUGCUAAUGAUCACGACUAAAAUUCACACAUUUACAAUGACUCUUCAUACAAAUCAGUAACAACAAACAAAUUGCUAAAAAUUGGGAGUAGGUCCAUGAAUAUAGCACGUAGACACAAUCAUAUUGUCAAAUCCAAAGUAAACUUAGACGCAUAGUAUUCGAUACUAAUGAUUCUCACUUAAAUCCUAUAGUCCGCGCAAUGGUUAUCUCGCCUUCAAGUAAAAUAUAUUAAAAGAAGUGGAACUUGUUACAUUCUUUUACAACCAAUGACACAAACUAUAGAGAUAAACAUGAUGUGAUUUAAACAUGAGUUGAUGAAUCAAAACUUUUAUCAAGAUCUAAUUAAAACAGCCCACUUUUUAGCCGAAGUAAACCGUUGCCGCUUAAGAAACUAGUGUUAUUACGCAAGGAAUCAUACACCCAAUACUCAUGAGAAGUUGUGGCCUUAUAUUCUAUCAAAGCAAGCGACUAAUGACAAAAAAAUUAAAUUCCAUACGAAGAGUAGCGAAAUAGUGAUUAAGAUCAUGCUAUUUAGGAGUCCUCUUAAUAAUUUUAGCAGCCAAACAAGACAGAAAACAUAUACUACGCUUGACACAUUUCAAGAGCUCAAAUUUUACCCACAAGAAGAGAUUUCAGAACACUUAGAGAGAUUGGAGAUCUGAACAAGUCAAUAUGCUGAGGCAGUUUGAAAAGAGAAAAUAAACAGCAAACUGGGAAGAGAACAAGAACAAGAUAUGUUGAAAUGUGAAAACAAGAUAAAAUCCUACACUUUACAUUAACUGAACUUCCAAUGAUUAACAGUUUUUUUUUUUUUAAAAAAAAAAACUUCAAGCAGAGUAUCAAUACGAAAAGAGAUACAAAGGGGGCUCAAACGACCUGUAAACAAGUUGAAGAAAGCAAAACAUGACUCGCAUCAUUCAAAAAGGAAGACGAGAAAUAAGGGUGGGGUGUUACUUUGAAAAGCUUAAACCAAAAGUAGAGCACAUGAAACUUAUGCAAGAAUUUAAGAUUUGAACGAAUACGAAUAGCGUCGAGUAGAUUAGCAAGAACAUCACUACACUACUGAUAAGAACCCUAUUAAAACUAGCUAGGCCAUUGAUUGACAUAAAAACAAAUUCCUCAUCCGAACAACGGCAGCCAAACAGAAAUAAAGAUUUCACAAUCUCGCAGAUAUUAAGUAAGGAUAAACGAGAUGAAAAGGUUACAUUUCCGUGAGCAGUGAGACAACGACAAAUGAGUUGAGAACAACGACACUUCUACUAUGAAAUCUAAAUACGAACACUAAGCUAAGAAAAUCCAACCGUCGAUCUUCUCGACACUUAGAAUCAGAAAGCAAGAUAUAAAAUUCUUAAGUUUAAAAUGUCUAUCACUCAAACCAAGCUGAAAAUCAUCGUCCUCAUCCUUGGAGCAUGGAGAACUAUUUAUAGGGAAAGAUUGAGCGAUUUAGGAGGGAAAUCCGUUGGGCAAUUCAAACAAAAAUUUGAAUUUCUUCUGCUAUUUUCGAAGCAAGUAAAGGGGAUAGGAAAAAGCUGAAUUCCGCAAAAAGGGGAUGUAAGGGCGGCUGAUGUCGACGCCUUCAUAGUAGCGUCUUUUCCUGGGUUUGCCGGACUGAUGCGUAUGGAGGAAGAAGACGUACAGGGGUCGUUUGGGUCGGGUUGCGUGAAAAAGACGAGUAUAGGGUCGUAGGGUAUGACUCUUGGUGUUGUUGUGUAUUAUUAUUGAAGUGGGUUGGUAUUUGGAUGGGUCUUUUGGAAUUGCCGAGUUUGUGGGCUGGGAAUUUACGAAUUGGAUUGAAAAGUGGUCCAAUUUUUGAUCUUUUGAAUGGAUUGAAGAAAAGGGUGGGAUUUGGCUAAAAUUGUAAUAGAAAUUAAUUAACAAUUUGGCCAAUCGGAUUAAAGAGGUAACUCAAAAGAAUUAAUUUUAGAAUAUUCGGCUAGAAAUCACAGAUUAAAGAGGUAACCCAAAAGAAUUAAUUUUAGAAUAUUCGGCUAGGAAUCACAUAGGAUGAAUUAAUAUAAUUAAUUUACGAACUUUUUAAUCUUAACAAGAUAAAAUGAUUAACUUAAUUACACACUAAUUAAUUUAGAGUUAACCAUAAUUUAAACUAAGGUAAAUUAACAAAAAAACACGUUUCUUGAAUCAACAUAAUAAAACAAAACAAACUAAUAAACUUAAAAGUAUAAAUAUACUUUAAACCCAACUAAUCUAAUAGAAUAUAAAAAAAAAUCUUUAUUUUAGAGUAUUUUCGAAUAAUCAUAAGCCAUGCCGAUUAAUUACAUGAAAUAUAUUUAUUAUUAAAAAAUACUAUAAAAAUCGCUUGAAAUUACUUAAAAUUACCUUGAGACUAUUUAAAUUUUAUAAGGCUAAUUAUUCUAAAUCGUUUGUAAAUUAAGAAGCUCGGAAAUAAAUUAUUGUCGGGGAGGAUCAAAAUUAAUUAUUAUCGAGGAAGGUCAAAAUUGCGUGUCAACAACUGUCCCUCAUUUUACUUGGAUUGAUGCAAGAAAUCCGAGGAAAAUGACAUUGACGAAUCCAAUUUUGAUCGACCAUAUCUUUAUCUUUUGGAAAAGGGGUUUGGUACGGAUUUUUGGAAUUAUGGCCAAACCUCGGAAAUGGAUUUUCUACAUAUCUCAGGCUAUUUAAGAACUCAGGCUACUUGUAGUUCGAUACGCUUGAUUUGACGCAGAAUUUUGAAAAAAUUCAAAAGUCAUCCCAAUAUCGGAUUAUGAAGAGACUGGAAUGCUCGAGAAUAAGCUUUAAGAGCGAACGAUGGAAUACAGUCGAGUUUCAACACCGAUUUCGCCUACAUAUCCCUCAACUCAGGGAAUCAGGCUGCUUGUAGUUCGACUCGAUCGGUUGAAAAGGAAAUCUAUUAUGCAAGAUAACCUUUGGUUCUGGACGAGCGACAAAAUAAGUCGAGUAUGAAAAGGAGGCUUGAAACCUCUUAGUCAUAAAUGUGGCGCGCUUCACACCCAUAAUUGAGAACUUACACGGACAUAAUUUUCAAAACUCGUGGUGUAUUGUCACUCUGAUUGGAAAGCCAUUUUCGGUGAAAACGAAAAACUUCCGUAGGCAAAACUAGAAUCGAUAAACCUAAAGAAAAACCCACAUGCCUUCUGAUAGGGGUGUGGUUUGAUUGUGGUGAAUGACGUUCCUCUGCUCGCGUCCUAAGAGUUUCACACUCCUCUUUGGACUUUGUCUCAAUUCGCUGCUAAGAAAAAGUUUCACGUUGUGCUGUAUCCUUUUUUAUGUCGUCCACACCUGUGGUUUGCUUUGAGAAUUCAUCCUCUUGGGAUGCUCUCGAAAAUGACUGAGAGAAAACUCAUUAGCAUAAAAUGGAAUUUAAAUGGGGAGAUAGUGUCUUUUACCAUGUUGACACUUAAUUGCUCUCCUUGAGCAUUUGACAUCAACUUCCUCCAGUUUGACGUAAAGCAAAUAAAGUUUGUAUCUCAUAUUUGUAAUAUGAUAUUCAAUGUACUCUUCCUUUGAUGUUGAAAUAAUAAAUUAGGCUGAUGUAAUAUGUAGAUAGUUCUCUUGACGUCGUUAUUGAUGGCUCUCUGGAUAUUUGUUCUUGCAAAUGAAAUGAUGCAGUCGUUGUUGAUCUUUUUGUGAUAGGUAAAUCUUUCUCUUGCGAUGCAUAACUCCUGCUCUCGCGAUGCAUGACUCAUUUCUCUUGCGAUGCAUGACUCUUUUCUCUUGCAAUGCAUGACUCUUUUCUCAGGAUGCAUAUCUCUUUCCCGCGAUGCAUGAAUCUUUUUCCCGCGAUGCAUGAAUCUUUUCUUGCAAUACAUAAAUCUUUUCUUGCGAUGCAUGAAUCUUCUCUUGCAAUGCAUGAAUCUUUUCUCGCGAUGCAUGAAUCUUUUCUCUUGCAAUACAUGAAUCUUUUCUCGCGAUACAUGAAUCUUCUCUUGUAAUGCAUGAAUCUUUUCUUGCGAUGCAUGAACCUUUUCUCGCGAUGCAUGAACCUUUUCUCACGAUACAUGAAUUUUUUCUUGCGAUGCGUGAAUCUUCUCUUGCAAUGCAUGAAUCGUCUUUUGCAAUGCAUGAAUCUUUUCUCGCGAUGCAUUAAUCUUCUCUUGCAAUGCAUGAAUCUUUUCUCGUGAUGCAUGAAUCUUUUCUCGCGAUGCAUGAAUCAUUUCUCUUGCUAUGCAUGACUCAUUUCUCUUGCAAUGCAUGAAUCUUUUCUCACGAUGCAUGAAUCUUCUCCUGCAAUGCGUGAAUCUUUUCUUGCGAUGUAUGAACCUUUUCUCGCGAUGCAUGAAUCUUUUCUCGUGAUGCAUGAAUCUUUUCUCUUGCUAUGCAUGACUCCUUUCUCUUGAUUCCUCCCUAGUACUAAGCAAAGAUAAUGUUUCACCGAGCAACAUAUGUGAUUUUCUGGGUGGCGAUAUCAUCCCAAUCGGCAAUACAAAUAAAAAUGACCCUCAGAGUAAUGGUAUCAUCUCAUUCGACGAUACGAUAUAAAUGACUCUCCGGGCAGUAAUAUUACUAUAUCUGAUAACAUAAUGCAAAUAACAUCCUCCAGGUAUCUUUAGUUGAUCGGAAAUAAUAAAAUUUCUCUCUUCGAGGUUUUCAUUUGUUCCGUCUCUGAACAUAAUUGCAUGUUCAUUAUGGGCUUCGCUUUGUUGGAAAUUGAACGAAAUAACGUUAUCCAUAUUCCCAAAUCUUUGAUAUAAGAAACAUAAAAUAUUUUCUACAUCCACAUAAAAAUUGUCAAUUUCGGGGGAGCUCUUCGCCCUUUUGACUUCUCCAUAUUAAUUGAAUGGAGGAAUAUGCUGAUCUUGAGGCAAGCUUAUAAAUUUGCAUCCACAAAAAAAUUGUUAGUUUAAAAAUGAACUUAUCUGUGUUGAUCCUUCGGUCGUCUGCUCUUUGUCUGGCUAUCUUCGAUUGAUUUCCCCGAUCUCCCGCAUCUUGAUAGAUAAGACAAAAUAUUUUUAUGGAAAACAUAAUUGAAACAUAGAGGAAAAGUUUUAAGGCAAAUAGAUUUUCAAAAAGUAGUAUUUGGAAAAGGUCACUAUCAAGUGUCAUGUCACGUCGAGCCUAAUGAACGCCUUUGGAGUUGACGUCUCGAGGUCUAUCCGAUUAUUUGUUGGGAAGUAUUCAAAGUUGCUCUAAACUUUCGAUGGACCUUAUUGAAAAUUUUUGAGGUCCUCCUCAAAAAUUUCUGUCCCAAUUAUCUGUCUUGGCGCAACUGUGGUUGAACAAAUCAUGGAAUUUUUGAGAUCUUCUCAAAAAUUCUGUCCCAGUUGCAAAUCUCGAUGUUGAUUUAGUCUCGACUUGUUGAAAAGAUCUUCUCGAGAAUUUUUUAGUCCCUCUAAAAAAUUCUAUCCCGAUUUCUAUUUUAAGGAAAAUAGAAAUCUUACGAGAGAUAUGACCGAGCCGUUAUGGCGCCUACGUAUCCCGUUGAGGUAGGAAUCAGGUCAAACGUAGUUCACCCUCAAAGAUUAACAAAAAUAAGAAAAUUUAAGCAAAGAAUCGACCGAGACCGACAUAGGCCGCCUACGUAUCUCAUUCUUAAGAAUUCAAGUUGAACGUAGUUCAAAUACAAAAGAAAAUAUUUAAAAAGGGAUAGAGGGGUGGUCGAGGCCGAUAUAGGCUACCUAUGUAUCUCAUUCUUGAGAAUUCAGGUCAGACGUAGUUCAUUACAAAAGAAAAUAAUUUAAAAGGGAUAGAGGGGUGACCGAGGCCGACAUAGGCCGCCUACGUAUCUCAUUCUUGAGAAUUCAGGUCAUACGUUGUUCAUUACAAGAGGGAUAAAAUUCUAAACAAAGUGAUGACAAGUAAUUGAAUGAUUACAAGGGAACGACAGAAAUAUAAACUGAAACUUCACGCAUAAUAUCUCUUGACUGCACUGAGUUGAUCAAUUUUGGCCAUUUGGUGCCAUCCAUCUCGAACAGGACCAAGGCACAUCCAGAUAAUACUUUGCGAAUCAUGUAGGGUCCUUGCCAAUUUGGUGCAAAUUUCCCUUUGUACUCAUCCUGAUGAGGGAAAAUGCAUUUGAGAACCAACUGACCAAUCUCAAAUAUCUUUGAUCGUACUUUCUUGUGGAAAGCACGAAUCAUUCUUUGUUGAUACAGUUGUCCAUGACAAACAACCACCAUUCUCUUCUCAUCAUUAAUCAUUGCUAACUGAUCAAUCCGCUUGAGAACCCAUUCAACAUCACUUAAUUCAGCUUCUUGGAUGAUUCUCAAUGAAGGUAUUUCAACUUAUGCAGGUAUAACCGCUUCUGUUCCAUAUACUAGCAAAUAUGGAGUAGCUCCAACUGAUGUUCUGAUAGUCGUUCGAUAUCCCAACAAAGCAUACAACAACAUCUUAUGCCAACCUCUGCGAUUAUCAAUCAUUUCCUCAAAAUCUUCUUUAUGUUCUUGUUGGCGGCUUCUACAGCUCCAUUCAUUUGGGGACGAUAGGCGGUUGAGUUUCGGUGAGUAAUCUUGAAUUGUUCACAUAUCUCUCUCAUCAAAUGACUGUUGAGAUUCACUCCAUUAUCAGUAAUGAUAGAUUCUGGCACUCCAAACUUACAUAUCAAAUUGUUGCGAAAAAAAUUAGCUAUAACCUUCUUGGUCAUUGACUUAUACGAAGCUGUUUCCACCUACUUGGUGAAGUAGUCAAAGGCAACCAAAAUGAAUCUGUGUCCGUUAGAGACGGCUGGCUCUAUUGGACCAAUGGCAUCCAUGCCCCAAGCUACGAAAGGCCAAGGCGAACUCAUAGCAUUGAGUUCCUGAGGCGGCACUCGAAUCAAAUCACCAUGCACUUGACAUUUCUGCACAAACUUGCAACAAUUAUGCUCCAUAGUCAUCCAAAAAUAAUUGGCUCGAAGGAUCUUCCUCGCCAAAGUGAGCCCAUUCGUGUGAGUACCCCAACCUCCAGCAUGUAUCUGUUCCAAAAGCUUCUCAGCUUCGCUAGCAUCAACACAUCUAAGAAGACCUAAAUCUGAAGUCCUCCUAUAAAAGAUAUCCCCACUUGCAAAGAAAUUGAGGGCCAUACGGCGUAUCGACUUCUUCUGAUUGAACAUUACAUUCUCAGGAUAAGUCCGGGUCUCUAAAUACUUCUUGAUGUCAAAAUACCAAGGCAAAUCAUCUGGUUCUGCUUCAACGUGUGAACAAUGGACAGACUGCUCUUUUACCUCUAUAUCAACGGGAUCAAUAUAACUUGCAUUUGGAUGUUUACUCAUCGAGGCAAUGGUGGCGAGAACAUCGGCUAACUCAUUCUGUGUCCUGGGAGUGUGUCUGAACUCAAUCUUGCGGAACCUUUUGCACAACUUCUGUAUAUACUGCACGUAUGGUGUGAUCUUCGGGUUCUUCACGGCCCAUUCUCCUUGGACAUGGUGAAUUAACAAAUCUGAAUCUCCAAUAACCAGAAGCUCAUAAACAUUCAUGUCGACGACCAUCUUCAAGCCGAUGAUGCAAGCUUCAUAUUCAGCCAUGUUGUUCGUGCAAUCAAAUCGAAGUUUAGCCACCAUAGGAUAAUGCUGACCAGAUUCUGACACUAAGACUGCUCUGAUACCUUUCCCUUGGUGAUUCGCCGCUUCAUCAAAGAACACUCUCCAACCAGGGUAUGCUUCAGAAAUAUCUUCACCCACAAAUGAAACUUCUUCAUCAGGAAAAUAGGUCUUGAGUGGUUCAUACUCCUCAUCAACUGGAUUCUCCGCAAGAUGAUCAGCUAAGGCUUGUGCUUUUAUCGCCUUCUGAGUCACAUACACAAUGUCAAAUUCACUCAACAACAUUUGCCAUUUAGCCAACUUCCCGGUCGGCAUCGCUUUCUGGAAAAUAUACUUCAACGGAUCCAUUCUGGAAAUAAGCUAUGUGGUAUAAGAAGACAAAUAAUGUCUCAACUUCUGAGCAAUCCAGGUCAGAGCACAACAUGUCCUCUCUAAAAGAGUGUAACGAGCCUCAUAUGGAGUGAACUUUUUCCUCAAGUAAUAAAUGACUCGCUUCUUCUUCCCAGUCUCAUCAUGUUGACCAAGCAUGCAUCCAGAUGUGUUAUUAGAGACCGACAAAUAUAGCAACAACAGGUUUCCUUCUCGCGGAGGAACCAACACCGGUGGAUUGGACAAAUAAGUCUUGAUGGCAUCAAAAGCAGUCUGACAUUCUCUGGUCCACUUAGUCAGGGCAUCUUUUUUCAACAACUUGAAGAUAGGCUCACAGACCACGGUGGAUUGAGCUAUGAACUGGCUGAUGUAGUUCAACCUUCCCAAAAAACUCAUCACCUCUUUCUUGGUCUUCGGAGGAGGUAAUUCUUGGAUCGCCUUGUUCUUGGAAGGGUCAAGCUCAAUGCCCCUCCUGCUGACUAUAAAUCCCAACAACUUGCCAGCUGGCACUCCAAAAGCACAUUUGACGGGAUUUAACUUCAAAUUGUAUCGACGCAAGCGAUCAAAGAAUUUCCUCAAGUGAGUCAAGUGAUCCGAACUCUCACGGGACUUGAUUAUGACAUCAUCUACAUACACCUCGAUCUCCUUGUUAAUCAUAUCGUGAAAGAUGGUCGUCAUGGCCCUCAUGUAAGUAGCGCCGACAUUCUUGAGACCAAAAGGCAUCACCCAAUAAUGAUAUACACCCCAAGGCGUAAUGAAAGCUGUCUUUUCUGCAUCUUCUUUAUCCAUCAGGAUCUGGUGGUAACCCGUAUAACAAUCCACAAAUGACUGCAUCUCAUACUUAGCACAUUUAUCAAUGAGAAUGUGGAUGUUCGAUAAUGGAAAAUUAUCUUCGGGCUAGCUUUGUUGAGAUCUCUAUAGUCAACACAAAUUUUGAUUUUUCCGUCCUUCUUGGCAACCGGAACAACGUUGGCUAACCAAGUCGAAUAUUGCGUUACUUCCACUACUUGAGCCUCGAUCUGUUUGGUAAUCUCCUCUUUGAUCUUUAAACUCAACUCGGGCUUGAAUUUCUGAGUCUUUUGUUUACUGGACUGAAAUCUGGGUUAAUCGGCAACUUAUAGGACACCAUAUUCAUACUAAAUCCUGGCAUAUCUCUGUAAGACCAGGCAAACACAUCAAUGUACUCUCUGAGCAAACGAACCAGGUCUCUUCUUUGAGCUUCAGUCAGAUGGACAUUGAUUCUCACUUCUUUAACACAUUCCUCAUCUCCGAGAUUCACAAUUUCGGUUUCUUCCAAAUUUGUCUUGUGUUGAUUCUCGAAUUGUCGAAACUCUUCAGCUACAUGUUCGGGUACCUCAUUUCCUUCUUCAUACUCAUCGCACUCAUCGCACUCAUCAUCACCUGCCACAUUUUGUUCACUCGGUUCAUGACAUGACAUGACAUUGGCAGGUUCUAAAUUAAUAUUACUGAAAUUAUAAACAAACAAAGUUAGGAAAGUAAAAUAUAAACAGAUAAGUAAAUAAAUUUUUGAUAAAAGAGGCUUUCAUUUAAGUUUUAAAAAAAAACAAGCACAAACUUUGGACAUGGCCAAGGGUCAUUUUGCCUUUUUAAACAUCACAGAGGAAUUUAAAAAGACUCAAACGAUAAAAGAAAAUUGCAUAAAUGGUGGAUCUCGGGCCUCUUCCGAAUCACCACCGAUUUUCAAAAAAAACAUAAAUACGCGUCCUUUCUACCAAAAUGAACGGGGGAUCAAAAGUGGCAUGGAGGUCCAAUUCUGCAACUGCUUCUCCGGCUCGGCAUCACAGAUUCUUGAGGUCCCAACUUCAUCCUCUAUGACUGCGUUAACUUCUUUGAACAUGCCCCAGAUUCCUUCCCCAGACCACUGUCGAUGGCAUGCUCCCGCACUGGGAAAGACUGGUACAAGUGAGGCAUUGGUCUAGCAAGCACCCAAUCGACACUUUUGUUCCUCAGCUCCGCUUCAUUAGCAUCUGUGGGGAUAUACUCCAAACCAAACUUUGUUCUUCUGGCGGGAACUUGAAUAGGCUCGACAAUUCCUUGGGAAUGCUUCCCCAACCCGAAACCUGGUUCGAAACCAUUCUGGAGCAUGACAGUAGCAAUCAUCUUGCACACGACAGACAUAUGAGGUUGUGGAGCCAAGUCAUCACCAGUGGCAUUUACCAGCUCCACCGUGUAAAACUCGCAACCUCGAGAGACCUCAUCAACGAUUUGCGCAUACCCAUAGGAAUGAAUCCCCUCACCAUGAAUGACCAAUACCUGGUCCUUCCUAACAAAUUUUAUCAGUUGGUGAAGGGUAGACGACACAACCCCGGCCAUAUGGAUAAACGGUCUUCCCAGAAGCAAGUUGUAACUAGUGUAGAUGUCUAACACCUGGAACUCCUCAUUUUACUCUGUAGGACCCAUCUGAAUUCCCAAGUUUACUGCCCCUAUUGUGUCUCUCUGCACUCCAUCGAAAGCUCUCACAUUGAUCUGGUUUUGUUGAACCUUUCCCAAGUUGAAUUUCAGCUGCUUGAGAGUCGAAAGUGGGCAGAUAUUGAGACUGAACCGAUCGUCGACCAAAACACGAUUCACAACUCUGUCUCGACAUUUGAUGGUGACGUGCAGAGCUUUGUUGUGCAUCCUGCCUUCAAAGGGCAGCUCUUCGUCACAAAACUGAUUCGGUGUCCUCUAAUGACCUGGUUUAUCAUGGCUACUAAAUUGUCAUUGUUAGUACCCACAUGCACAUAAGUAUCAUCCAAAGCCCUCAUCAGAGUCUGCCUGUGCAAUUGCGAACUCAUCAAUAAGCCCCACACAGAGAUCUGAGCCGGCGUCUUCUCCAAAUGUUUCACAAUUGAAUAAUCUAUCGGCUGCAUUCUCUUCCAGAACUUCUCGGCCUCGGCUUCACUGAUCAGCCUUUUUGUUUGGUCUUUUUUCUGCCCUCCUUGGGCCAACUCUUUCGGUGUGUAACAUCUACCAGAUCUAGUCAUGCCUUGAGUGGCAGCGGUUUCAAUCACAAACUUUGGUUGGGCAAGAGUCACUCUUAGCACCAAUGCAACAACCUUCUCGGGUGUCAGUAUCACAAACUCUUUCUUCUCUCUAAUGCUUAACGAGGCUACAACCUUUUCUAGUUCAUCAAGAGUGAUCGAAACUAUUGCCUUCAUCACGCACCAAUCGACAUCCGUCUUUAUCAUAUUGAUAGUGACACCUCCAUGGUUCGGCAAAGGAUUACUAUUGACAUUGGGCGCGACUGUCUGAAGAGAGACCACGUUUUGGUCAAUCAAGUCUUGGAUUUUAUGCUUCAGGUUGAUACAGUCCUCAGUAUCAUGUCCAACACUAUUGGAGUGAUAUGCAUACCUCUGGUCAGCUCUGUAAAACUUUGAGCUAGUGUCAACCGACUUGGGCCCCACUGGAUGAAUAUAUUUUGCCGCAGUUAAUCUUUCAAAUAGCUUUGUUCGGCUUUUAAUGAGCGGAGUGAAAUUUCUAACAGGCUUCCUCUCGAAUCUAGGACGUGGGAUCGUAAGUGCCUUGUUGCGGAGGAGGCAUCUGACGAUAAUUUGAAGCGUUUGGACGGAGUGUUUUGAUAACUAGGAGGAGGGCUACUUUGAUAACUGGGGGGAUGGGUGUUUUGGUAAUCAGCCUGUGCAUAAUAAGUCGGGUACAAACUCUUUGAAGGUCGAGAAUGACCUUGGUACGACGAGGAUUUCCUUGGGGUUUUCUUUCCCUCACAAGAGAUAGAUGACACAUCCUCUUUUUUCUUCUUCAACAGGUCCGAAGAUCCGGGCGAGGCAGCAACACGAACAAUCUUCCCAGUUCUCAAUCCAUCUUCGAUAGUCUCACCUACCAUGACUAUCUCAGUAAAAUUUUGCUCCAACGAGCAACAUGAUUCUGUCAUAAUAUUCGGGCUCUUACACCCGCACAAACACUUCGACAAUUUCCUUUUCUAACAUAGGAGGUCUAACUCUAGCUGCCUCCUUUCGCCAUCUAUAGCAAAUUAUCUAUAACUUUCGACCGACUUCUGUUUCAUCUUCUCCAAGGAGUAACGAUCGGGAACGAUCUCCACAUUGUAGGCGAAUCGUUUGAUGAAGUCCUUAGCCAGAGCGUUCCAGCUAGAUCACUGUCUCGUUUCAUGAGACGUAAACCAUUCUAGAGUCUCUUCGUUCAGACUGCGGCUAAAAAGCCACAUUAACAAAGCUUCGUCUCUCCCAACUCCCACAAGUUGGUCAUAGUAGGCCCUCAGGUGUGCUAAGGGGUUCCCCAUUCCUCCGAAGAUGUCAAAUUUUGGCACCUUGAACCCUUCCGGGAGGUCCAAAUUCAAAUGAAUGCACAGGUCUUCGUAACUCAACCCAACAACCUCGGGAAUGCAGUUCAACUCCUUCAUGGCUUUUCUAAUUUCCUCCAUCAUAUCUAUCUUGGCGGUCUCUUCCUUGACCUCCACUCUCUCUCAUUUUCCUUAUAGUGGUCGAGCUCUGAACUAUGGGCAUCAUGCUCGUUGGAGACCGAUAUUUGGAAAGUGGCCUUUUGCGAUAGUGGUGGAGCAAUAGAGGGACUCUGGCCAUUUAAAGGGGUGUGAUAGUUUUGGGGGAAAGGCUGGGGGCUGGUAUAUUGGUUUUGGUGAGGGAGGAAAGUGUGUGGGUUAUUAGCGUUUUGGCUGUGAGGGGGUAUGCCAGUUUAGUGGUUUGCAUUUGGGGGAAGGAGUGGUGCUUGGAGGUUGGUAUUUUGAGGAGAGGGUGGUGUUUGAUAAGAGGCUGAGGCGUAAUGAGGUUUUUGGGUGGUAAGGUCAAUGAUAGAGGGAUUACGAGCAGGACUUGAAGGCGGGUUUUGAGCUUGUUCCAUGUUAGGAGGGGGAAUUUGAGCUGGAGGUCUUCCGCCUGGUUAAGCGUUGACAACAAAAAUUGGAGGAGGCAAAUCUUGUUUUCUCUGCAUCUCGACCCUCAUCUCAGCAAUUUGUUGCAUCAACUGCAGGAUUAGUUCAUUCUGAUCGACAAGGGCGGGCUGAGCCACUACGACAUUAGUAAGGCCGGGUUUUUUGUUGUUAUCACCCAUUGCUGCUUUUCCCUUGUGUGAACUUUGACUGAGGAAGGAAUCUGUAGGACCUUUAGAUCUGGUGAAAUAAGGAUGAUCGAUCAGUGUAUCAACAUAGAUCAGUUCUAACUACCUGUAGAGAAAAACAACUCAAAGGCAAAUCUAUUAGUAUUAGUUGUGGAUGAAUAAUGCAAGAUAUCACAUAAAAGACAUAUAAACACAUAAGAGUUGUUUCGUUUGAGAACAUGUUAAUCCACGAAUAAUGGGGACCAAUUUUUUGAACGAGCAGGAAUUUGCUCGUUUUAUUUUGAGGCUGGUGACAAAGAAAGGUUGAAUUGCGUUGAGCUAAGGUCUUUUUGCUGCAUCUCUCGGCGUCUGUUGAUGUGAAUUCAAUGUUUCCUUGUAGAAUAAAGGGGAAAAAGAUAGAGGUCGGGCCUUGAGAGGCUGCCUACAUAUCUCUGAAGGAGAAUUCAGGCCCUACAUAGUUUGAAUACUAAAGGAAAUUCUCAUUUUCAUUCAUUCAUUUCUUGAAGAUUACAAUGAAAGGAAAAAACAUACAAUAAAGCUCCUAAAAGACAGAUGGUGCCUUCAUCAAAGCUUCUUCUUCUGAUUGUCGCAUUAAUCAUGGGGGGUAAACUCAUAUGCUACGAGAGUGAUUUUCUCAUUCUCUUCUUUCCACCGUCCCUGGAAAGGAGGCCUAUAGACAAUUUCCUCCUCGGUAUCUUCUUCAACAGUUUUAGGUCCAGUGCCUUCAGGACUACUGACAUUGGCCUCUUGGUUGAAGAAGGAGUAUUUUCUACGUAGGUUUUGGAGCCUCGUGGCUAUAUCAUUGUUGAAGACAUCGCGUUGCUUCCGCAUAGCGGUCAUCUCUUCAUUUAUGAUAGCAUAUCUUGCCAUCUUAGCCACUAACUCCACGUCUAGUACUGCACUUUUGGCUUGCGUAGCUGCGGUGGCUAGUUCUACUUCUAUUCUUCUUUCUCCUAUCUCUCGAAUCUCUUGUUUGAAUUGAAGCAGUUUCAUCCUUAAACUCUCUUCAGUCAUCUUCACUUUGACAUUUUUUCCCUUUUCCAUCGUAGCAGCAGUUUCACCUUUCCUGAGAUGAUAGAGUAAUGUUUUAGGAUCUGGUAGUAAGAUUUUAUUUCUGGUUGAGAAACUCAAAACUCAUGGAAUUUUGGUCGGAUAUUUUGGUAGUGACUUUGUAUUUAGAAUUGUGGAGAUUUUAGAAAAUUUUCAAAAAUGAGUGGGAUAAAAUGUCCUCAUUCAAAGCAACAUAUCACAUAAAUAGUUAAAUCACACAAAUAUCGCGUCCUAAACAUGCAUGUGACCCUUUUACCCAGGGGUAGGCCUAGCGAUUUGAAGGAUGUAUUGCGCUAUUUAAAACAAAUUGUUGCAUCCCCCAAAAUAAGAUUCAUAAAUGAUUGGAGAAUUCAUUACAAAGUCAACAAAGGGGAUACAUCUUUUAGGAAAGGGAUAAACGACAAAUACAAGAACAUCAAUCCCAGGGGAAUAAGACAACUAAAAGGCUGAAGGACCUGCUCCUCCUCUUGCUUUUUCUACUUCUUCGCGAAUGAGGAAUUUGCUAGUCAUCACAUGCGGCUCGGCGAACAUAGCUUUGGAAGACAUCGACACACCAUGGAGAGUGUUAAGCUAAUCAUCCAAAUUCGAAUCAAAACGUAGAAGCAGGCUCUUGCGUUAGCUAACUCUUGUGUGGCAAAGGCUAAGGUCCUUUGGCUUUCAUAUUCUCGAUGCUGGAACUCUUGUUCCCUACACAGGUAUCCUUGCUCCCUACGUUGAAACUCUUGCUCUCUUCGGUCCCAUUCCUGUUGAAAGUGGUAGGCUUGGAGUUGGAGCCUUACUUGGACAUCUUCAAUCUGUCGGCCCGUGCGUGGCGUCGGGUCAAGUGUACCACGUAGAUCAUCUUGCAACCAUUUUUUGUAUUCAUCAAUAUACCCGACUUCAUAUCUAUUUUCUGUCAUGCUCUCCUUUAGGUUGACCCGUCCAGCCCAUUAUUGACGAAUAUCCUUGGCGUAAGGUAUCUUGUCGCACCCGUUGUAGUCAAAGACGUAGCGACUAGUGUCUCAUUUGAAAGGUAGAAUUUGUCUUCUGCCGAACCGUUGCAUUACCCUGCUAGGAUUGUAAGGUCGUACCCCUCUAAUGCCAGGAAGAAUUUGGAAAAGACACUUAGCCCCCUGAACAACUAUUUUUUCUGACAUGAAAUCUUGAAACAUCUAUUGUACGUUUCCAUCUUUUAUGUCGUGGAAGACUUUAGCCCAUGCUUCCCUAGUGUUGUGGAUCUCGAACCUGUUGAUGCUCAAAUGGAACUCGUAAUGGUCGAGGUGGCUUUCUUUUUGUGGUUCGGCCAAUUUCUGCUUUUGAGUCUCGUAUGUCUUCACUAGAUGUUUAGACAUCCACCACUGUAGCAAGAUAUUACAACCUUGAAAAAAUGGAAACCCGUUUUUGCAUUGACCCAAAGAUCGAUAAAUGUCAGCCACAAUGAUCGGGGCCAGAUUGAAGUAUUUCUUGACUUGUCCCUUUUUACCAAUACCCUCAAAGAUGGGGUGAGUUACCAUGACAAUUCGAGUAUCAAUUUUGUUCCCUCCAUCCUGAGGGAAUACCAUUGUCCCUAAGAGGCAUACGGUAAAUACUAAGGUUUGAGUUUGACUCCAACGAUUGCGAUUGAGAAACUCAUUUGGAAAAUUCUUAUAAUAGUUCUCGUGUCCCCAUUGUUCGUAGAAUUUCACAAACGAAAUACUCGUAUCUAGCCAGUCUGCAUUUACCAGUAACAACAUGUUCUUCAAUUCUUUACUGGUCGGCUUAUCUGGUAGCAAAAUGUGAUAAUCUGGAUGAUUUCUCCUUUUCUGGCACAUUCCGACAUUGUCUAGACAAUCUUUGAUCUCUUCAAUAGUUGGUGUCAUUUCCGAAGCGAAACACCAUCCUCUCAUCAUCCCAAAAUCAAGUGACCACCUCAAUGAACUUAGGCCAAACUUUGAGAUUCAUUAUCGACGGGAGAUGACCCAAAUAAAUGGAAAGUUCUCUUUUUUGAUAUGCAUUGAGAUUGUACCACCACACACGAAGGAGGUUUGGUGUCUCGAUGACCAUUUUGAAACUCAAGCAUUGCUUGGCCAUCUACAAAAACAUACAAAGAAUUAGAUACCCCCCAAACCCAAGAAACAACAAUUUAUCAAACAACACAUACAUCCUUCAAACACGUAAGUAUGAACGUCUGUUCGGAUCGUGAGCCCUUUGGACUCAAGGUGGCCUUUCUAAUGGGCCUAACAACAUCACUACACUACUAAUAAGAACCCUAUUAAAACUAGCUAGGCCAUUAGUUGGCAUAAAAACAAAUUCCUCAUCCGAACAGCGACAGCCAAACAGAAAUAAAGAUUUCACAAUCUCGCAGAUAUUAAGUAGGGAUAAACGAGAUGAAGAGGUUACCUUUCUGUGAGCAGCGAGACUACGACAAACGAGUUGAGAACAACGACUCUUCUAUUAUGAAAUCUACAUACGAACACUAAGCUAAGAAAAUCCAAGCGUUGAUCUUCUCGAAACUUAGAAUCAGAAAGCAAGAUAUAAAAUUCUUAAGUUUAAAAUGUAUAUCACUCAAACCAAGCUCAAAACCGUCGUCCUCAUCCUUGGAGCAUGAAGAACUAUUUAUAGGGAAAGAUUGAGCGAUUUAGGGGGGAAAUCCGUUAGGAAAUUCAAACAAAAAUUUGAAUUUCUUCUGCUAUUUUCGAAGCAAGUAAAGGGGAUAGGAAAAAGCUGAAUUCCGCAAAAAGGGGAUAUAAGGGCGGCUGAUGUCGACGCCUUCAUAGUAGCGUCUUUUCCUGGGUUUGCCGGACUGAUGCGUAUGGAGGAAGAAGACGUACAGGGGUCGUUUGGGUCGGGUUGCGUGAAAAAGACGAGUAUAGGGUCGUAGGGUAUGACUCUUGGUGUUGUUGUGUAUUAUUAUUGAAGUGGGUUGGUAUUUGGAUGGGUCUUUUGGAAUUGCCGAGUUUGUGGGCUGGGAAUUUACGAAUUGGAUUGAAAAGUGGUCCAAUUUUUGAUCUUUUGAAUGGAUUGAAGAAAAGGGUGGGAUUUGGCUAAAAUUGUAAUAGAAAUUAAUUAACAAUUUGGCCAAUCAGAUUAAAGAGGUAACCCAAAAGAAUUAAUUUUAGAAUAUUCGGCUAGAAAUCACAUAGGAUGAAUUAAUAUAAUUAAUUUACGAACUUCUUAAUCUUAACAAAAUAAAAUGAUUAACUUAAUUACACACUAAUUAAUUUAGAAUUAACCAUAAUUUAAACUAAGGUAAAUUAACAAAAAAACACGUUUCUUGAAUCAACAUAAUAAAACAAAACAAACUAAUAAACUUAAAAGUAUAAAUAUACUUUAAACCCAACUAAUCUAAUAGAAUAUAAAAAAAAAUCUUUAUUUUAGAGUAUUUUCGAAUAAUCAUAAGCCAUGCCGAUUAAUUACAUGAAAUAUAUUUAUUAUUAAAAAAUACUAUAAAAAUCGCUUGAAAUUACUUAAAAUUACCUUGAGCCGCUUUUAUUUGGAUUUGGUUUGAUUUUGUUUUAGAUUUUAAAAUACUGAUAGUAUUUGGCUUGUUUGAGAAAAUCGAAGAAAUAAACGAACCUACAAAUUAUAUACAUAUAUUUUAUCAUUAUGAGAAAAGACAUAAAGUGACACAUGAACUAGUCCCAAAUUUUCAAAAAGACACCUUAAGUAUACUGACGUCCUAUUACCCCACUAAACAAUCUUGAAUUAAUAUUAUAAAUAACUAAUAUAAUUUUAUUUUUACAAAUAUUUUGUUAUAAAUUAUAUUUUCUUAUUUUUCUUGUUAUUUUAACUUUUUUCCUUUUUAUUUUUUCUCUUUCUUUCUUCUUUCUUCUUCAAAAAUUCAUUGUCAUCUCUAUUGAAGCUUCUCAGUUUCAAUGUCACAAUGUUUACCAACACUUCACGUUCCUUUUUUUACUACUAUUAGUUUUACUCUUUUUAAUUUUAAAAUUUUAUCUAAAUAUUCUCAAACAAUUUGAUAAACCAAUUAGAUUGCAAGAUGAUUAGGAAGUAUCAUAUAAUCUUUUUAUCUGAUUUCAAUUAAGUUCUUUCAUUUUUUGGGAAAUUCAUUAAUUCUUUUAAAAUUACCAUUUCUAAUUUUGAAGUUAUAUGAAAAGGAGUAAUUGAUGAUACCUUAAAAUUUUUAAAGUUUCUUAGAAAAAUAAUUAGUUUUGUUAUCAAUAAUUCAAUAAAGUCUAGAAAAUAGUAUGAAUUCUUUUUUUAUAAAAAUAUCACCGAAAUAAAGAAUUUGACUGGUGAAAAAGAAGAAAAAGAAAAAGAAAAGAAAAAAAAUGGGAGAGUGGUUCAACUUGAUGUGGGGGUGGGAUGAGGGUGGGAAGUGAAGAAAAAUAAAGAAAAUUGAGGGAUGGAUCACUUGAAAUUGCAGGGGAGUCAAAAAGUAAGAGAGAGAAAUAAAGAAAAAAAAGGAUAAAAGAAAAACUUAAAAUGAAAAAAAAUUACAUUUUAAAUUAAAUUAACACGUGUCAUGUAAUGAUUGGUGUGUGAACACACUUGCUUCUUAAAAUUUGGGGCUGAUCGAAAAAUGAUACAAUAAUAUCUGUUCAAAAUUAUUUAGUGGGGUAAUAGGACGGUUACAAAGUUAAGGUGUCUUUUUGAAAAUUUGGGACAACUUCAAUGGUGACUUUAUGUCUUUUCUCUAUCAUUAUACAUACAUAAUAUAUUAUCUAUAUAAACAAUUUUAAAGAUCUUAUAUGUGUUUUCAUCAAAAUUUAUUUUUAAUCUAUAUAUAAAAGCAAAAAUGUUCAAAAUGAGAACAUUAUCUUAUUGUUUUCAUGUAUAUGCGUGUCUAUGACAAUUUUUUGGUGGGAUUAGAAUUGUCAUUGUCUCUUCCUUCUAGGCCAAAUGGUGAAUAUUGAAGCUUUAUUUAUAGUAAAUUUAGUGAUUGAAAGUUCUAUAAUGUCAGUCGUUCUAACUAUUUUUCAUUUUGAAUAGAUUGUUGUCAUGACUUUUUUUUCUCGGUUUAGAUGAAUUGUUUCUCUCAUUUUUGUGUAUGGUUAAUAACCAAAUCAAACUGAAACCGAUAAAUGUAUACAAUAUUUGGUUUUGAGAAUUUAAAAACUGAUUAUGUUGGUUUGGUUUUGAUUUUGACCAAUAAUCGAUCCAAAUCGAUCCGUGAACACCCCUAAUUAAAACCAUUGCAUUACUAAUACCUAAGAAUCCAUGGUAUUAGUAAUACACACCUUAAUACACAAUAGAGUAUAUAACUAAUGAUUGACUUAGUUAUACAUAAGUUGGAAAAGAAUACCAAAUAAGGUAUUAUAGUAAUACACAAAACUAAUGCAUACAUUAUUUUUUCUAAUACACUCUAUCAAACGGCCCCUUAGACUAGCAAAAUGAGAAUUAUUUAAGAAGCGGGUACUACCAACUAGAAGUUCCCUAGUGGGAUAAUUGAUAAAACUGGUGGACUGCGACGGGAUAGUUAAUAAUGGUGGGCGAUGGAAAUAACUAUAAAUGGAUGAAAUUGGUUAUUGAUUUUUGUGAACAAAUAUUUUAAUAAUAUUAACAUUUGGUUAUAUAUCUUAAUCAUCAAAUCUAGUAAGUGGUUGUAACAUUUUUUUUUUUAGAAAAGAAAAGAAAAAAAACACUUUAAUAGCUAUCUAGAUGAAUAUUUAAGAUUCAGAUAUUAAAGAUAAAUAAUUUAAUGACUGAAAUCAAAAUGAUUAAGAUAUCAUACAUUAGUUGUAAAUAAAUGAGACCUUAAUGAAUUUGAAUAAAUUUGAAUAAUUAAGAUAUAUAACAAAUUCUUACAUAUUAUCAUUAAGAUGUUAUCCAUUCAACUAUUUCAAUGAAGAAACUAAGUACUACUCAUGCACUUUAAUAUUUCAUCCGUCCCUAAUUACUUGUCAAUUUUUGAAUUGACACACCUAUUAAGAAACCAAUAAUUGACACAAUGAGUUUACCAUUUUAUCCCUAAUAAUUAUGAAGUGGAUGAAUUAAAAAUUUAAGAUUUUCAAGAAGUUAUAUCCUUUUCAGAAUUAAUUAAAUGAGGGUACAAUGGGUAUUUUUUUUUAAUUCUUUUUUGAUUUGUCAAAAUGGACAAGUAAAAAAAGAAAAAUUUGAUAAGUAAUUACUCCAUUUGUUCAUUUUUAAUUGUCGAUUUUCUUUUUUUAGAGUCAAACUAUAAGAACUUUGACAAAUAUUUUACUAUGUAUAUUUUCAUCAUAUUAAUAUGCAAAAAAUUACAAUUUGUAGUAAUUUUCGUAUAGUUUUUGAAUAUCUAUUUUUAAAAAAAAUUGAAUUAAUGUAAUUUAAUUUAAAUUUAAAAUACUAGUCAAAUUGACUUUCGAAAAACGCAACAUGACAAAUAAAAGUGAAUGGAAGAAAUAAUUAUAGAGGGAGUUGUUAAUUUUCAAACAAUACAUUUAAUUAUACGAUGACAAACAAAACAUGUCGUAAUUACUAUUAGAUCGUAUAAUUACUAAGUGAUAAUUACCCUAAUAAUUACACUCAUUCCAAUUAGAUGGUGACUUUUCAAACAGAAUUUAGGAAGUUGAUAUUCGUUCUUUGAGCUUAAUGAUUGUGACUUUUAUUUUAAUUAAAAAAAAAUAUUUAAAAUGAUUUUUUUCGAAAAGAGAUAUGAGCUAAUUAUGUAACAGAGAGGUAUAAAUUAGCCAAAUUUUAAAACAGAGGAUAUAACUUCUAUGCUUUCUGUGUUUUUGCUGAAAUCACAUUUGUGAGAGUGUGACCUAAUUGAUGCAACGAAUUGUGUAGUAGUAGUAAUUAAUUACUGCCGGAAUGUUCAGUGAGGGCGCUAGAGGCCAUAAAGGGGAGACUCGAAGAUCCACUGGGCUAUUUGAGGAAUUGGGUGAAGGAUAAAGACCCAUGCACUCAUUGGUUUUUUGUGCGCUGCAUUCAAAACCAAACGGAAGGGUAUCAGCAUGUUCAAGAAUUGUACGUAACCCUACUGGGUUCCCCUUUCGAUCUCUUACCGAUUGAGUUUAUAUAUAAUCUAUGUUGUAGCUUACAAUUUUUUUGUGUGGACUUGCAGGCGUCUGAUGAAAUUGUCCCUUUCUGGUACACUAGCUCCUGAGCUUGGCCAACUUAAACAUAUGGAAAUUUUGUGAGUCCCUAUAACACUCAUUUGAUAUUUGUUAGAGUGAGUUUAAGUUUCACAUUGGUUGGGGAUAGACAUGUGGUCCGCCUAUAUGAACCUGGACAAUAUUUUCCCUCAUGAGCUAGCUUUUGAAUUGAGUUAGACUCAGGUGUCAUAUCUUUAUUCUUUACAUGGUAUCAAAGCCAAGUCCAUUUCCGUUUGGGCUUCCGAUCCAUGCUCCUAUUGGGCCUGGGCGUGAAGGGGAGUGUUAUGGGUUAAAGUCCCACAUUGGUUGGGAUAGACUAGUCGUCUGAUCAUAUGAACUUAAUCAAUCCUUUUCUUAUGAGCUAAUUUUGGAGUUGAGUUAGGCCGAAAUGUCAUAUCUUUACAAUAUUUAUUCAGCUGUAAUUUUUGGCGAUUAUGAUUUCAUUUUUACUUUUUCAAGGAAUUUCAUGUGGAACAACAUUAGUGGCAGCAUACCUAAGGAGAUAGGCAGCAUCACUGCUCUGAGCCUACUGUAUGUCUCUCUUCAGUGCUCAAUUUCACUCUAAUCAUUGUUAACAGAACCCCUUUUUGUUUGAGAUGAUGACCUGAAAAAUCAAUAGUUUGGACAAACCUAUGGCCUUUCAUAAACUCAUUUUCACUUACUUUCUAUCGCAGUGAAUUUUGUUAUAAGUGAUCAGGAAAUGAAUAAAAAAAAUACAGAAACAUAAAAUGACUGUGUUAAAACUGUUAAUUGAAGAAAUAUUAAAAUAAUGGUUAAAAAGGUUAGUUUGAUAGAGGCAGGGGCGGAGGCAGCAUAUAAUGAGGGGGUUCAUCUGAACCCUCUCGGCGAAAAAUAUUUCUAUUUAUACAUGGUUAAAAUUAUUUUUUAGGUAUGUGUAAUAGAUGUCGAACCCCCUUCCACUAGUUCAUAUGUUUACUUCUCAGAUUUUGAACCCCCUUAUUAAAAUUUCUGGCUUCGCCACUGGAUAGAGGUUAUAAAAAAGUUUCUCCCUCCAUUUCAAUUUUUGUGUCUUAGUUUGACUUGGCACAAGGUUUUAAAAAGCAAAGAAGACUUCUGAAUCUUGUGAUCUUAAACUAAAAAUGCGUGUUAUGUACCAAAAUGCUCUUUGAUCUUGUGGUCUUAAAUAUGCCACAUAUGAUCUUUGAUUUAAAGAUUUUCUACAUAUAGAAAGUGACAUUCUUUUUUAAAUAGACUAAACGGAAAGUAAGACACAUAAAUUGAAACAGAGGGAGUUGUUUGGUAGAAAAAACAAUGGAAUGUUGUCCAACAUUAUGUGACGUUGCAACAUGGGAAGAGUGUCAUAUAAGUUGAAGGAGGGAGUACUCUGCAUUUGUGAAAAAUAGAAGGAGACACUUCUAAUUUUUGUCAGUCAAAAUAGAACAUUUCAAUGUCAUUCAAUUGCUAAUCAAUCUGUAGAAGGCAGAACGGAGUGAUAGUACAUAGUUUUUGUUCCAUGUAAGACAAAUAGUGAUGAUUCUCAGCCACUUCAGGUCCUGUCUGCUGUGUAAUCUUGAAAGAUGAAGUGAUGGUUUGGAGUUCAUGUUUAAUUUACUGUCAGGAGUUUCUGGUAUAAUAUCUACAGAACUAAGUAUACUAACUACAUGAACUCAUCUGAUGGAAGUUCUAAAUAUCAUACAUAACACUAGCGACAGCUACAAGGAUUGACUGAUAAUCCAUUUAUGUUGUCUUGAUUGAGAAAUGAAGCUCUCAUAUGACUAUUAUCCCAGCUAGAAGUCUUACCUUUAUGAUGAGAAGUCACAUAUACAUAUAUUGGAAUUUCAGUUCUCCAUAUAAGCCUCAAUCAACAUUUCUGAAUCCCUGCUUCAAUUGAAGCCCGAAUAUGCAUAUACCUCACUGUUGACAAUCAGUACUAUUCCUUACAGAUGUUUUAGCUGAAGAUAUCUAAUAAAUAACUUGCAUAUUGUCUGCAUAUAUGGAUUGUGCACAUUUACGAGAAAUUCCAGUCCAACUACCAUUCUUCUGUUUUUCCAGGCUUUUGAGUGGAAAUCACAUAUCAGGUUCUUUCCCAGAAGAGCUCGGUUAUCUUCCUAACUUGGCUAACUUUCAGUUGGAUUCAAAUGAUAUAUCAGGACCAAUACCAAAAUCGUUUGCAAACUUGCCAAAAGUUGCGCAUUUGUGAGUUCUCCAUAGAAUCCAAAGAUACUGUACUGGAUGUGGUGGCAUGGAGAUGUUUAGUUUCUGUACUGAUCAUUCUUGUUCUGGAUGCAGCCAUAUGAAUAACAAUUCUAUAAGCGGUCAAAUUCCUCCAGAGCUGUCUGCUUUACCUCUUCGACACUUGUAAGAAUCACCUUAUCCAACAAUAUAUAAUUACUAGUAAGUUUCAUGUUUGGAUUUACUUGGAUGUGCAUUAUUUCAGCCUUCUGGAUAACAACAACUUAUCAGGUCACCUUCCACCAGAGCUUGCACGGAUGCCGAGCUUAACGAUGCUGUAUUACCUGCCUUUGAAAUCUUAAGCUUUUGCUGUUUCAAUUUGUCUAGAUUCUCAACAAUUUAAUGUCAUUUCAGCGUUAAUAAACAAACCCCAACACCUCCUUCCCCCCUCACAAUAUCAACUUUUGCAGUCAACUUGACAACAAUAACUUUGAAGGCUCUGUGGUUCCGGCUUCUUACAGCAAUAUGUCCAAACUCGUGAAGUUGUAAGUUACUAAUAUCUCGGGUUUUGUUGGUUUAUGUCCUCUUUCCUGUCUGAUGAUAUACAUGCCCAUUUUCACCAAGCAAGAAUAUAGAAUUCUUAAGGAUGUUUGCCAUCACUCAAGGUUAAAGACCGUAUUUAUCCCAAACUUUGAUCAGAAAACAAGUCCCCAGUGAACAGUCAGAAAUAAAUAUAUUCUCCCUUGUGAUGUGACCUUUUCAGGUGCUAGAAUUACAAAAGAGGAUAAACAAAAAGUUUUCUCCAUAUUACAUCAAUGUACUCCCAAUAAGGGUUUCCCACCCCCUUCCUCAGAAUAAAUGAGAGGCUACAGCAGUAUUUUCAUUCUUUGGCAGAGACCUUUUGACAUAACAUGGAGUAACAAUCUAAGACUGACGGAGGAACUCAAUACUAAUUUACUAUAUUAUGAAGCUUAUUGUGGUCAUUCUAUGAUUAUAUUCACCAUUCUUUAAUUAAUAUUCUGCAUAUUAUUUCAUCAAACCUGCAGGAGUCUUAGGAACUGCAACUUGCAAGGAACAGUUCCUGACCUGAGCACAAUACCAGGCCUUCUGUACUUGUAAGCAUACUUCAUUGAGAAAUUCCUCUGUCCAAUUAAACCACAUUUUGAAGCUUAUGUUCUUGUUGUUAUGACCUCUUAUAAUGUUGAUAGCUGCUAAAUUUUGCUUAAUAGUUCUUAUAUACCAGAUGAAGUUGAACUCGUCUGCCAUUCAAUUUGCUUUGAAAACUUGAAAGAUAGACAGUUAAAUUUACAACCAAUGACAAUGCAUCUGAUGCCAAUUUCUCAUGUCAGGGACCUUAGCAGAAACCAACUCACGGGAAAUAUACCUUCCAAUAAGCUGUCUGAUAAUAUCACUACCAUGUAAGAUUCUGGUAAAAUAUUAAACUGCUUAAAUUUUUACUGGUUAAUACAGCCAACUUUUAAUCUCACUCCCUUCUUCUUCUCUCCUCCCCCUCCCCCGCUCUCUAUCAGUAUUUGUAGGUAGGUGGUCUAAUGGAAUUACUGUCUUAACAUAAACUCUUUUCUUUUUGUUGUUUGAGUAACUCAGUCUUGGUAAUAUCAGACUCUCGAUAGUGAAGUAACUACUUUGAUGAUGAUUGCAGCAUUCUGUCAGGAAACAUACUUAAUGGUUCUAUUCCUUUGAACUUUUCUGCCCUUCCAAAUCUGCAAAGGCUGUAAGGAGCUUCAUUUGUUCAAUCUUUGUUUCUUGAUCCUCAGGUUAUUUCAAAUUUCAUUUCGAUACUAUAAUAGCUGCAGUAUUGACACUUCCUUUCCUAAAAUUAUUUUUCUUGUAGGUCACUCAACAAUAAUAGGUUAAGUGGUUUUGUGCCAACUACCAUUUGGGAGAAUAAGACAUUUUCCUCAGAUGCAAAACUUAGAUUGUAAGAGUAUCAUUUGUUCAUUUUCCUCUUAACAGUACUUUAUUUUUCAUUUUUGUGCUGUAUACUGCCCCACAAUCGAUUGGCUAGAUAAAGUUGUUAACCAUAAGAUAUAGAUAAAAGCUUUUUGUAGAGAAUCAACCAAAAUUUAUGUGUCAAUUUCAGUUUGAUAGCUAUUCAGUGCACAAGUAGUUUUGGAUAGACAAAGAAGUAAUAAGUACAGAUAUGGAAUAAAGUGUCUAUUGGCAACAAGGUUUUUCCAUCUCUAUACAGUUAAAGUACAACAAGGGAUAAUGUGUCUGGUGUUUUGUUUUGCUAGAGGUAAUAUAGCAUGUAUACUUUCCUCUUACUAAACCAUGCCAUGCUUGACUAGAAGUGGCCCUCAUAUGUUAACACCUCAGAUUUCUCGGCUGAUCCAGUUGAUCUCCUUUGUGCAGGAACCUUCAACGUAAUUUACUCUCUGAUAUUUCAGGGAUUCUUGAUCCUCCUCCAAAUGUCGAUAUUAUGUAAGACCAUAUUUCUGCUAGUCUUGAGCACACAUAUUUGUGUUACUUUCAGUUCUCAGCUUUUAUAUUUACUAGUUCUUGGACACGUACAAUGCAUGUGUAUUCCAUACUAAUUAAUACAAAUGAAAAGAAAACUCUAAGGGUCUGUUUGGAAAGCCACCUGGUAAUUGGAAUUGGUGUAAUUACUAGGGUAGUAAUUACCAGCCUAGUAAUUACACUGACUUGUUUGGUUGCCAAUUACACUGUAAUUACACAUGUCCUGUUUGGAUGCCACAAUGUAAUUAUACAUGUUGUGUUUGGAUGUACAAUUGCAAUCAUAAAAUUAUAUUAAAUUUUAAAAAUAAAAAUUAAUUAUUUAAAAUUUAUACUAGACAAAUAAGAAACUUUAUAAAUAAUAUUAAAUUAAAUAUUUAAGAGAUAUAUUCUUUGACAAAAAGAUAAUCUAUCAAGUCUUAUUAAAAAAUGACUUGCAAUGUGAAUUCAAUAUUACUAAAACAAAUGAAACUGAAAAUAUAACAUAAGUUAUAAAUUCAAAACAAAAAAAUUUAACAUAAUACUCUUAUAGCAAAUUUCAACAUAGCAUACAUAAAUAUGAUUUAUUUUUUAUUUUUAAAAAAAAACGUAAACCUUACUUAACAAUAAAUUCUAUUUUAAUUUAAAAAUUAGAAUACUAAUAAAAUUAUGCUAAUGAGAAAAUAAGCAUGGCAUAAAGAAAUAGAUAAUACGAAAAAAUUGCAUAGAAUCACGUGAAGUAAGGUUGAGAACGAGAAGAAAAUGAAAUAUAAUAAUAUAAAAUAAAAAAUAAACUUCUAGAAAUUUUUAGAAUAAUAAAAAUAAAAAUAAAACUUAAAAUAAUAUAAGUGAAAAAAAUAAAAAUAGAAUUAAAAUAAAAUAAAAUUAAAAGGUGAUCAGUUGGUAAUUACACCAUGUAAUUACCAGCAAUUCACAGCCUCUGCCUGUGAAUUGGAGAGUGUAAUACCCCCUGCCAAUUACACCAAUCACCUGUUGACCAAGUAAUUACCCUGUCCAACCAACAGAACAAUGUAAUUACACCAAUUACACCAAAUCCAAUUACCAGGGUGUCCUUCCAAACAGGCCCCUAGUAGAAAAUGAAAGUUCGAAGGAGAAAUUAUACCAUGCAGUAGGCUCUGUUCCUCAUUCUCAUUCAUUACCCUUCAGUAUUCUAUUUUGAAUAUAGGUAACUAUUUUUAUAUAUAAAGUUGGGUGUCAUUAUAUCUUGAAUAAUGAAAUUGAAGUAGUUCUGGAAAUCAUAAGAGAGAAAAUCAUUUGAAAAAGAAAAGAGAAAAGCAAACCCACAGUAUCAACAAUCUUAUAUCCAGUUAUUGCAAGCAGAAGUUGCAAAAACUUUUCUACUAUAGAUCAUCCAAUUGCGAUAAGUACGAAUAUCUAAUCCAAAUACCACAAUGUUUGAUUAUUCAUAAUAUUUGAAAAGAAAAAUGAGUUGCCCAGUCUUCGAAAGCAAAGCAGAAAAUGAGAUGACAAAAUGCAUGGCAACCAAAAUUAAAUUCAUACAAGUGCAUAUGAAUUAAAUUUCACGUGACACUAAAAUUCAUGGCUGAUUUUGUUUAAAACUGUCAAGACCCUAAAAUCCCAAGCUGUGAUGGCACCUACCCAAAUCCUGUAGGUGAUUCAAUUACAAUACUAGAUCCAUUUUAGCAAUUUAAACCGUGGAAUUAAAAGGGAAACGGGUAAACAAGGCAAAAGCAAGUGUUGCAGGAAAUACACAAUACGCCACCCAAAACCUGGUGUCACAAGUACAAGAGCUUCUAAAGUAGGAUUACAAUUCUCAAUAAGUACUAUGACUGUCCAAAAAGGAAAGAUAGAAAUAAAUAAAAGGAAUGGAGUCAGGUGUCUCGGAAUAACCAAGCAGCUCACCCCGAAAUCGAAUACUCCAAUCUAUCACCAAUUAGAUGCAAGAUAACCUAUCACUCAUACUCAGAACAAAAUCUGCACUCAAACGGUGCAAAAAACAAGGGUGAGUAUGAGAAACAUGUGUACUCAGCAGCAUCGUUGAUCGACCCUAAAUGAAGUAAUAACGAGGGUUGGUUAUACCAUGCUUACCUUCACACUUCUCAAUAACCAUAUCAAUAACAAGUGUAAAGAAUCCAAACAGUUAAAUGAACAAGGUAGUUACAAUUAUCAGAAUUCUUCAAGUCAGGCAAGUAAGCUUCAGAUAAUGUCAACCAAACAGGUAAGAAUCAAUAUGAAGUACGAUAACCAAUGCAAUGCAAGUGAUGUGAGAUGAGAUGCAAUGCAAUGGCUAAUGCACCAGUACACACACUCCUGCGGUAGGUAGUCGGGACUCAUGGAGGACUCGCGAGGCCCAUAGACUGCCCCCACAAUCCGGUCUGUAGACCCAUCGGGUAAAAUAGUAUCAUCACUCCAACCAGAAUCCGGUCUCUUAGACCAAUCUGAUAAUCACUGUAUCAUCAUUUCAUCCGGAAUUCGGUCUUUUAAACUCAUCAGACUAACCAUAUGAUUCAUCAAGUAUAUAAUGCAUGAGACAUCAUAUGAAAGCAUAAUAGAAUACUAGAGUUAUGGAAUACAUGAACAGAUAAAAUACCUUUCAACCAGUUCAUACUUCAAUUUACAAAUAAUAGUGAGUUAUGAAUAUCAGAUGGUCAUACAAGCCAUGUAUCAACUAAAAGCUCAAUUAGUCAUGUUCUUACCCACUGUUAUCAUAUAGUGUUUUUGAUGGGUAAAAGUUUUUAUUAAUAUGGUACCAAGAUAGCACAGGACCAAGUACAAAGCUACAACAUCUCCACAAUCAUACUACAUAUUCCCCCCAAAAAGAUCCAAAAAAAAAAACAAAUAUUGGUCCGUCCCAUCUAAAGUACUACUAUAACACCAAAAAAACAAGUUUUUGAUACAUUUAUUUUUACUCUAGCAAUCUACGGUCUUUUUCCCUCAAAGCAUGUCUUGUUCCUUUCCAGCCAAACAGUCCAAAAUAUGCAAAUGGGAAUGCUCCUCCAUAUCUGUUUCGCUCUUCCCUUUACUCUUUGAGAUUGCCAAACUUCCAACAGACUAUUGAUCCUGUGAUAUAACCAGAGACACACCCAUAAUGUUCAGAAACAAUUUCCAGCAUUGUCUUGAGAAACUGCAAUGUAGGAACAAGUGCUCAACUGUUUCCUGCUCCCUGUUACAAAAAAACAUCUGCUGCACAUGGAAUAGUCUCUCCUUUGCAGGUUAUUUUGGUUUAAACGAGCAUCCCUGGCUGCUAACCAACCAAAGCAGGUUGCUUUCAAAGGUGCCUUGGUUCUUCAGAUCAUUUUCCAGGGCCAGUAAGGAAUACCCUGAUUAUUCUGCUGUAGAAACAUUUUAGAAGAACUUUUGAUUAAAAAUAAUUUAUCCCUGUUAUGGACCCAACUAACACAUCUGUUUUAUCUCAAUCAAUUAAGCAUGUGUUCAGUUGUUCCAUCAGUUGACUGAAACUUUCUACUUCUCUAUCAUUCAAGUUUCUCCUGAUAGUAAUAUGCCAGCCUGAGUUUCAUGGAAAUUUAACAGGUUACAUAACGAAGAAUCAACAAGUUUUUCAUUAUGAUGGAGCCAGUAUACAUUUUCUUUUUUGAUUAAUUCUAAAAACAAAUUGCUCAACUUCUAUCUCAGUUAAAUGUGUUCUAGCUUCAUCUGAUAGCUUAUGCAUGUUUGUGUGCAGCUGUGUGUGCCAUAUUUGCUGGUUGCACAAAUUACAUUAAUAAUGUGAUGGGGUUAACCCAUUUCCUGAUAUUUUAACUUGCAAAUAUUUUCAAUGGCAUAAAGUUCGGGCUCUUCUUAUCACUCUUUGAAAUUUCUGAUUAAGCAUUCAUCAAAUUAUGACACUGAAUAAUAACUUUCAGGCUUUAUGGAAAUCCUGUAUGUGGAAAUGCAAAUGAGCGUCAGAUUACCCUGUUUUGUAAAUCAAAAGAUGGAGAUGAAGAGUAUGGAGUCUUUAACAAUUCCAUUCCAAGUUGUGCAGCCCAGCAGCCUUGCAACAGUUAUUCCGAACAUGUCCCAAGAUUAGCGGAUGGCUGCUUUUGUGCAGCACCUUUUGGAGUUGGUUUUCUUUUAAGAAGCCCUAGCUUUUCAGACUUUCUGCCACAUUACAGUGACUUUGAGCAGUGGAUAAAAGACAGUGUUAACUUGAAUAUUUAUCAAAUAUACAUUCAUUCUGUUGCAUGGCAAAGCGGUCCUAGGCUUAGGACGUUUUUGAAAUUUUUCCCUCCACGUAUAAAUGAUUCCAAUGAUUUUGCCAAAUUUAAUGACAGUGAGAUAGUACGGAUCGCAAACGUAUUUGCCACCUUUAAUCUUACUGGAAGUGAUGUCUUUGGCUCAUAUGACGUGCUCAAUUUCACUGCCAUGGGAUAUAGUUCUGGUAUGUCUCCAAACCCAUUGUGUUUUUGCAUAAGUAGGAUAUAAUCUUUAAUGUUAUUCACAGAUCAGAUUGAUUAAAUGUGGACAUUUUCAGUUGUAGUUGUGUAAUGAUUUCCUGAGGAAUUUAAAGUAAAACCAAAUUGAAUCAAGAAAAAAAAUGUGAAUCUCGUGUGCCCGUAUGAUUUUUUUCUUUAUUCUUGCUGAUUCUUGAAUAUAAUUAUUAUGAUUAUUAUUAAUGUCGUUUUACUGGUCAUGCUCAGAUAAAAACUCUCUUUCCCGUUGUGCUCCAUUUCGUUUCUGAAAAUGUCUAUUUAUAUCAUCUAUCUUGUGAUAUGGAACACAGCUUCUUCAUGUUGUCGUUAAGUAUGUGAGUAAGAAAAUUCAAUGAAAUGGUUUAGAUACCCAUGCAUUAUUGAAGCUUAACAUCCUCAUAGACAUGCUAACCUGACAGAGAUGCUAGUGAUUCUUAGAUACUUUUGACUACAUUACUAUAAGUUCUUAAUUAAGUAAAAUCUACAGACCCAUUCAGAAACUCACGAGGAAUUGCCUACUAUUGUUUUAUUUUUUAUGUAAAGAAGAAUUUGUUUAUUAAUGAUACAGAAUCUGUUUAAAGAAACAUUAUAGAAUCUUUGUAAGAAGAACAAAGAUCUACCUUUUUAUUUUUGUAUUCUGUAAAGAUGCUUCACAACACAGUCUUUGUCCUGAAGAUAUAUAUCAUUGUUACCUUUCUCAAAAAAAUAUGCUACCAUAUAAGAGAGACAAUAACUUGCUCUGUUCUUGUCAUUCUUCCUGCUUUCUCAAGAUCAAAUUCUAAAAAUUUUCAUUCUUGCAGCCCUUUUUCCCCCGUUGGGGGGAGGGGGAAGCAGAGUAAACAUAGGCACCAUGGCUGGAAUUGUCUUUGGAUCCUUAUGUGCUGCAGCUGUGCUACUUAUGGCCAUAAUAUUCGUGUUUCUUAAAAUGCGUCGAAGGUUCCAUGUUUCAAAAGAUCAAUCAUGUGAGUUAAUCUUCAGUUAUCGUAUGUGACUUUGCCUUAGCUAUGGGGAGUUUCUUCUCCAUUUCUUUCACUCACCCCCGUUAGGACCUGCUGGUUAAGUAGUCAAUAGACUUAACUUUUCUUGGAUAUUCUUAUGAAUCACCAAAAAUGAGGCCGUGAAACCACAUUUUUUGAGCGGUUCAAGCAUAUAACGCAAACUUCAUACCUUAUAAUUUCCGAUUUCCAGCUUCUGUAGAACAAAAGAUGCCAAUAACCAUUCUUUUUCUUCUUUACUGUGAUUUUCUUGUUUAAAUUGUCUAUUUAAUCAAGAAAUAACACAGAAUUGCCAGUGUCAACCAUCUUUUUUGUAUGUGGCAAACUAUCUUUCUUAGUACGUUUGUUUGUAAUUUAACUAUGAUAUUGCUUGAUGUUUACUUUAAGUUUCUUUUUAGGAGAGAGAGUCUGGUGCUUUAAUUCCUCACAUGGCCAGAGAAUUUUACGGGUUUUAUGGAAUGUUUGUGCAUAUUGCAUUUUACAAUAAGCUCUCCGCCAAUGCCCCAUCACCCCUAAAACAAAAAAGUGGAAAAGAAAUAAAUAGAAAGUGUGCUGGGCAUGUAUAACUAAGUAAUACCCUUGUUGUAAUGCGUCUGUUAUUAGUAUAUUAAUUAUACUACAAUUUAUGUUCUUUCAUUAGUCAGGGUUAAUUGAUAUUCUUAAACAACAUUAUACCCAGUGUAGUCCCACAAAUUAGGGCCCGAAGAGGGUAGAGUGUACCCAGACCUUACCCCUACCUCAAAGGUCUCAAGUUGUCUCCGAUGAUCCUCGACUCAAGAAAAACAGCCCAAAGUAGUCUAGAAAAAGAAAUAAUGGAAGUGUAAGAAACAACACAUAGUAACAAAACAAUAUUACACAAAACACUAUGAUAGUUGAAGUACAAGGAACAAUAGAUAGUAACAGAAAUUAAUUGAUAUUCUUAAAGUGAAAAACAUUAGUUGAAGCCAACUAUUGUAUCAAAGGUUCAUUUGCAUUGAAGUAAUUGUUGAAAAUUGCUUUUGUUGCUGCAAAUUUACUAGGAAUAACAAGUAGUUUAGUUGUAGGAGGAGUCUUCCGUUGAAUUUAAAUUUAAAUCUAGUUGGAUAUAUUUAAUUGAGAUAAUUUAGGAUUUUGAAUUUUAUUUUGCAGAAUUUCUGAUUUCAAGUUACUAUUUUAAACCCUCUAUACUUAGCAAAAUUAUUGAAAUACAUAGUGUAAUUACUUUAAAAAAAAAAUUGGUGGCACCUUCUUUUAAAAAAACCAAGUGGUGUCAACGCUUUCUUUGAUAUUAGGGCCCGUUUGGCCAUGCGAUAUGAAAUAAUGAUAUGGAAUCAUAAUAUGAAAUCAUGAUAUUUGGAAUCAACAUAAAAUCGCAUGUCCAAACGCUGAUUUCAUUUCACGAUUUCAUAUCGUGACAUGAUAUCACAUGGCCAUACGCCUACUUAUUGAAUCUGAGUUCAUUGAAGUACUUCACGAGUGAGAACUAUCAAAUUUGGUGAGUGAAGUUCAAGUCUUCCUAUGAAAUGUAUAAUUCAUUGCGAUGUAGUGUUGGAAGAGAAGUUUUUACAACACUUUUUGCAAAUUUUAUAAUUGUCCAUAUUAAAACACUUUCGAAAGAGCUUUCGGGCAGAAAAUGUUAUUGAGGUGCUUUUUAUGCACAAAACAAAAAGAACAAGAAAGAUUCAUGUUACAAAAGUAUGCAAAGUUGGAGACACUCAAAAAAAUCCUCAAGCACAAACAACAGAAAUAGAAAUUGAGGAAUAACUUUUUUAAAUUGCAUCAACAAAAGCAAAGGAGUGUUGGAAAUAGUUUUUGUUAUUGCAGAUUUACAGAAUAACUAGUUUAGUCGCAGGAGGAGUAUAUGUUUGAAUUUUAAAUUAGUUUAGUUGCAGGAGGAGUAUCUGUUUGAAUUUAAAUUUAAGUUUUGUUGAGAUAGUUUAGGAUUUUGAAUUUUAUUUUGCAGAUUUUUCUGUUUUCAAGUUGUCUAUUUAAAGCGCUCUAUUCUUGAUAAAAUUAUUCAGAGACAUUUUAAAAUUGUUCUUCCAAUCUUUUUUGAUGCACCAUCUUUAAAAAAAAAACAGUCAUGCUAUCAUCACCUAAGCUUUUUCCUUUCAUUCUUUUUAUGACAACUUUUCAUGCUAAUGUUUUCAAUGAAUAUCUAACUAUGAGUAAUUGAACCUUCUAUGUCAUUAAUCUCUACCCAAGACCACGUGGAACUCAUUGUAAUGUUCCUUUCAGUUCUUUUGUAGUGCCAAAAUUUCCAAUGCGAAUAGAAGGUGUUAAGGCAUUGGGUUUUAAGGAAUUAGAGGCAGCAACUAACGGUUUUAGUAGUACAACUAUAAUUGGUCAAGGAGGCUAUGGAAAGGUCUACAAAGGCAUUUUGGCAGAGGGCACAAUAGUGGCAAUAAAACGUGCACAGCAAGGCUCAUUACAGGGGGAAAAAGAGUUCUAUACUGAGAUAGAAUUACUGUCACGUUUGCAUCACCGAAAUCUGGUUUCUUUGGUGGGAUACUGUAAUGAAGGAAUUGAACAAGUAAGAUUCUCCAAACUGGAAAAAUAAUACACAAUACAUUAUAUAUAUAUAUAUAUAUUCUUAUGGUGAUCGUCUCAGUUCAAUAGUCAACUUCUGAUUGCCCAAUUCUGGUUGAACACCUAGGCCAAAAUUGAAAUUUGUGCCUUGUUGAUCAUUUUGAAUCCCUCGCUGCCAGUGUGUAGAAGCAAUCAAGCAUAACAUCAAUCACCUUCUACAACUUAGAGAAAUCUAUUUGAUAUCAAUCCAGAUGCUAAUGAAAUGACAAGCAUCACAUAAAUGAUAGUUAAAUUGCAGCGCAAAGUUCAUAGACUUAGCUGAUUCUUCUGUUAAAGUAAACUCAAGCAAAAGUCUUCUGAGAUAGUAUUUUCAUCAUAUUAUCUUUUUUUGUCAUUGUUAAAGAAUGACAAAAAGUUCCACAUCGGUGGUUAAUGAGAUGGGUGGACUCCUUAUAAGGCUUGGGCAAUCCUCCUCCCUUUGAGCUAGCUUUUGGGGUGUGAGUUAGGCCUACGACCUAAUUUAACAUAGUAUCAGAGCAAGGCCCGUCUCACCCGAUGUUGGGGCCCACAAAAUCAAAAAUUGCCCAUGCACUAGAUGCUAAGCACUGGGCGUGAGGUGGGGUGUUAAAGAAUGACAAAAGUCCCACAUCGGUGGUUAAUGAGAUGGGUGGACUCUUAUAAGACUUGGACAAUCCUCCUCCCUUUGAGCUAGCUUUUGGGGUGUGAGUUAGGCCUAAGACCUAAUCUAACAGUCACCAAUUUUUAUCACAUGUUAAGUGAUUCAAUUUGUGAGCAAAUCCAAUCUACAAUACUUAGAUCACUAAAUAUUAAGUUCAACCAGCAGUCCCAUCUAUGAGCCACUCAUCAGUUACAUCCCUCAUACUUGCGUACAUACUCUGGUUGCAUUAGUGUAAUGCAUGUCUUCUGAAAAAUUAAUCAAAUUAAGAAACAGAUGGAAUGAUAAGAAAGGAUAUUAAGUUUUGUAGUUUUCUGUUCUACUUUUGUAAUAGUUGGUUUCAUGUGCAUGCAGAUGUUGGUGUAUGAGUUCAUGCCAAAUGGUUCCUUACAUGAUCUUCUCUCAGGUAUGUGAUGUAUCCUUCCUUUGCCUAUGGUGUCAUUUGACUUCCUUUUGUUAGAAUCAAGCACAUUUAUUCUCCUUUUUUCACUUUUUCUACUGGUGUUCUUUAUUUUUAUCCAAAAAAGAGGGUGAAAGAUGUCCCUCUAGUAAAGAAUGCUUGUAUACAUGAAAGUAAAUCUAAUUUCUCAGAGAGCGUUUUUUUUCUGAAGUUUUUACUUCAUUUUGACUCCUGAACUCCGAUGGUCAGUUUCCUACUUUCUUCACUUGUGUGAUGAGGUCAUCAACAUGUUUAUCACGUGGAACCUUAUAUUCUUAAUUGUAAUCAUGUGUUAGUAAGAUUAUUAAAGAUCUUACUUUAUUUUUACAGCUAGAUAUGAGCAACGUCUGAGUCUUGGAACAAGGUUAUACAUUGCUUUAGGUGCUGCCAGGGGCAUCCUCUACCUCCAUUCUGAAGCUGAUCCUCCAAUAAUCCAUCGUGAUAUCAAGGCAAAUAACAUACUGUUGGACUCCAAGUUCACCGCAAAAGUUUCUGAUUUUGGAAUCUCAAGGCUUGCACCAUUACCUGAUGCUGAAACGAGUGGAAAUGUAUCAACUGUUGUGAAAGGAACUCCUGUAAGGCUUUACUCGUCUUAUAUGUUGAAGCCUGCAAUAGAAAAUCGCAUUGCAAUAAGACCUGCAACUUAAGCAAUCUAGGUAGCAUGACCACAGACCAGGACUUGAUAUUCUUCAAAAUCAAUGAUAAAACUGGCUGAGAAUAGGGAGAGCUUUUCUAUAUUCAUUCUAACAUAUGCAUGAAAUUGUCUCAUUAAAUGGAUCAAAUCUCCUAUCAAAAUAAUUAAUCAACAGUGUGAUACAUUCAUCUUCUUAAGCACUUCAAUAAUGGACGGUUGACCUUCUUCCACCCUUUCGUGUGUUCCCCACCUCCAUUGAUCAUUGCAGAAUUUAAACAUGAGUCUACAUCUCACAGUAAAAAUUGAUGGACAAAACAAUUGUCUUAAAAAAAAUGUUUUUUCAGUGACAUGCUUAAGACACAUUUUAAAGGUAGUUACUGUUGAGUCCCACAUUGGUCGGUGGGAGGCAAAUUUGUCUCCAUAUAGUGUCUUGGACAAUCUUCCACUCAUGAGUUGGCUUUUGGGGUUUAGUUAGGCCCAAAAUACAUUUCUUUAUCAUGGUGUCAGAGCUAAGCCAAGCUCACAAGUCAACACACAAGGCUCUUAGGAAUGGUGCCUUGAGUGCUCAAUCGGCACAGAUGUCUUUAUCAUUCCCACAGAUAGCGGGCAGUGUAUAAUCGGUCCAUACACUGAGCCUCCAACACUCGUUGGGCGCCCAACACUCACCUUGAAGAUGUGCGUCGCCCAUAGAGUUUCCUAACUCGUAUGGAUACCAUAGACACUCCUUAGAGAUGCCUAGGCAGGCCCUUGAGGAUCCCCCUCAAGGUUGCUCACUUGGUACGGCUUGAUGCCAGCACCCACGGGGGAGGUUGGCUGAGCAUGCAACACAUCUGCUCCUUUUUUUAUGCUUUAAAGAAAUAAGUCACACUGGAUGAUAUGUUUUGGUCAGAGAAUCAUAAUGGGUAUUUCUUAUUGAUCCGAACUCCAAAGGACAUCGUUUGUUCCUAAAGACUUGUAUUGACAUCCUUCACACCUCCAUGAAGUUUUACACCUCCAUUGACUUUUUAUUUUUAGUUAAGAGAAUGCCUAUAUAUAUAUAUAUUGCUACUUUGAUUUGUUCAUUAAUGAUUUAAUUGUUAGUUGACUUUUUAUUUUUAGUUAAGAGAAUGCCCUUACACUGAACCAAACUUUUGAAAAAAUAACACCGACACCGAACCGAGAAACCGAAUUAGUUCGGUUCGGUUUUUCGGUUUUCCGAUAUUUAUGUCCACCCCUACCCACAACUGCACGUCUAGGCCAACAGGCUCUCAAGGCUUAAUCCAAGCCAACCUCACAAGUCAACACACGAGGCUCUUAACAGCGGUGCAUGGAGUGCUCAUUCGGCAUGGAGGUCUUUAUCAUUCCCACAGAUAGCCCGCAGGGCAUAAUCUGUCCAUACAUGGAGCCUCCAGCACUCAUUGGGCGUCAACGCUAGCUCUGAGGUUGUGCACCGCCCAUAGAGUUUCCUAACGUGUAUGGGUACCUUGGCCACUCCUUAGAGAUGCCUAGGUAGGCCUUUGAGGAUCCCCUUUUAUCAUGGUAUCGGAGCCAACCCACCCAAUGCUUGUUCACCCAAUGUUAGCCCCCACCUUACAGUGUCCAUGCUCCAAAUGUCCAAUCCUGGCUCCAGAUUUCCUUACAUGGUUUUCGGAAAUCCUCCCCUCAUGUGAUACUUUUUGGGGUUGAGUUAAGCCCAAGAUACAUUUCUUUAGCAGUUACAUACAUGUAUAUGAUGGUCUGUCCUGUAUGGUAACAAUCUAAAAUCAUGUUUAUCAAAAUCUGGCGAUUAAAUUUUAGUGUUUCCCAAAGCAAAUAUUUGCCAUGGUUAAGACUUCUUGUUUAAGGUCAAUAGUAAAUUUGAAUAUUCACUCCAGCUGAAUGCUUUAUGGAAUGAAAGCCAUAUGGGUUUGACAGGGAAAAUAUUGAAACUGUGGAAAUGGCUUGCAAACUCAGAAUAUCAUGCCUCAUUGAUUUUAGAGUCAAGCAUCAGUCACUGUUAUUUGUGAUUAACAAUGAGUAAAUUAUGAUUUUCAGAUAUCUACCAGUUUGUUCCUAACUAAUCAAAGUUCGAUUCAAUCAUCAAGUUACACUAAUGAAUCUAAUAUAAAGGAAAAAGUAUAAUCUGGGGAUGAUCUUGUUCAAAAUCUCUCUAUCUAUGUAUCUCUCUCUCACACACAGAGACUUGCUUGAUUGUUUUUGUCUUCUUGCCUUUCCUCUUGAGAAUUCAUCCUCUGAAGUUUGAUCAUGAAUACACAUACUAUGAUCCCCUAGUAUUUCAUUGCUUUUUACCUUCUCAAUUAUUUUUCUCUUUGCUUCUCCAAAGAUAGCUGACAGUUGCCAAAUUUUGACACUUGUGUAGGGCUACCUUGAUCCUGAGUACUUCUUUACUCACAAGUUGACAGAGAAAAGUGAUGUUUACAGCCUUGGUAUUGUAUUUCUGGAGCUUUUAACAGGGAUGCGACCUAUUUCUCAUGGAAUGAACAUUGUCCGGGAGGUACUUGCUUCUUUUUUCCCCCUAAAGUUAUCUUAGCAUUGCACUUUGUUCAUGAAGACGGAAAUCUUCAAGGGAACAUUUGAUAGCUCUUCUAGAUAUAUUCGGUGUUUGCUAAUGGAUCUGAACUAAAGCAGUAGAGGGCAUUUGCUUUCAUGAGUUUCAGUUCUUUUAUCGCUUUAAUAAGAACCUCAAUAAAUUCCAAUGUGAUCUAUUUUAUGAAAUUGAAAUACAGCAUACGAAUCAAUAUAGUUACUGGGUCCUUAAAACUUUUUUUUUUUGAAACUGGCAACAUUUGAAUUGAUAUUUGUACUUAGGUAGUACCGGAAGAACCAUAUUUACAACAAAGUAAGGCAAAAAGAAACUGAUCCUGACUCUAGAUGGACCCCUAAAACAUCUAAAAUUGACUCAGUCUCAUUAGAGCAAACAUUUGCACACCAAAAGCAGAACAACAAUAUACAUUAAAGUUUAAUCUCUUGCACAUUGCUGCUCCUGUUUUCAAAAUAUCUGUCAUUCCUCUCUCUCCAUAUAGUACACCAAAUGCAGGCAGGAAUAAUCCUCCAUCUGUGUCUGUUUCUAGCUCCAAAUCCUGUUUCUUUCCAACUGAAAAGAGUAGCAUCAAUCUUACUAGGCAUUAUCCAUGAGAUGCCUCUGAGAUUGAGGAAAAUCUGCCACAGUUGGUCAGUGACUUUACAGUGUAGGAAGAUAUGUCUAACUGUCUCAACAUCUAUUCCACAUAAAGGAUGUAUGUUGCACAGUGGAAUUCCCCUCUUUUCCACAUUGUUAAGAGUCAAAGUAGCCUCAUCAUAUCAUAUAAUCAUAUCAUCAUAUCAUAUAUCAUAUAUCAUAUAUAAUACUAUAAGUGGGAACAAAAAAAGUUAAAAGUUGAAAUACCAAAAUAACCUUAUAAAGUUCAGUUACUACAAUAAUACUAGUACUAGUAGUAUUACUAAAAGUGGGAACAAAUAAAGUUAUAAGUUGAAAUACCAAAAUAACUCUACAAAGUUGAGUUACUACAAUAAUACCAUUAAAACAAGAACUAAGUUUUUCCUAAUAAAAUCUAAAAUCUAAAAUCUAAAUUGUUCAGCAUUAAAACAUGAAAUAAAUAUUUUUUUGAAAUAAAAUCUAAACUAUUCAUUUAUGACAACAUACAAAACUGGCUCUUGAUUGUUUUGUUACCUUUUCUAAAAUGCAUGUCUUCUCUUUUCUUCUUUUUUUCCAGAAAAUAAUUAAUUACAUCAAUUUAUUUUACGCAUGCAUCUUUACUUAAGAGCUAACUUUUAUAAUUUUCAUAUAUUUAAUCUUCUAAUUCUCAAUUCUUAAUCUUGACCUUUCAAAUUUCUCACAAAUAAAAAAAAAUACAAAUGAGUAAUUAUUCCUUAAAGAUAAGAAAUUAAAGUAGAUACAUGUAUCUUUUAAAGUUAAUUUUCAUGCUUUAUCUUUUUUAUAUUUAUUUUAAUAGUAUUUGAUCUUUCAAAUUUCCAUGUAACUUUUCCUAUUACUGCAAUUCUUGUCCUAUAAAUUCAACCUUUCCAAGGAAGACUUUUAUUUACUACUACAAUUUUUGUGUGUUGGAGCUCUAAAUCGGUGAAAUAAUGUCACAAUUUGUUGUGAAAGUUGUGAGAUCUCCCUUAUACAAUCAUGGGAAUAGACAAGAAUUUAGUUAUUGUAGCAUUGGAGCUUGAUGUAUUAGUUUUAUUCUUGUUUGUAGUAAUUAGAAUUAUAAUGAGACUUUUCUAUCUCGCUUUAUAUAGUUGAAUUGCUGAUUUGUUAGCAACUUGCUUUAAUUUUAGAUUUUUUUUUGUAUGCUCAAAUAUAGACUAUUUGUUACGUUAAUUUUUAUUUCAGUUUUCAUUAUAGAGCAAAGCAAACCUAAUUGGCUUGUUCAUGUGUUUCUUUCUUCUUAUGUUUGUUCUUUGUACUUCUAAUUUUACAUGUAUAUUAACUUUCACCUUUAAGAAUGAAUUUGAUAGAAUGUUUACUCAUUUUAAGAAGGUGAAACAUAUAGCAUUAGGUUAAUGGUGGAUAAGUCAUGUAUGAAGAGACAAUUAAAUUCUAUAAAAAUAUAGUAGUAUGUUUAUAAAUAUUCUGAUUUUCAAACUAUAAAUUAUAAGACUUUUUACACCUUAAUUUUUAAUAUUUAUAAUUAAAUAAUUAGUUUAAGUGCUCGUGGAUAAAAAUUUAAUAUACUAUUUUUGUACACAUCCAUUAUAAUUAUACAAAAAGUAAAUAAUUUCCUAUCAAGCUUUUAAUUGAUGAAACAUUAAUAUUGCACUACGGUUUGCAUAAAUUAAUCUCAUGCAAUCUUUUGAUCUUCUAACACUAUUCUACCAACAAAAAGGAACUUUUAACACUAUCGAGAAAUUUAAUUUGGCUAGCUGUUAUCUUUUCCCUUUUGCUUUACAAACUCAUUUUUUGACUUAUAAAUUGAGUUUAUUUUAUUAACUUCUCAUAUCAUUAUCUCGGUGCAUUCACUUGGAGGUCAUGAAAUUGGAGUAUCAAAGUUAAUAGUGAGACAAACUAAGAAACUUCAAUUAGACACAUUUGUUUAGAAAGAACUCAAAUCACGUUAUUUAAUAAUGUUUAUUUUUUAAAAAACUAAUAUACUCAUAAGGGUUACACGCGCAAAGCGCGUGCUCAGAAACUAGUUAGCUAAAAGCCAAGUGAAACAUGCCACUUUGUGGCACUUUGGCUUACCAAAUGUGCUUCCAAGGCCACUUAAUAAUCCGAGCUCUAGGUUGGUUUGUCAGCUUGUAUCCCUCUUUCACCUUAUAUAUGCCUUUGCUAUGCCCAUUCCACCAUAAGCAAUCCUCUCCUCUCCUCUUUGUAGUCCUUGAAAGUUCUCCAAAAACUUACAAGUCAGUCACUCUUGGAAUUUCCCAAUCAUUUAAAUGUCUUCUGAGGACAAAUCCCUGCCUUGUGGUGUCCACAUUUCAGCACCUGUCUCGUGUUGAUGUUGAGCCAAAGCACAGAUGUCAGGAAAUAAACUUUGUAAACUAUCAGGACCCAUUCAUUUGUCUAACCAAAAAAAGAGUCAUGUUGCCGUUAUGUACCUUGAUAGUAGAUUGAAUUUUAAGGAAUGGACAGAAGAGCCUGAUGGAUCUCCAAAGACUAACACCAUAAGGGAUAGUGACUUCUUUAGUUACCCAAUUGUCCAGCUCCCCAUACUUGUUCUUGAUGACAUUACACCAUAAAGCUUGAGUCUCAUGUGGGUAUCUCGAUAGCCAUUUCAUCUUAAGAGUUCUUCUUUGGUCCUUAAGGUUUUUGAUGCCUAAUCCACCCUGUCUUUUGCUUCUGAUAAUAUUCUUUCAUUUGACGAGGUGGUAACUUUUCUUCUCCUUAUUACCUUGCCACAGAAAAUCUCUCCUGAUUUUAUCCAACCUUCAAACCACUGUAUGAGGUAUAUGAAAUAGGGACACCAUGUAAGUUGGUAGAGCAUCUAGGACAGAGUUUAUCAAAGUUAGUCUACCUCCCAGUGACAAAUAAUAUGAUCUCCAUCUGGACAAUCUCUUCUUACAUUUCUCCAAAAUUGGAUUCUAGAUAUCUAUGGAUCUUGACUUUGCUCUCAAAGGCAUGCCAAGAUAUGUUGAUGGCAAUGUGCCUACCACUCCUCCCAGAAUUUGUGAUGGGUGCUCCAUAUUGGGACAAAAUUAAUUGGAGAAAGGUUAGUAAUGAAGUAGAGAAAGCUGUUAUAGCCCAACCCUUAUUUCUAACUGUAGAAUGCUUAGGGAUGAGUUCCCAAAGUUGGAUGCGUUGACAUAAAAUGUUAUGACAGCUAGAAAUUGAGAUCAGCACUAAUAACAUGUCCAUUGUCUUAAUAGUAUCCAGUAGGUGUUUGACCUAAAUGAAAAUGGUGAAGUCCUCAAUGUUUAAGCUGAUCCACAACUAGUACUAGCUCGCCAGCCUAGAAGACGAGAAAUGGCAGAAAAUUAGAGUUCGAGAUCAACACCUAUGUGAAUCAGACAUUUUGAAUUAAAGCUCAAACUAUUUAGAAGUUUGAGGAAAAACUACAGUCAAAGAAAAAACUGUUGAACUCUCCAAAUAGUUAAAGUGUCAUUCUUUUUGGGAACAGAGGGAGUAAGAAAAGUUACUUUUGUACUAAUGACAGGUGAAUGCAGCAUGCCAAUCAGGGAUGAUGUCUUCUAUAAUAGACAAGAGUAUAGGUCCAUAUUCCUCAGAUUUUGUCAAGAAAUUCCUGGAUUUGGCCCUGAAGUGUUCACUGGAUGAACAACAGGACAGACCGCUUAUGCUGGAGGUGGUGAGAGAGUUAGAGGACAUAACUUGCAUGCUUCCAGCAAUUGACAAUAAUAAUAUUGCACCCGAUUUAGAUGUUUCCACAUCACCAACUUCAGCUUAUUCCAGAAACACUACAUCUUACACGACCAUGGAAGGAAUUGAGCUUGUGAGCGGUGUCAUUCCCUCCAUCAGGCCUCGUUGAUGUUUUUAAGGACUUGCUAUAUACCCUUCAUUUACCAACAUGUUAAUGGUCAAAAUUCUGAAGUAUUAGAAGUUCAGUAUUAGCAAGUCUGAGGUAUGUAAAUAUAUAUAUGCAGUUUGAAUCAAUACUGAGAGGAUAAAAAGACUCGUAUAUAUUGGUUAUAAAAAAAAAAAGACUUGUAUAUAUGUUGUUGUUCCAUUCAGAAGAGAAGUGAUUUUAUCAUAUCAUGUAAGAGUUUUUUUAAAUGAAAUACAGAAAACAGUUUGUAGUAAUCAAGUACUGAAAAUAUUACCAAAAGAAUGUGUUCUAAAAUCUCAUGUUAUUGAACUGUUUUAUUCAUCAUUUUUAUUUUUAUUUUGUUUUAGAAAUACGAUAGAUUUAACGUCUAAUUAUUUAUUACACAACAAUAACAUACCCGGUUUAAUUAGUUAUUACACAUAAUUUGAAAAUGAUAAGGUCCUACUAUAUUCUUUUAGGGAGAACUCAUAUAAGUACAACUCAUACACAUACAUUGCAAUAGAAUGACCAAUUUUAACUUUGCAAAUCUGUAGCCCAAAAACAUUAGGCCUGGGUUCGGAAAAGAGGAUUUUCUGUUGUUCUUUUUCAAAUAUUCAAGUGCAAAGUUGGAUGAUUUUCCAUUUUUCUCCUUCAUGUUCGUAUACAUUCUUAUUCUGGCUAUAAUUUUUUUUUUAGCAAAUCCAUAAAUAAUACAAUUUGAAAAUCUUGUCCAAGUUCCAAAUGGAACAAAAUCAAAGAGAAAAAAUUAAAAAAAAUUGUUGCAACUUCGUGAUUUGGAGAGAGAUUAACAAGGAAAGUCGAUUAAUACAUAGAUUGUACGAGAAAAAGUAAGAAAACAUACCAAAGAUGGUUUUUAACAUCAUAUGUAGAGUACAUGUAUAAUGUAUAACUUGUAUAAAUAAUACAAUACAGAAAAAAUAUAUAUUGCAUAAAUACACAAUUAUACACGCAUUAUAACUUUGUAUAAUUAUAUAUGGAAACUAGAUUUCAUCUUCAACUUUGUUUUUCAACUAGUAUGAUUUUCAAGAUCAACUUUUGUCAAACAUUCAAACUCCAUCGACAUAGCAUAUUCUAGAGUCAAGUUACUGCAAGUUUUUUCAAUAAUUAAAAUUUCAUCAAAUAGUUUUAGAGUAAUAUUUUCCACAUCUCAUUCUUGUAGUUAGUUAUGAAAUCCUUUUCAUUUUUCUCCAUCAUUUGUUCUCAUUGAACUUUUGUUUUAAAUUUCUCAUCGACUCAUGAAGAACUGAUUCUGUCAUAUUUGGAAAUAGCACUUCUAUUUCUCAUUUUGUGGUACCAUUAAAGCUUGCACCAAAUUCUAACCACUUCAUACUCCUGCUUUCAAGUUCAAUCAUCCUCUUGAAGAAUAUGGUAUUAUAGUCAUGAAGACAUUGAACUUUAUCAUAGACUCCAAUCUUCACACUUCCUUUUAGAGAGAUUUUUCUGAAAAUUAGAGGUCUAAUUUUGUUGAUUUGGGGUCGACUUUUCAGGAAUCAACCAACAAUUGCUCCUUUACACUGACUUGCUUGUACAAAAAAAAAUUACACAAGCACACCAAAUUAUUGCAGAGGGGAAAACAUGUUGAAAACGACUAAGGCAGCAGAAAGAUUAUAUCAACAUCCCAAAUUUUGAAAUAUUGUCAUAGCAAACAUUGAAUAUGUGGUGAGCUACAUAAAUCUGAACAAAUGAACAAGCUUGAAAUAAAAUGAAUACAAUUGUUAACCUAUCUACCAAGUUGUGAAUAUUACAGCGGUUUGACAAUGUGGUUGAUUCCUAUUCAAGCUUCUUAAAAGAAUACUGUCAACAUCUGGGCACUCGUGCUCAUUUAAAAAUUCAGCAACAAAUGUCUUCUGCAAUGUCUUAGGUAUAUAACCGUAGCACUGCAAGACCAACAGCCGAGAUAGAGACAAGAGUACCUAUACAGUAUUUAAUCACUUCAUAUUUUGCAGCUUCAAUUUGCGCCCUCAAUGCAUGAAUUUCCUAUAUAUGGAUCAAGCAAGAGAAAAAGAAAAGAUGUUCACAAGAUGCAUUGAGUUUAAAGAACGUUCAUGCUCAAAAUAUACAAGAUCCAACACUUACCCGAUCAAGCUUAUUUGUAAGAUUUGUAGUUUCUGCAUUUUGAUUGGCAAGCUCAUCACGGAUGCGUCUACACAAUUAAGAAUGACCACAAUCAAUCAUCAGGGAGUCGAAAAAUGAACGAAAGCAUUCACUAACAUCUAAAACUCUUCAAGCCUUACCCUCUUUCAAGAUUUAAAUCCAACCGUUGGCCGGCAGUAAGCUUGUCAACCUCAUACCUGCAUGAACAAAUAAUAUUGGUUGAUGAAACUGGCACUCAAAAGUAGAAUCAUUUUUCCAACAAUUCAAUUGUACCUUAGUUCACUGCGCAUUUUUUCAAUGUCAUUCCGAAGCUUUUCAAGUUCACGUUGCAGCAGAGAAAAAUGAUGUUCCUGCAACAUUUUUUUUAAUCGGUAUGAAUUCCAUUCGUCAAACUCAAAACAAUGCUCAUUUGGGGGUAGAUCAAAAACAUAUAUCAUGAACAUAUAUAUUAUUAGCACAACCAUGAUGCAAUAAUCAUCGGUCCAACACUGAGUUUGAAGUAAAUUUUCCUCCUUGAUCACCCAAUGUUAAGAGAAUUUUGGGAAGGGUUAGAUCCAUGCAAGAACAAAUUCAAAUUGACAUGUGUUCUCCUAUCUGUCUCACACUGUGUUGAACACAAUAUUGUCAUACAGGCAAGGUUGAAAUUUCUCCCAAGCCCAUCAUAGCCAUAUAUGCCAUCAGUAACACUCAUCUCACAUUGUCUAUCAGAAGGAAAAUUAGUCUUGUGUUGAUGAUUUCCAACAUCCUGGAUUAGUCAAAGUAAAUAAGCUGGUUGCUCCUAAAAGAUGCUUCCCGGUAAGCGAAACAAAACAAACUGCUGUGAUAUCUUUGAAAAAGUUGUCUCAAAUCAGACAAUCAAUUUGACUCACUGACCACAAAUCAAAAUUCUAAAUACUUAUGUCAUCCUUUCCCGGGGUGGCCAACUAGCCUUUUAGGCUGUAACCCUUUUGAUCCCUCAAAACAUUGAGGCUGCAACUCCUUCCUAAAGUAUAUGCAGCUAUCAGAGGCUGAGCCAAAGCUCCAUUCACAACCAACUAGUUUUAAUUUUCAUACUUGGUUGAUAUAGUAACAAGCUCAUCACGGAUGCGUCUACACAAUUUAGAAUGACCAUAAUCAAUCAACAGGGAGUCGAAAAAUGAACAACCUAAUCAUUCACUAACAUCUAAAACUAUUCAGGCCUUACCCUCUUUCAAGAUUUAAAUCCAACCGUUGACCGGCAGUAAGCUUGUCAACCUCAUACCUGCAUGAACAAAUAAUAUUGGUUGAUGAAACUGGCACUCAAAAGUAGAAUCAUUUUUCCAACAAUUCAAUUGUACCUUAGUUCACUGCGCAUUUUUUCAAUGUCAUUCCGAAGCUUUUCAAGUUCACGUUGCAGCAGAGAAAAAUGAUGUUCCUGCAACAAAUUUUUUUUAAUCGGUAUGAAUUCCAUACAUCAAACUCAAACCAAUGCUCAUUCGGGGAUAGAACAAAAACAUAUAUCAUGAACAUAUAUAUUAUUAGCACAACCAUGAUGCAAUAAUCAUCAGUCCAACACUGAGUUUGAAGUAAAUUUUCCUCCUUGAUCACCCAAUGUUAAGAGAAUUUUGGGAAGGGUUAGAUCCAUGCAAGAACAAAUUCAAAUUGACAUGUGUUCUCCUAUCUGUCUCACACUGUGUUGAACACAAUAUUGUCAUACAGGCAAGGUUGAAAUUUCUCCCAAGCCAUCAUAGCCAUAUAUGCCAUCAGUAACACUCGUCUCACAUUGUCUAUCAGAAGGAAAAUUAGUCUUGUGUUGAUGAUUUCCAACAUCCUGGAUUAGUCAAAGUAAAUAAGCUGGUUGCUCCUAAAAGAUGCUUCCCGGUAAGCGAAACAAAAAAAACUGCUGUGAUAUCUUUGAAAAAGUUGUCUCAAAUCAGGCAAUCAAUUUGACUCACUGACCACAAAUCAAAAUUCUAAAUACUUAUGUCAUCCUUUCCCGGGUGGCCAACUAGCCUUUUAGGCUGAACCCUUUUGAUCCCUCAAAACAUUGAGGCUGCAACUCCUUCCUAAAGUAUUUGCAGCUAUCAGAGGCUGAGCCAAAGCUCCCUUCACAACCAACUAGUUUUAAUUUUCAUACUUGGUUGAUAUAGUAAAAAAAAAAUUAUGACCGUGGUGUCCGGGCUUAGCUUUCGCACAUCUCGACUAAUUCCUCGGAAUACUUGUUACCUCCCACCAGCAAAAGGUACCAGGUAACUAUCCACCAAGGCUACGAGAUGAGAAGAAUCACCUAGUGUCCACCAAGGCUACGACAAAUGAGUGUCCACCAAGGCUACGACAAAUGAGAAGAAUCACCUAGUGUUUUUUUCAACCUGAGACCUCAUGGCUCUCAACCACUUCAUUGACCACUAGGCCACACCCUUGGGUACGGUUGAUAUAGUACUAAUUACUAGAAAGAUCCAGCUGACCUAAGUUGUUCAUUUGAUUCGACAAUUUUACUUCAUCUAUUUUUUUUAGUCAUUGCUUCUUUAUACGACCAGGUUAGGAUCAUAUCAUGUCUUAAAGUAAAGAAUAACCAUUGUUGAUCUGUAUUACAGGUCAUCUUUUUUUUUUGUUGAACAUAUGAGAGAUAUGAUUAGAAUAAAUCUGAUCAGCCAAGGUAAUGAGGUACUCCAAAAUCCAAGUGAUAACUAAGCCUCCUCCCUGAGCAAUGGUACUUCUUACAAAUUAAUCAUCUUUCAGAUGCUGUUACAAGUGUCAAAGGCAGUCAGCUUUGAUGAAUGAAACUCAAAAUUUUCAACUACCUUCUCAUCUCUCUCCACACUAUGGCCUAAUAUUUUUGAUUGAUCAUCCUAGUCCAGGAUGAUACUUGUAACAGGGGCAUACAAUGAUAGCUUCAUCUCUGCUUGAAGCCGAUCUUGCUCAAAUUUCUUGAGCAAUUGCCUUUGCUCCUCAAUAGAGGAGGCUCUUUGACGAUGUAAAUUUGAUCUCAACAGUUAUAACAUUAAGUUCUUCUCUCUAGAUCUCCUGAUCGAACACUUUCUGCAACUUAUCUUUUCAGCAUCUGCAGCAGCUUCAGGUUGUGCUUCUGUUGUUCUCUGCUAUAACUCUGAACGGCGCGGUACUCAGAGUGGCACUGUGAUUGAAUUAGAUUGCUCUAUGUACACUGUUUCAAGAAGCUGACAUCUUUAUCAUCUUCCAAGAACUGAACAAUAUUGUUACUAAAGGAGAUCAGCUUCUCCACAUCCAUGUUACUGGACCCAUCCACCAUUGUAUGUUGAGAGAAAUGAGUCUGUAUUACAGUUCUACUUAAACGGCAGUAUAGCCAAAUAAAACGCUCUUCAUCUGCAAUAUGGUAUCACUGAUUUGGUGUCUCCAUUUCCAAGCAUCCAUCAUUGUAUCUUGAAUGAACGAGAAUAACCUCCUCCAUUGAAUGAAGGAAUGAUCUCUGAUGAUAGAGUUUAUGUUCUUUUUAAGUAAACUAGUGGCAAAAUUGUAGGAUGUUAUGGAGUGUUACACGCUAAAUCUUCUUCCGUAAAUCAUCGAAACACAGACUUGAAAGAAUCUAUAUUUAAUUACAGUCUCUUACUCCUUAUGGGAGUUUACUAAUGAAAAGAAACAAACGUUUGUAUGAUCCACGCCUAGCUUGUGAAAAUGAGAAAUGUGUCCAUUUUCAAUCAACUGCUAGCACAACCUUAUUCCUGACAGGAAUUUGGUGCAUACUGUAAUGAAUAAUUGUUAUCCAACACAAGGUGAUGAUGACUCAAUUCAAUUGCCUUUUGAAAUUGUAAUAUUUCAGCAUAUAUAUGUAAAAUUAGGAAGAAACCCUCAUUCACUCUAACCAGAAGGGCAUUUGAAAAUAUUCAAGCAAGUAAUUGUACUAUUUCACUAAGCUUUAACAAUUUCAGCAUCAGCUGAUUUAAAUUAUUAUGGCCAAAUAACGGAGACCAAGAAAUGCACAGGUCAGCAUGUGAGUUAACGGAAAAUGUUCUUGUUAUUUGGAUCAUUGGGUCAAUGAACUGCCUUAUUUAGGUGGGCAAAUGAAAGUAAAAAAUCAUCAUGAACCAUAAUUUCUGCAAGAAAUGAUAAGAGAACCAUAAUCCAGCCAAGCCGCAACUAUACUAGUAAUACUUAAUCCAUAAAUCAAAGGUGCAGCAAUUGAGAUUGGUCUGUCAAACCAACCAUCGAACCUCCCCCACCCACCCAACCCCCCAAAGGAAAGAAAACCCACAAAGAAGCAAGGAAGAGAUGUACAGGACUAGAGUAAAACCAAUUAGGUGAAUUUACUUUAGAACCCAAGGCAGAUCAAACUCAAUACCAUAACAUAGAAUCUCCCCUUACAUCCUGAUGUGGGAGGUAGAAGAAUUAACCACUAUACUUGUCAUAUGCAGUGUUGUCAAAGGCAUGCUAAAGCCCUGAAGCGAGGCAAAAAACAUGUUGAGCACUUCACCUCACUUUAUGGGUGCUUCAGUGUUGUUAUCAAGGCUCCAAGACAUACUUUUCCAUGCCAAUGAGUGCAACCCUUAACAUGUGACUAGGGGUGUGCAUUUGGUUUUUCGGUUUGGUUUUGCACUAUUCGGUUUGGAUUUUUCGGUUUUUGGCUUUAAAAAGUGUAACCCAGUCCGAUCCAAAAUAAAAUUGGUUUGGUUUGGUUUUCCUCUAUUCGGUUCGGCUUUUUCGGUUUGGUUAUUCGGUUAUGUCAAUAAUUAAUAACAUAACCAAAGUAAUAAUAUUUAAUCCCUUAAAUAUACUUGCUAAUAUAAAUUAUAAGUAAAACUUUAAAACACAAUACUUAUAAGUAUACCUAAUAUAGAUGUUCAAACAUAAAAUUUAAAGUUUGCACCAUGUGAUGACCUCAAUUUCGUAUUCUGUCUCUUUUCUUUUCUUUUCUUUUUAGAUGAAGUAAUUGAUUCCAUUCAUGGAAUCUAGAAGAUGCAAGGUAGUUUUCUUUUCUGUUUUUUGAUAAUUAAUUGUCAUGAAUCUGGAAAAUCCAAUCAAUCUCUCGGAUGCUGCUUUCAACAACAGUUUCAUAUUCUUUCACAACUCACAACAAACUAAAGCUUUUCCUACUGAAGUUAUCUACCUCACAGUUAACAUCAUUGAAGAAAAAUAUCACUGGUAUGCAUUAUCACGCCUCCAUCUACAAACUCAUUAAUAAAAGUCAAAGCACCAGAGAAUGGCUAGGCAAUAAAGGUCUUAACAACAGCAUGAAUAUGCUUUUUUUUCAUUAUGUAGAAAAAAUAACUGGGAACAACAGCUUGUAUAUGUUCCGGGACUACAUACAACAGCGUACAAAGAUAGCUUACUUGUCUAUCUAGGCAGAGAAAAUCAUCUAUAGCAGAUGUGACUAAGGGCAAGCUAAUAUUCUACAAGCAGAAGAAAUACAUUACACCUCCCCUAGCACAAGACAGAGAAUAACUAGAUGCACAGCUGAAGACUUUUUAGAAUACCGAUAUGCACAACUAACAGAGCUUCAUGACAAUUUUGUACCUGAGAACUUUGUACUUCAGACUUGAACUUGGAGAGGUUGGCUUCUUGAAUCAUCUCAGACUACAUAGGCAAAAAUGCACAAAACAAUUAUUCAGCAAAGUGGAAAUGGGCACAUUGUUUACAACAUAAGAUCUUGAGUAAAGUCUUAACUUUCUGCUAUUUCAGCUCGUGAAACAAAGAAUAGAGCUACAUUUUCCAAACUGUCAUUCAAAACUUCAGUCUUAGCAUCUCAUCUUUGUAGUCCAAAAUCCUCCCAAACUCAAGAACAUAGUCACCCAUUAACUCCUGUAAUACUUUGUUUCUUGCUCUCCUACACACUGUUCUUCCAACAUAUAAAUCCAAUUCUUUUUUAAUAAGCCCUUGAAACUCAAAGAUUCUAAUGUCAGGUUGUUCGUUUAUCCUUUCACUGUAGUGACUAGAUAAGAACUUGCUAUUACAAAACUUGUUCCUAUUAGUAGGAUCACAUUUGUGAACUGGAUUGUAUGUCUUUACAACAAAAUUAUCUGUCCUAGAAUCAAAGCUAGCAAAUAAAACCCAAGGACAACCAACUGUACACCUAACCCUUACCCUUGUUGGUUCAUUAAUAUACAUUUCAAUUGCAACAUGUUCAGCAACAACAUAUUUGGUAACAGCAGAUCUAAACUCAUUAACAUUUUCAAAUACAAGACCCAAUUCCCACACUACUUUUUGAGAAGAUGCAUCAAAUACAACUCUAUUCACCUUCUUUCUCCUUCUUGGCUUAACUCUCUCUCUUUGUUGAACCUCUUCUUCAUCAUCACUGAAAGCAUCUGGAUCUGUUUCAAAACUGGCAGCUUCAUCUGAGGGAUAAUAAGGCUCAUCACCAGCUAACUUGCCUUCUAAGUUAUUUCUAUUACCACCUGUAGAUUCAUCAUACCCAGCAUCUGGCCCUUUUUUUUCUGUUCCUAACUUGACAUGAUCAGGCAAUGGAGCUCUUUCUCCCCUUUUCCUUCUCUUUCUUUUACUCUUUUCCUCCCUAAAACUUCUUAGUUCAUCAUCUACAUCACUCCCAUUAAAUCCCCCCCCAUUCAAUGAUUCUCUAUCUGAAUCUUGUUCAUUAGAAGGAUGGACAGGGUCAGGAAUUGGAUCAGAGGAAGGAUGAACAUGGUCAAGAGUUGGAUCAGUAGAAGGAUGGAUAGGGGCAGGGGCAUAAGCAGGGGCAGGGUUUGAGGCAAGGUUUGAGGCAUUUUCUUGGGCCUCAUAUGUUGGUUCUAAUUCAGCAUUAAAAGAUGCAUUAGGCCCACUGUUUUGAGAUGCUCCCUCACCUACUCCACUUUCCCCAUAUUCCAAUAAAGGUGGGACCAAAACAGGAUCAGCAACAAAGUGACACACAAAACAGUCCAAAAUAUCUCCAUGACUCAAACACUCAGCAAUUAAAGUAGUAUCAUAGUCAGAUUUGAUUUCUAACAUAGCAGUACUUCUAGGAAGUUUUACAUACAACACACAUUGUCCAGGUUCAUACCCCAACUCUUUCAGACAAUCCCUCAAUUCAAAAUAAGAUAACCUAUCUAUAUCAACAUCUAAAAACUCAUAAACUCCUCCACCAUGAUAUGGUUUCCCCUUGUAUUCCUUUUUUCCAAUCUUAAUAACACCACCGUGGUAAAAUCUCAAAUGAAUCGGAUUGGGGUCUUUUAUUACGUGGCUUAACUAGGAGGCGAGUGGCUUUCACUCUAGGCAUAAUGUCCUCGGUUGGGUGACGGAAGGGGGAAAUAAAUAUACUUUUAUGUACUUAAGGUGUGUAAUAGGUCACCCCAUUAGUUCAAGUGUGUAAAUGACUUUUGGGUAUACGUUUAGGGGGCAAUUUAUGCCUUUUGCCUUUUUCAUAUGUACAUGGGAUGUUUGGAGGAUAUUUGAGCCACAUUUGGCACUUAGGCCCCUUGGCCAAUCUAUCAGAUUUCAUAAAAGACUAUUUUAUAUCCAUUGCUUUUUCUUUGAUGAAAAGCACUUACAUAUGUUUACACUGAAUUUUGAUUUGCCAUAGGAGAAUUGGCAUGCCUAAUGCACAACCCCUUUCCUCUUCAGAUUCAAGUUAUGAGGCAACUGGUACAUGCCAGUAUCCUUUUUUUCGACUCCUGGAGACAUAAGGAACACAAUUACAUUUAAAGGUUUUGUUAAAUAAUAACACACACAACAUUGUUUUUAUAUGUGCUCAAUUUCGAUUUGUGUUUGAAGAUAGAUAAGACUCAUCUAUAUAACAUAAAUUUUGGUUUCACAAGCAUAUAUUUAUAAUAUAGCAGAGCAGAUCAAUUAGAAGGUACUGCUAACCUGAAUCAUAAUAGAACAUGGAGGUGGCAUGUGAAACAAUGGACUUGUUCCAGAGAAAUGGAAAUGCACCUUCGGCCAAGAAGGGACGGCAUGUGAAACAUUGGUCCUGACAUUUGUAUUGUGGUUUCAUGAGCAUAUUAUUUAUUAUAUUAUUUAUAUGAGUAAAAUACAUUUAUUUUCCUAUUCCAACACUCAUAUCCGCACUCGAAUCCUUUCUUUCCAAUCAUAAAUUUAUGUGUGAUGAACAAUCCGACCUCUAAAUCUGCACCCGAAUCAAAUACUGGCAUGAAUGUGGGUGUGAAAUCCGAACAACAUAAAGUAGAUGAAUGUAGUCAUUUCAAUAUUGAUUGAGCACAUUUAUUGCAAUUUAGCAAUCACAUUUAUGAUUUAUUCAUAGAAGUGCAAAUUUACCUUCCCUUCCACGACUCUAACAUUACUCUUGAAGUUGUAGGAUAUUAUCAUCAAUAGUUAAGCAACCCACUUAGCAAACAAAUUGAUAGUAAGCAUGAAUACCCAGUUUGAGCACAAAAGAGACGAACAGGUUUAAGGAAGAUGGAUACCCAACUUGAGAUUGAAAAAGAAUUGGGUAAAAAGUGUAAAAGAAUCAUAUACUUAAUACGGUGAUAUAUACCUGCCAAGAUGAAGAGAAUUGAGAGUGUGGUAUGAAAUUAAGGAAACAGUGCGUCUAUUGUUUGUUUGGAAUGUUAGAGAAGAAGACCGAUGAUUCUUGAUAUGACAGUGUGAAAUUACCAAAAUAACCUUGGCCGUUCUCUUCUUCACAUUCUGCAUCUGCAAAUAACGAAGAGCAGAAGCGAAUCAAAAUUUAAAUUUGACGGAGUCAACAUUUAGGUUCUUGCAACUGAAUGCAUCUCUUCUGAAAUUAGGCGAUCAAAAUUCAAUAACUUUUUGAAAUUUUAGUGACUUUUCACAUAUAAUCUAUACUUUAAUUCAGUUUGAACCCAUUGAUUGUAUGCUCCAUACGCCAUCGAUGCAGAGAGCUACAAGCUUUUUCAUGUUUGUUUGGAAGGUUAAAGAAGAAGACUCAUGAUUCUAGAACGUGAUACGUCAGUAUGAAAUUACCAAAAUAACCUUGGUCGUCCUCCUCUUCACCUUUCUAUAUAAUACUAGAUGAGUGUUGCCCGUGCUAAGCACGGGCCCAACGUUUAAAAUGUUAUCAUAAUUUUUACUUCUAUUUUGAUUUUAGUAUGAAAUAUAUUUGAAAUUGAACGCAGUGAAAAAUAUUUUUAAAUAACCUUAAUUUCAAAAAACACAAUGUCCAUCAUUUAAUAAACGAAUCAUAUUUCUUAGUCUGCACAAUAAAAGAAUCCACAUGGUAUAAUAUAUAAGCGAGAGACAGUAUUAUAUUUCUUUCAAGUUUCAACAAUUAGUUCAAUAUUAAGUUGGGCAAACAUUCAUAAUUUAGUAUCCUUGUGCAAAGUUUAUCAAUAUAUAUAUAUUAUAAGAAGGUGAUCAAUUAUUAUUACAUAGAUAUUAAAUGCACGACAGAAAAUCUACUUGUAAAGCACAGUUCGUUGUUAUUCUUUAAAAAAUAAAUGAAUAAAAAAGUACUAUUUAAAACAAUUUUCUAUAAUUAACUUUGAUUUUCAUGGCAAAAAUAUAUAUGUACUAUAUUCAUGUGGCCAUAUUUAUCCUCUUUAACCCCACAAUUAAUUACCUCUUCUGGUGUUUUAAUAUCUUCCUCCAAUUUACUCAAAUUACAAAUCCUUGGAUCUCUCCUUAUCCAACAUUUAUUAUGCCAAUGUUCUUUCAUACUCUCAAACAAUGGGACGAUGAUUGGUAACAACAAAAAAAUCACCAUUCCAAUUAAACUCAACAAACUUAGCAAUAACUUCGAAAUUGCAGGCUUUAAGCUAGUGGUGACAUCAUAUAUCCCCGUUGAAAUAGUUAUAACAAACAUAACUCGGAACCCAUCUGAUAAGUUCCUCGAUUUACCAAUCUUCAUAUCCCGAAUAAAACACAUGAACUUUAAAGUGCAAUAAUACAACUAAUUUCUCCCAUUCCACAAACAACUUUACUACAGACAGGUAUUCAUUAAAUACUCUUCAAUUGUUAAUACUAAUCAUACAUACAAAUACAUGUUAGCAAAAAGAGAUUGUGGCUACUUUCCCUGCACAUUCGAUUUAAAACAAUAGGAUAUGAAAUUUAGAAAAGUAGUGGCAGUAAUGGAUGGAGUAACCGCACGGUUGCGACGUAUAAUUUAUAAUGGACUUAAAUUAUAUUGCAAUGAGAAAAUUACUAAUUUAAACACAUUAUAGCUGCCAAAUUUGUUCAUUACAUAUUCAUGUGAAUGUCAUACUACUGAUUGUUGAACUGAGAUACUUACAUAGUUUAACAUUUCCAUAUGUGGGAGUGCUAAUUACAUAGAUUUACAUACUUUUUUAAAUUAGACAAAAAUAUAUGCAUUUUUCAUGCUUGGAUCUUCUGGACCAUCUUUGAUCAAAAUCACCUGUUACAUUCAAAAUGAGGGAUUAAAUGUCAGCACAGAAUCACAUUAAGUUAUACAACAUAUGAUAUAUCUGUUAGCAAGUCUAGGAUCUAUAAAUAAUACAAUCUAACUUUACAAUAGGCACUAAACACAACAACAAACAAUGUAACGCUAAUAAUAGAAGCACUAUAAAUCGUAUGGCCAAGACUUCUAACUUUUAACAAACUUACAUAUUUUUUCCUUCUCAACAACAACAUACCCAGUGCAAUUUCACAGGUGGGGCUUGGUGAGGGUAGGAAUUUUAUAACAAAAGGUUAUAGCAAGAUUUAACACAAUCAACUUCAAAUUAAUAUAUAUGAAGGUAAGAAAAAAUUAUUUACCUUUGGAACUUGAUGCAACCAUGGAAAUCUACAUAUGUGUAAAUUUGAAUAUGAAAGAAAUAGAACCAUAUCAAGAAUAGUACAUUAAGUUAAUGCAAAGAUGAUCUGCGGCUAUUUCAAUAUGGAUCCAGUUAAUUUUCAUCAAAAUACUUUUUUCAAUUCAACAAGAAUACUACAUUAUAUACGGAAACAAAGAAGCCCAUAGUUUAACCUGCAUCUAUUAGACUGAGAAGGAAAUUGUUAAUACAAAAGUAGUGUAAGAAAGAUUAAAUAAACUUUGCCAUUAGACAUAUAAAACAUACAGUAAUCCAUUACUCAAAUGCAUUUACGCAAAGAAUCUAUUUUGUGUUCACAAUUAAUCUAUCAAACAUUACUAACAUUACUGAUAGUCUCAUAAAAAUUAAGGUCACCAUUGUAAUGUUGUUUAGAGGCCAACGACUUUUAUGAGUUAUCAUUGUCUAAAAACAACGCAUGUGGUACCUUUGUCGCUUAAAAUUUUCAAGAAGUUCAACUUGCAACAUUUUAUUUUUGAUUAAGCAGGCUUCUAGCAGACUCAUUGACAUGUUUAUAGUCCAAGGCUCCAAGCUAACAAAAAAGAUUCUAUAGGAAUGUGAGGAAGCAACUGCUAAGCACUGAUGGGGAGUUCAUAUUUCUUGUUCAAGGAAAGCAAACAGAAUUGAAAGCUAGCAUCGGAAGGAAUAACUGUGUGACAUUCACCCCUCCCUUUGAAGAACCACAUCAUGUGUGAACUUUCCAAACCAGUGAUUCUCCAAAAAUCCUAUUGAUAUGCAAGCACAUUAAAUAAUAAAAUGAAGCAGCUGCUUCGCUCUGACAGCAGUGAAUGCAAACUGGGCAUUUUUAAAAGCAAUAAACAAAUUAGCAUUUUAAAAGUAGCAUGGCCUUUGGUGCAAAGGCCAUUUCUUAAGAAGAAUUAUGACAAGAAACUGUAGAAACAUGAGGAGUUGGAAAUGUAACUAAAAUUUUGUAACCAUUUUCUCCUCACGUGAAGAAGUGAACAAAGCUUUGGUGUUUGUAUGUUUUAAUUUUUUGACAAACAGUAUUGUUAUUCAAAGUUAACAAGGUCUUGUAAGAUUCUUUUGACAAUGUUAACAUUGGGACUUAGGACAGGGUUACACCUCCAACCAGUGUGGACAUGUUAGGUAUAUGUUGGAAAUUUAUAUACCUGAGCAGUGAUGGAAAAAUGGUUGUGCAAUUGCAUGUGAAGAAACAAUUACAUAAGCUUUAUCUGCCAGAAGGUAAAAAUGAUAAAAAGGCAGAAUCGAAAAGCGUUCCCAUAUGUUUAAUGUAAGCCAUCAGCAUAACAAUCAUUAUAAUACCAGAAAGAAUAUAUUUUCAUUUAAGUGAUAAAAGAAGUAGCUGUAAAAAAAUAACGUUUAACUAACCUGCUAUCACAGGAGAAAAUAUUUUCAAUUUCCACAAAAGAAGAGGAACAGAAGACAUCCACAUAGCAACAUCAGAAGCUUGCAAAACACGGCAUUCAAUGGCAGCAGCAAAAGAGUGCAAAAAAUGACCGUUUCGAGAACCACAACAAAAGUGUUCCAACUGCAAUUCAAAACAACAAAAGAUAAUGUGUCUAGAGACUAAAUCGAAUUCAAAGAAAAAAUAUUGAAAGAUAAGUAAAUCCUAUUUAUAUUAGUCAAUUGCAAAGAUGAAAUUAUAAACGAUGUACAAAAUAAUUUAAAUACCUUUUAAUUCUUUUUGAUGGGAGGAUUUUUCAUUUGCAUGCUAGGAUAUUCUUUUUCCCCUGAACUAAGAUGUUCAAUUGUGCGUUUCUUCGCAUCUGUAACAUUGACAGUCGUAGAUGUCAUUGGUUUAUGAAUUACAUCUUGUUUCUCCAAGUAAGACAAAAUGAAUAAUUUUUGUGUUGCAUCCAUUCUUUUUGUGAAUAGCCUUUUCAUUUGAAUGUUGAAUAUCUUGCCGUUCAAUUGAUCUUCCACAUUUUGGAGCGAUAAUGUUUCUUUCUGGAAAAAAUGAAAAAAAUUUGAUUAAUAAUAACAAAAUCAUUAAUAUUUUAUAUUUUAUAUGUAUAAUAAUAAGAAAAUAAAGCGAACAGACAAAUAGAAAGAGAUUGAAUAUUUUUAGCAUAAAAAAAGAUGAUCAACAACAGUAAAUAUUAAAGUUGUUUUUAAAGGAAAAUCAAUAUCUCUAUGUUUAUGUAUUUACAUCUGAACUGAAAUUCAAUAUUAAAGGUCUUUCAACCAAUCAGAGUUAACAUGCAACAGUUCUAAAACUGCCACUCCUAUUGUGGUAGGUACGCAUGACAGUUUAUGUACAAAGCGCUCAGCCAAUGGGUAACCAUGUGAGAUGGAUAAAAGUCAAAAAAAUAUAUACAAUGAUAAUAUUUUAUAAAGAAAGUUGACUGUAAACAGAUAAGAAAAAGUAUAAGUUAGGUGCUAGAGAAAAGAAACACGAACAUAAGAUAUGAAAUUUUGAUUGAAAAGAGUACACUAAACACUUUACAGAAGGAGAUGUUGACGACAUAAUGUAAGAGAUACACACAAGUAUGUAAAGUUAAAACCUCUUUUAGAGUUAAGGCAUGACCUAGAAUCACAUGUUCCUACUAUAAAAGUUUUUACAAUUUACAUGUACAUAAAAAUAGAUCUUUAUUACAAAUUCUUUCAUGCUAGAGUUCUAAGCUUAUAGAGUUAUAGUAUCCUUUUCAAGUUAAGGAAGUCAUAUGUUCAAGAAGUAGGAUGCAAGUAGCUCAUAAGUAAUAAUUGCUAAUGAAACUUUUUGUAAAAAGAUGGAGUUUUAUUCAUCUGUGAGUUCACUUGUUUUUAUAUUAAAAUCACUCUCAAUGUACAAUGUCUUUUACUUUUUUUCUCAAAUUUCUCGUUGUUCUUUUUUAUGUCUAAAGUUGAUGUCAUUAUUGUUUUGUCUAAACUAUGAAAAUACAAAAUCACAACAAGUUCUUUGUGAUUAUUUGGUGAGAAAAUAGUGAUAUGUACCUUGAUGAAGCAAAUUUCAUAAAUCUCUUCUGAAGUGAGGUGCAACAUUUUCUCUGCAAUUUCAUUCGAAACAAUAGCUGUUGUCCUUAAUAGUAACUUCAAAUUGACAUCUGUUUUGAUAAUCAAUGAAAGAAUUAAAAAAAUAAUGGUUAGUUAAGACAUUUAUUUCUUUGAAAAUAGAAAAUAAAUCUUUUUAAUUAGUUAUUAUUAAUUUUGAAUAAGAGCAAAUAUACCUAGGAAUAAGAUGUGUGGAUUGGUGACAACUUGUGCAGUAGAUUUCCCUUCGUAUACUUGUUGUUCUUACCGGAGGUUGUGCUUGGAUGUUAGCCACAGAUAUAACCUCAUCCUCAAAUGGAAUCAACAUAAUAGAGCCUAUUGGAGUUGUACUUUUCAUCUUAUAAGCAACAAGCUUUGUUUCAAUUGUUUUGAUCCUAUAACCAAGUAAAAUUAUGAAAAUGUCUUGUAGAAAGAUUAGGAAAAAAUAAAUAAAAGUGAAAUUUUAAAACUUUGUGAUUUUAAUAAGAUUAAAGAUGUGUUUUAUAUCUCAAAAUAUUUUGAAAUUUCGAUGCAUUAAAUAAAAAAUGUAUAUUACCACGUCCUUAAUUCGGCAGCCUGUGGAUAUGGAGGAUUGAUUUCAAUUGUUGUAUUGAAUUUGCUCGUCAAACCAACGAAUCUAUUUGACGUUCCUACAUGCAUUUGAAUAUGUAAUUUUAGUUUCAUCAUGUCAUAUAUUUUUCAAAAAGGAAAAAAUAAAUUUAUUUGCACUUUUACCUGAAGAUGAUUUCCCAAUUCUCCUAGCAAGAAUGAUCGGGUAAUCAUGAAGUUGGUUGAAAAGUUUAACUCCCUCAUGAUCAAUGAAAUCCUCCCAAAGUGUCAGUUUUGUUGGUUUUUUCUUGCAUAUGAUUCGAAGGAUAUUUUCAAAUAUUAAAAUAAAGUUACAGAAGAUAUGUGAUAUUGUAAAAACAUUAUAAAUAAUAAAAUUCAAGUCAGAUUAUUAGUAACAAAUACCAAGGAUGGCCUAAAGUUUGUCUCAGUGUACUCUCAAUUAGACAUACAACAAGAUCAAAUGAAGAUAGACAAAGAAACUUAAGGACAGAACCAAGAACAUGAAAAAGAUAAUGAGGAACAUUUGCCAAAUUCCUUCCAGGCAGCAGUACCCUCGGCUAUUUCAUUUUCAUUGGGUAUCAUUGUGCCCAUUUUUAAUGCUGCAUUUAUACCAAAUUACAAGCUAAGGCUGGCUGUGAAUGUGGCUGCAAUGACCUUAUGAUUGUUACUAUGUGGAGGAAUUGGUACUUUGUUGAGCACAAGUCCUAUGGUGAAAUCUUGUCCAAGAGUUUUAUUGGAUGCAGGAUGGCUAUGGUCAUUACCUUUUGCCAAAGGAACAAGUCAGUCUAGCAAAUUGGGCUUUACACUGUCAUAGGAAAAAUUCAAACAUAUGGCCAAAGAAACCACAAGUGGUGCACUAAUAUAGUUUCCAACAAUUAUGGAGUUGGUGUAUGAUGGUCUAUACAUGUAUGGGUCACAAGCAGGUUUUACAACCAAGAAGAGGUAAAUAAAUGGUAAACAUAUAAAGUUUACAUGUUUGACAAUAUGUGACUUUUCCAUAGUUACCAUUCAAUUUGGUGAUCAAUUGGAGAAUCUUUUCUCACUUAUAUAUAAUCUCAUAGUCAGCUUAAUGUUCUUUAGUGUAAUAGCAGUAAUAAUUUACUUCUAUUCCUGCUUCUUUCUUUUUAUUAUACUUUUGUCUCAUUAUCCUUGUUUAGGGGUUCAUUAUAUUUGUUAUAUAUUUAAGUAUUCACGUAGAUGAUGACAUAAAACUAUAUGUUUGAGGGACAUUCUUUGAAGUCAUUGAUAUUUUGCUAACAUAAUCUAUUAGGCCAUCAUGGCCAGCUUUGUCUGAGAAUAUGCGCUAAAAUAACUUGUUAAAGCAUGAAUAACAAAUAUAUAGACAGUGUAUUCAUCAUAGACUCAUAAGACAUAAACAAUUUAUUCAUCACACGACAUAUUUCGUAUACAAACAGGUUUACAUGUAUGGGUCACGAACAGGUUUACAACCAAGAGGAGGUAAAUAAAUGCUAAACAUAUAAUGUUUACAUGUUUGACAAUAUGUGAUUUUUUCUAUAGAUACCAUUCAAUUCGGUCAUCAAUUGGAGAAUCUUUUUUCUCACUUAUAUAUAAUCUCAUUGUCAGCUUGUUGGUUGAAUAUUUUGGUCACGAUAUAUAUAUAUUACUACUAUAAACAGAUCUCUUUGUGCAUUCCAAAAAAAUACAAAUAGUAACAAUAUAUAUUUUCUUUUCUGCAUUUAAAAUUCUACUUAUUAAGCAGUUUGAUAGUAUUAAAAAUUGCAGGUUGCAUUAUUGUGCAGAAAAAUACUAUUAAGAUGUCAAAUAUUAUUGAAGGGAGCACACAACACAAAAAUAAAUACAAGAAAAGCUCUUAGUUAGCCACCUCUAAUAUUUUUUCCCAAAUUUUAGCUUACUUGUGGUUUUUCAUAGAAAGUUUGUAUGCCGACAAUAACAUAUGAUAGAGGAGAUGACAUAGGAAGAGUAGAAGAUCGAAAACAAGUAAUUAGAUAUGAAAAUAAAUGACAAGACCGAUAUUCUAUAUAUAUAUAUAUAUAUAUANNNNNNNNNNNNNNNNNNNNNNNNNNNNNNNNNNNNNNNNNNNNNNNNNNNNNNNNNNNNNNNNNNNNNNNNNNNNNNNNNNNNNNNNNNNNNNNNNNNNNNNNNNNNNNNNNNNNNNNNNNNNNNNNNNNNNNNNNNNNNNNNNNNNNNNNNNNNNNNNNNNNNNNNNNNNNNNNNNNNNNNNNNNNNNNNNNNNNNNNNNNNNNNNNNNNNNNNNNNNNNNNNNNNNNNNNNNNNNNNNNNNNNNNNNNNNNNNNNNNNNNNNNNNNNNNNNNNNNNNNNNNNNNNNNNNNNNNNNNNNNNNNNNNNNNNNNNNNNNNNNNNNNNNNNNNNNNNNNNNNNNNNNNNNNNNNNNNNNNNNNNNNNNNNNNNNNNNNNNNNNNNNNNNNNNNNNNNNNNNNNNNNNNNNNNNNNNNNNNNNNNNNNNNNNNNNNNNNNNNNNNNNNNNNNNNNNNNNNNNNNNNNNNNNNNNNNNNNNNNNNNNNNNNNNNNNNNNNNNNNNNNNNNNNNNNNNNNNNNNNNNNNNNNNNNNNNNNNNNNNNNNNNNNNNNNNNNNNNNNNNNNNNNNNNNNNNNNNNNNNNNNNNNNNNNNNNNNNNNNNNNNNNNNNNNNNNNNNNNNNNNNNNNNNNNNNNNNNNNNNNNNNNNNNNNNNNNNNNNNNNNNNNNNNNNNNNNNNNNNNNNNNNNNNNNNNNNNNNNNNNNNNNNNNNNNNNNNNNNNNNNNNNNNNNNNNNNNNNNNNNNNNNNNNNNNNNNNNNNNNNNNNNNNNNNNNNNNNNNNNNNNNNNNNNNNNNNNNNNNNNNNNNNNNNNNNNNNNNNNNNNNNNNNNNNNNNNNNNNNNNNNNNNNNNNNNNNNNNNNNNNNNNNNNNNNNNNNNNNNNNNNNNNNNNNNNNNNNNNNNNNNNNNNNNNNNNNNNNNNNNNNNNNNNNNNNNNNNNNNNNNNNNNNNNNNNNNNNNNNNNNNNNNNNNNNNNNNNNNNNNNNNNNNNNNNNNNNNNNNNNNNNNNNNNNNNNNNNNNNNNNNNNNNNNNNNNNNNNNNNNNNNNNNNNNNNNNNNNNNNNNNNNNNNNNNNNNNNNNNNNNNNNNNNNNNNNNNNNNNNNNNNNNNNNNNNNNNNNNNNNNNNNNNNNNNNNNNNNNNNNNNNNNNNNNNNNNNNNNNNNNNNNNNNNNNNNNNNNNNNNNNNNNNNNNNNNNNNNNNNNNNNNNNNNNNNNNNNNNNNNNNNNNNNNNNNNNNNNNNNNNNNNNNNNNNNNNNNNNNNNNNNNNNNNNNNNNNNNNNNNNNNNNNNNNNNNNNNNNNNNNNNNNNNNNNNNNNNNNNNNNNNNNNNNNNNNNNNNNNNNNNNNNNNNNNNNNNNNNNNNNNNNNNNNNNNNNNNNNNNNNNNNNNNNNNNNNNNNNNNNNNNNNNNNNNNNNNNNNNNNNNNNNNNNNNNNNNNNNNNNNNNNNNNNNNNNNNNNNNNNNNNNNNNNNNNNNNNNNNNNNNNNNNNNNNNNNNNNNNNNNNNNNNNNNNNNNNNNNNNNNNNNNNNNNNNNNNNNNNNNNNNNNNNNNNNNNNNNNNNNNNNNNNNNNNNNNNNNNNNNNNNNNNNNNNNNNNNNNNNNNNNNNNNNNNNNNNNNNNNNNNNNNNNNNNNNNNNNNNNNNNNNNNNNNNNNNNNNNNNNNNNNNNNNNNNNNNNNNNNNNNNNNNNNNNNNNNNNNNNNNNNNNNNNNNNNNNNNNNNNNNNNNNNNNNNNNNNNNNNNNNNNNNNNNNNNNNNNNNNNNNNNNNNNNNNNNNNNNNNNNNNNNNNNNNNNNNNNNNNNNNNNNNNNNNNNNNNNNNNNNNNNNNNNNNNNNNNNNNNNNNNNNNNNNNNNNNNNNNNNNNNNNNNNNNNNNNNNNNNNNNNNNNNNNNNNNNNNNNNNNNNNNNNNNNNNNNNNNNNNNNNNNNNNNNNNNNNNNNNNNNNNNNNNNNNNNNNNNNNNNNNNNNNNNNNNNNNNNNNNNNNNNNNNNNNNNNNNNNNNNNNNNNNNNNNNNNNNNNNNNNNNNNNNNNNNNNNNNNNNNNNNNNNNNNNNNNNNNNNNNNNNNNNNNNNNNNNNNNNNNNNNNNNNNNNNNNNNNNNNNNNNNNNNNNNNNNNNNNNNNNNNNNNNNNNNNNNNNNNNNNNNNNNNNNNNNNNNNNNNNNNNNNNNNNNNNNNNNNNNNNNNNNNNNNNNNNNNNNNNNNNNNNNNNNNNNNNNNNNNNNNNNNNNNNNNNNNNNNNNNNNNNNNNNNNNNNNNNNNNNNNNNNNNNNNNNNNNNNNNNNNNNNNNNNNNNNNNNNNNNNNNNNNNNNNNNNNNNNNNNNNNNNNNNNNNNNNNNNNNNNNNNNNNNNNNNNNNNNNNNNNNNNNNNNNNNNNNNNNNNNNNNNNNNNNNNNNNNNNNNNNNNNNNNNNNNNNNNNNNNNNNNNNNNNNNNNNNNNNNNNNNNNNNNNNNNNNNNNNNNNNNNNNNNNNNNNNNNNNNNNNNNNNNNNNNNNNNNNNNNNNNNNNNNNNNNNNNNNNNNNNNNNNNNNNNNNNNNNNNNNNNNNNNNNNNNNNNNNNNNNNNNNNNNNNNNNNNNNNNNNNNNNNNNNNNNNNNNNNNNNNNNNNNNNNNNNNNNNNNNNNNNNNNNNNNNNNNNNNNNNNNNNNNNNNNNNNNNNNNNNNNNNNNNNNNNNNNNNNNNNNNNNNNNNNNNNNNNNNNNNNAGGAAAAGCGAAUAUUCUCCAUGCAGCUUCAGGUGGUGAUACCCACCUAGCAGAUUGAUAUUCUUUUAUUUCAUCUAUCUCUAGGUUUACAUCAUUAGUCUGUAUAUGAAAUGCUAUUUUAUCAUGUCCUUUGCAAAUGUAUUUAUAAAUGUACUUAACAACUUUUAUAUCUGAACAAAUCUCUACAUUUAUAUGACAGUUGAAUUUACAAAGUAAAUAUGGAUUAUAAGGAACAACCACGAGUUAUCAAGAAAGUGUCCUCUAAUUUUCACACUUUUUCCUGUAUUUCGCCUUCUAUAAAUUGGGUAUGAAUUUUUUCCUUUAGUUGUUUGUUCUACAAACUCUUUAGGAUACUUACUUUUACAACGUCCUUUUUUUUUCAUACAAGAAUUUGUUGGAUUCAAAUUACCACAAGGACCAUGCAUCAUGUGUUGUGUAACAAGUGAGUAUAAAUAGGGAUAUAUAUUUUCAUUUGGUAUUUCAACACAUACAAAUCGAUCAUAUGCUUCUGGAGUUAGUAAUUUGUAAUUAUCAUUUAGUAUAAUAAGAAAAUGAGCAUGGGGAAGUCCUCGUUUUUGAAAUUCUAUUGUAUACAUAAAUGCUGCAACUUUACCAAAUAUAUGCCUUUUGAUUAUAUCAUUUUUUAAUUCUUCUACUUUUGCUCUAAACACUCUACUAACCAGAUCAGGCCUAUUUUGAACCUCAUUAGUUGAUAUAAGUUUUUCUUCUAUUUCAGGCCAAGAAGGAUUACAUGUUAUAGUAAAAAAUAUAUCAGGUUUUCCAAAACGUUGCACUAAUGCAAUAGCAUCCAUAUAUCGUCUACGCAUAUCUCUUGGACCUCCAGUAAAGCUAAGUGGAAGUAUGCGUUGUUUUCCUAUAUGUGAAGGUUCUCUUUCCCCCUUACGUAAAACAUCCAAAAUUCCAUCUAAUACAUCAGUUCUAAUUAAAUCUUGAUUAAAAGAAGCAAAGUCUAAUCGUUGGCUUUCAAUUUUUAUCCAUUCAUCUACUACAUAUUGUUGGAAUAAUCUUCCAGCAUGUAAGACUAUAUUUUCAUCAUCUCUCAUUUGAAGUCUGUAACAAUAAUAUUCACGACAAGAAAUAGUGCCUCGUUUGUGCUUUUCUUUUAGCAUAACUUGGGCUUCCAUGCUAAGCAGUCCAUCUAUUGAACACAUAUUUUUUAUACUUGGUAGUUGUUCUUGUUUGCAAUAUAUUUGUGUUGAUGUUCUUGAAGAACAUUUAAUUUUCUUAAUACCACAGUGCCAUCCACCUUGACCAUAUGGAAAUAGCAAUGGAUAUUGCAAUGGAUCAUAACAACCGUAAUAAUAAUUUACCAAUUGACUUUUAUCACUUUUUGUAUAUAUUCGAAUAUGUGGUGUAGGAAUAGAAUUAGUAAUAUCUUGUUCUACCCAUAUUCCUGCAACUUCUGAUACUGUUGGUAAGUUAUAUAUACGCUGAUCUAAGCCAGAAUCACACUUAAGUGCAAUAUAAAAAUCAGAUAGUUGUGGAACAUCUACUAAAGAUUUUAAAAACAUAGAGUAUGGAUUAAUUUUUAAUAUUUCCAUCAGAGUUCUCACAACAUACUCAUUUAAUUUAUUUGAACAUGCCAUUCGAUUUCGUAAUUCACUUUCACUAUCAAAGAAAUAUAACUGAAGAUUUUUUCCUUUUUUAUCGGUAGGAAUCAAGUCAUUGAUGAAAUGAUACAUCUGACCUUGAACCCGAAAAGUAUAAAUACCAUUAUUAUUUUUUGCUAAUUCUUUGUCAUAAGUUACCCCAAGAGAUGUGAAAGCAAAUAUAUUAUUGUACGUUCUAAUAUAAGUUCUAAAAUGUUUUGAUAGCUCUGUAUUUUCCAAAUAAAGGUUUUUUAAUUCUAUUGGAAUCUCAUGUGAAGUUAAUUGAACAGAACCAUUGCUACAACAAAAUGCAGGCGGUUCAUAUUCAAAUCUUAUGGCUUUACAAAAUUGACAAUUUGAUACUUCUUUUAAUUUGAUAUAAUUAGUUUUUGAUGGCAUAGUACUAUCUAUUUCUGAUAGGAGCAACAUGGGUUCUCUCAUAAGAUCAGAACUUUGUGCAACAGAAACCAUGGUGGAAUUAGAAGACGAUGCAGUUGCCAAAUUAUUAUUCAUUGAACUUUUAGAUAAGUUAUGUUUUCUCAUUUCAGCUCUCUUUGCUCGACGGCGAGCUAGAAGAAUUUCUUUUUUCUCAGGUGGCAUCAAUCUGUAUAGUUCACGUCUCCUAGCAUUUUUAUCCGCAUUUGAUUUUUGAAAAGCAUGCACAUUUUUAUGGUUUAUAUUACUUAACAUCUUUGGGAUCAAAAUAAUUUUAGACAAAAUAAUUAUCUGGUAAAUAAUAGUAAUAAUUUUAAAUAAGGAAUUAGUUGAGUAAUACUUACCACACACUGAGAGAAAAGUGAAACACAGGUGGAAAUUCUGUAAAGUUAAAAUUUCAAACCAUAUAUUAAAUUAGAUCUAAUAUAAUAGACAUGUAUAAUAGGAAAAACAAAAUUUAAAAAUGCUAAAAAUGUAAGGCUGAUUUAAAUAGUAAUGCAGUAGAGAAUAUGGAAUUAGAAUAGUAACAAACAACACAUAGUUCUUUUGUUCCAUUUAAGUCUAAAUAAUGGAUAAUUAGAGAAUAGCAAACAAGAAUUAUUGUGAAAUCCAUGUACUGGAACCAAAGAACAAAGUUGCAAGGUUUCUAUGACAACACUAUAUCAAUUGGGAAUUUCACUGCCCGAAAAAUCACUUCCUGAUUCAUGCAACAUUAAGAAAAAAAGAAAGUGCGCCUUUUGCAACAAUGUACUUUCAAACUAUGUUGAUUGAACUCUUCAAAAAUGUCGGUGGGCGCAUGUUAAAUUCUCCAAAUGUAGUAUAUUUUUGUAAAAUCCGACAUGUGUGCGACAUUCAAAGUGAAGAGCCAAUGCAACAUAGCUUUCAACACACCGUAAUAUUGUUAUUUUCUAACGUGGUUAAUGAGGAUUCAUAUAGCCGACCUUACUUGUUUGAGACUUGGGCAUAAUUGUUGUUAUGUCCCUGCUGUAUUGGUGUGUUAGGGUGUCUCCAUAGAUUUUCAGAGUGAAAUGUCGUCUAGAAAUGAUGGAUAAUAAUAUGUUGCGGCAGAAAUGUUGAAGUAGUAUGUCAAUUUUUUACUCUUCAUUAUUAAAAGAAAAAUUAGUUAAGUUGUUUCCUCAUUUAAAUUUUAGUAGCUAUAUGAGUAAGAAGAAAAAAAAAAGGAAAAAAGAUACAUAUAUGAGAGAAGGACCAAAAAAUUGAUGAAGAACUUACCUAAAAUUGGAAGGUCAGAAGACUAAACACACUUGAUAUACCAGGAAGAUGAACUAUCUGUGAGAAGAGAAGAUGAAUUAUUUAAAGGUAUGAUGGAAAUUUCUAGAUACAAGAUAUUUUGUAAAUUUGUGUGUUUAAUAUUCAGCCACGUGGAAGGGAUUUAAUGGACAAGUAAACUAUUAUUUUUUAUACAUAAAAAAUAAAUUAAAUAUCAAAGCAGAAUGACAAUUAUACCCUUGAGAUGUAUCACUAUUUCUUUACUAUGAAGCAUGUUGAUCAUAUUUCUAAAGCUCAUACUGAAAAUCAGGUUAUUAAGUAUCCUUUCAGGUUUAUGCUCCAAGAAUUUGAUUUCUAUUCUCCCAUAGCAUAUAUUAACAAUGCAUGUUGUAAUUGACAUUUCUGUAAGUUCACCAUACUAUUAAGUAUUAACUCAACUCUUUUAAAAGUUCCCUUGAAUUCAAGCCCUAUAUCAGGCAAUAAGAAAACAACUUACAACUCAUUCAGCUAUCUAACCUAUGUCAAGAUACCAGACGAUGUGAAUUAGAAACUAAGAACCAACGCCUUGCCUAAACUGCCAGAAAAAACACUACACUCUUUUCUAGCUAAAAAGAAAAAUAUUAGUGCUAAACUCUUCCUUCAUAUACAACUUUUUCACCAACAAUGAACUUCCCCAUAUUUGUAGCAUGAGAAGAAAGAAGCAUUCAUUGUGCUUGUAUAUUCAUAUGCAGGUGUUUAACAUUUGAAUUGAAAUAUUUCUUGAUAUUACAGUUAAAAAAUUUGCACUUUUCUUUGGAUUUGGGAUUGUAAGACCUCAGCUUUGAUAUUUCAGCUUAGUAUUGUAUGUUUGUGUAGAGGUUAAAUGUUUAUCACUAUGGUGCCUCCACCUUAAAUGACCUUUGGAGCAUCCAAAGAGCAGCAGGCAUAAUUUAUUUCUGCUCUUCAUGGGCAUGUUGCUACUCUUCUUAGGCAUAUGGUUGGUUCACUUGGUAAGAUGACUUGUCCUAUUGCUGUGAACUUGGUUUUGAUUAAUUUUUUGCCACAAAUUUCGUUCUAUUUUGCUCGAUCCUACUUUUCUGUUUAAAAAUCAGUUCAUUAGCUGUUGCCAGCUGUAAUUUUGGGAGAAAGGUUUCUUUCCAGUAAUUCCCUUAAUAAAACACUGGUUUUACUAUUGCAGUUGUUGAACAUGCUUAUCAGUUGGGAAAUGCAGCUCAAAAACAAACUCUUCUGAUGGAGCUGUAUUCCCCAGAGCUUCAGUUGUUCAAAGAUUUGAUCUCAGCGAAGGAAGCAAGGUAAUUCCUAGCUGUUAGUGACAGCAUGCUGCAUGCGUACUUUAGACAAUUUAAAAGUUUUCUAGGUUGUGAUGUCAGGUUGGGACAUGUUUUUUCUUCUUCAACAGGAUAUCCUUAUGAUAUUUUUUUGUUUUACUCUGCUUGACAUUUUCUCUUAAAUAUCGCCUUACUGUUGCUCCUUCAUCUGAUAUUGUUCAUUAAAUUGCUAAUCACCUUACUAUGUGUAUUGAAAGCAAAAUUUGUUGUUAAAAUUGAUACGUUCUUCAACAGGAUAUCCUUAUGAUAUUUUUUUGUUUUACUCUGGUUGACAUUUUCUCUUAAAUAUCGCCUUACUGUUGCUCCUUCAUCUGAUAUUGUUCAUUUAAUUGCUAAUCACCUUACUAUGUGUAAUGAUAGCAAAAUUUGGUGUUAAAAUUGAUGCGUUCAUGUUGAUUCUUUUUCGAUAAAUAUACUUUACGUUGUAUUCAUAUUUGUACUUAAUGAAUGCAUUUAUUUCCUAAUUUAGCUGCCAUUCACAUUUUAUGAACAGCUUCAAAAGGGUUCAGUUAUACGGCACAUGACCUCUGUACUUCAGCCUAUUUUGGAGAAAGGGAUACUGGACCACUCAAUUAUACACUGGGCACUUGUGGAGUACUUAACUAUUGCUGAUAAGGUACCUCAGAAACCUUAAUGAGGUAUUAAUGAGUUGGCUUAUUGUGAACAUCCCUUUCUAAAUUUAAGUCUGUUCCAAGACUUCUGCUGCAGAAAUAAUCCAGCAGUUGUCAAGUCCAGACCUUGUUCGGAUGAUUCACACAAAGGAUGGAUCCAAGAUUGGGAUAUUCUUUGUAAAUAGAAUAAAGAGAGCGAUUAACAAAGGUUGACGAAGAGAGCAAAAAUAAAUUUGAGCAAAAUUUGAAUGGAAAUCAUACCUGGAGUCACAGGGAUGAAGAGAAGACGAAGAGAAAAUUGUUGUUUUCCGUCGUCCGUCGAGUUUUAUAAGUUAUUAGCGUCUGUUUAUUUGUUCUCUUGGGAGAAGAAAGAGAAACCGAUACUUCUAGAGAGGAAUGGAUACUUCCAGAGUCCACUUUAAUCUCAUGACGUAAUUACCUUUUUUCCCUUAUAUAAAGUCAAAUUUGCUGAAGUGCCAUUGGUCAGGAGUAACAGGUUUUUUAUAUGAGGCAGCCACGUGGUAUGCUUGAACAAUUUGCCCUUUAAAUGAACAUAUAUUUACAGUUUUGCCACUGGUCGUCCUCCACCUCACAUUUCUAUAUAAUAGAAAUAUAUAUAUAUAUAUNNNNNNNNNNNNNNNNNNNNNNNNNNNNNNNNNNNNNNNNNNNNNNNNNNNNNNNNNNNNNNNNNNNNNNNNNNNNNNNNNNNNNNNNNNNNNNNNNNNNNNNNNNNNNNNNNNNNNNNNNNNNNNNNNNNNNNNNNNNNNNNNNNNNNNNNNNNNNNNNNNNNNNNNNNNNNNNNNNNNNNNNNNNNNNNNNNNNNNNNNNNNNNNNNNNNNNNNNNNNNNNNNNNNNNNNNNNNNNNNNNNNNNNNNNNNNNNNNNNNNNNNNNNNNNNNNNNNNNNNNNNNNNNNNNNNNNNNNNNNNNNNNNNNNNNNNNNNNNNNNNNNNNNNNNNNNNNNNNNNNNNNNNNNNNNNNNNNNNNNNNNNNNNNNNNNNNNNNNNNNNNNNNNNNNNNNNNNNNNNNNNNNNNNNNNNNNNNNNNNNNNNNNNNNNNNNNNNNNNNNNNNNNNNNNNNNNNNNNNNNNNNNNNNNNNNNNNNNNNNNNNNNNNNNNNNNNNNNNNNNNNNNNNNNNNNNNNNNNNNNNNNNNNNNNNNNNNNNNNNNNNNNNNNNNNNNNNNNNNNNNNNNNNNNNNNNNNNNNNNNNNNNNNNNNNNNNNNNNNNNNNNNNNNNNNNNNNNNNNNNNNNNNNNNNNNNNNNNNNNNNNNNNNNNNNNNNNNNNNNNNNNNNNNNNNNNNNNNNNNNNNNNNNNNNNNNNNNNNNNNNNNNNNNNNNNNNNNNNNNNNNNNNNNNNNNNNNNNNNNNNNNNNNNNNNNNNNNNNNNNNNNNNNNNNNNNNNNNNNNNNNNNNNNNNNNNNNNNNNNNNNNNNNNNNNNNNNNNNNNNNNNNNNNNNNNNNNNNNNNNNNNNNNNNNNNNNNNNNNNNNNNNNNNNNNNNNNNNNNNNNNNNNNNNNNNNNNNNNNNNNNNNNNNNNNNNNNNNNNNNNNNNNNNNNNNNNNNNNNNNNNNNNNNNNNNNNNNNNNNNNNNNNNNNNNNNNNNNNNNNNNNNNNNNNNNNNNNNNNNNNNNNNNNNNNNNNNNNNNNNNNNNNNNNNNNNNNNNNNNNNNNNNNNNNNNNNNNNNNNNNNNNNNNNNNNNNNNNNNNNNNNNNNNNNNNNNNNNNNNNNNNNNNNNNNNNNNNNNNNNNNNNNNNNNNNNNNNNNNNNNNNNNNNNNNNNNNNNNNNNNNNNNNNNNNNNNNNNNNNNNNNNNNNNNNNNNNNNNNNNNNNNNNNNNNNNNNNNNNNNNNNNNNNNNNNNNNNNNNNNNNNNNNNNNNNNNNNNNNNNNNNNNNNNNNNNNNNNNNNNNNNNNNNNNNNNNNNNNNNNNNNNNNNNNNNNNNNNNNNNNNNNNNNNNNNNNNNNNNNNNNNNNNNNNNNNNNNNNNNNNNNNNNNNNNNNNNNNNNNNNNNNNNNNNNNNNNNNNNNNNNNNNNNNNNNNNNNNNNNNNNNNNNNNNNNNNNNNNNNNNNNNNNNNNNNNNNNCCACCACUUCUAAAGUAUGAUGAUGAUGAAAAAAAAUAAAUGAUGAAAUGAUGAUGAUGAUGACGGGAAUACCCUUGGUAGUCCAAGACUUAUAUAUAUAGAUAAUAUAUAAUAGAUAAUAUAAAAUAUAUAAUAUAAUAUAUAUAGAUAAUAUUAUAUAAAAGAAAGAAAUAUUAAUAGAAGAAAAAGAAAGAAAUAUUAAUAGAAGUGAAGGGUAAUGUUGUCAAAGACACAAUAAUUUGGUAGUAUUGAGGACUCACACUUAUUAAAUAGGAAGGAAGUAUUGAGGACUCACACUUAUUAAAUAGGAAUGAUACUAGGUAAUUUACCCGCGCGAAUAAUUAAUUUUGCUAAGCUUUUGAACAGUCUUUCCAAUAAUCGAUUGUAAUAAGAAAAAAAAAAGUAAAUUUUAGUAGGUUUUAAGAACAUUUCAACAGAAAUUAAAUGAUUUGACAUUAUCACCUAUCUCAAGAAUUUUAAAUAUAUAAUGAAUGAUUUAAAAUAUCUUGAUAUCUAAUCAUUCUUAUCUUUUACAUAAUUUAUCAUAAUAUAUGUUUGAUGAUAUAAUUGUCUUGUUAAAACUGAGUGAUGUUUUUAUGCAGUGAUUAAACAUAUUUUUUUCUAUUUUUUGUACAUGAAAAAUAUAGAACUGAUAAUUUUAUGGUUAGAAUAACUCCUAGUUAAAAAACAAAUUAUAUAAAAAAAUUUCGAUAAUCAAUAUUAGUUAUAAAUAAGUUAAGAACAUUAAAAAUGUACACCACAACAACAUAAAUAAUUUUUUUAGAGAUAAUCUACUUGUCUGAAGUCAAACUUUCACCACAUUUCGUUAUUGUUAUUUUGUUACUCUAAAAAAAUUUAUAGAAGGAGAAAAAUAAAUUUGAAACAAUAACAAAAUAAUAUUGUUGUCCCUUUAAGAAAUUAAUUCUUCAUUAAACUGUUGCUCUGAAGGCCCUUCUAGAUGCUUCAUCAAUGCAACUUUACGACUUUUCAGAAAUAUAUAUGUAUAGUUGUUGCAUUAUGAAAGUACAAGUAGAUCAAAAUGUUGGAUUCUAGACCAUGUUAAAGAAAUAUUCUUGAACAUUAAAAAAUUUAAAAUGAGUCUAACCUAGAUAACUCAAAUGCUCAGCAAUGACUUGCGACAAAAAGGACAACAAAUCUAUGUUAAUAGACAUAUCUUUUGUAGCUUAAGAUAUUACUUUUAUUUAGAGCAGGUUUUGUUUCAUAUUCUUCAAAUAAAGCUUGUUGAAAAUAGUUAUAACUCACACCAAAAAUAUUUAGUAGAGUUGAAUGAGAAGGAAAAACAGAAAAACAUUAAAAGGACGAAAGCUUUGUCCAAGUGAGAUCAUAUACAUACCAAACAAAAAAUAGUCAAUACAAUUUUAACGAGACAACAAAACAGCAAGAAAAACAUACAUUAAAGGGAGUAAACCAUGAGAUAUCCAAUGAUGAUAACAAAUCAUUCUAACCAGAAAAGUUCUCAUGUUUUAAAAUAAUAUACCUUAGAAAAUUGACCAACACUUCAAUCAACUUUCAAUCUUUAAAGUACUCAUAAUAUCCAGUGAUAAAAUUUAGUAAAAAUAGAUAACAACAACAUAAAAACAAAAAAUAUGGGCAUGCAAAGUUAUUAACUCUCAGAGGAAUUUCUAAAGAACACAAAAUCUCAUCCUUGUAUGCGAAGAAAUAACAUUGUUGAUGAUCAGAUUAUAGAUUUGUAAGGGUUUUUUUAUUGUACCUUCAACAAUUUCAGUAGACAAAACUUGCUUGAAUAAUCAAUUAACGUUUAUUAUUUAAUAUGUACUAACAAAUACUUAUAACAAUAAUAUUGCAGAAACAUAAACAACAAAAUUUAAAGCAUGUACUCAAAAAUAAUAAUUAAUAAUAUAAGCAUAAAUUAAUGACUGUUAAAACAUACCAGGAUUUGUAACAAUAGAAUGGAAAAAAUUGAUCGCACUGAAUGUACAGUGUUUCCUUAAGGAAAUUAUUCCCCCUAGUACCCGAGAUUUAAAGGAAUUGAUCCUCUGAAGAAAGAACGAUUUUAUUCACCAGAGUAUUGAUACAAAAAAAUUGUGUCUGUGAGUCAUUCAACAGGAGCAAAGUACGCAAUUAUUUAAUUGUCCAAAAGAAAAAGAAGAAGAUCAAAAUUUUCUUUGUUUUAAAAUGAGAGGAAAUUCCUCUAUUUAUAGACAACAAAAGGUGAUGUGAACAAAUGCUUAUUGUGUCGUAUCCGAAAAGUCACAACCUUUCAUAAAAGUCACAAAUUUUCAUAAAAGUCGCAACUCUUCAUAAAAGUCGCAACUCUUCAUAAAAGUCACAACUUUUCAUGAAAGGGGAAGGCUAGUUUUAAAAAUAAAAUAAAUUAAAAGGGAUUCCUGGUUUGUGAUGGCGCGGUCUAGGGUUUUCUUUUAUAUAUAUAUAUAUAUAUAUAUGAUUAUAUGAUUAAGAAAAUGCAUAUUUAAGUUUUUUUCUUUUGUGAAAAAAUUAUAUUUCAAAAUUUAUGUCUAGAUUUACUAGUUAUUUUAAAUUGUAGAUGAGUUUCAAUAUGAUAACUAUUUCUUUAGAAUUCUAACCUUACCUUGUAAACAGGGGUGGAUCUAGAGGGCGGUGAGAGUGUUCACCUGAACCCCCUCAACAAAAAAUAAUACUAUUAAACAUAUAAGGUAAUAUUUUGUUUUAUAUAUAUAUAUAUAUAUUAGUUUCUGGGCACGCGUCUUACGCGUGUAACCCAAUUUUAUUGACCAUAAAUUUUUAAUAAAUUACAUAAAUAUUAGUAUUAAGAAACAUGUUUGAGUUAUAAAUUGUAUACUAAAGAAGAUGUGCAAAUUCUUAAAGUGAUAUCUUAAUCCUACUUGGCGAACUCUCUAAAAGGAAGAAAUACUUCUCCAAAGAAAUCUUUGGUUUUCUUACUUUGAUUUCUAAUUUCACCUUUAAUUAUCAAAGUUAUUGGAUCUUGUUUCUUUUGGUAUAAUGUACAAUCUCUUCUUUACCUAUUGAUUUGACCAAAAUAACAUUUUUUAAUACCAACACUCAAGCAGAAAAGAGUAGAAAAAUAGAAAAUAUGUUUAUAUUACCUCCCAGUUACCAACUAAAAAUACCUUUGGUGUAAUUAUGUUUUUAGUGUCAUGUGUAUUUUAAUUUAUUUUUUUUGUAAAUUUGAUUAAGACCUAUAAAAGGAGAAUUAUAAUGUGUAACCUUUACCUAAGGCAUAUAUAUAUAUAUAUAUAUAUUGAAUAUUAAUGUGCAUCAAUUAAAUAUUGAAUAAGGUAUAUAUGAUUUGAUAAAGAAUAUGAUAUGUUUAAAUGGUUGGAAGCUGAAAGUGAAGAAAAUAAAUACAUGACACAUAUUAAACUUGUAAAUAAAAAGUUCAUAGAAUUUGUACAGGUCUAAAGUUAGAAGAAAGGUCUUUCCAACUAAAUUUAAUAGAUAAUUAAUUUUUAUAAAAAAAUAAAAUGAUAAAUAUACUUUUAAAAAACAUUUUAGUAAUUCAACUUUUGACUUAGACUCUUUCCACUUUUAAUAGAAUGAUCUUGUUGACUUAUAUUACUAAAAUCUAAACAAAAUGAAGCUUAAUUACUCCAUUCUCAUAAUAAUUUUUACAUGAUUUUAAUUUGAGGAAUAAUUUUUAGUAUUAACAAUUAAGGGUCGAAGUAAUUCAUAAAGAAACAACCAAAAUGUCUAAAAGUAAAAUUGUCAUCAUACCAACCAUUUGAAUUUUAACACUACAGAAAGCUACCGUAAAUAUAGAAUGCUUAUGUUUAAGAAAACUAUUAGGCUUAGUGCCGCAUAAAUGUAAAAUGUAACUCUCAUUUUUAUUUGAAAAUUAAAUUUUUAAAUCUCAUAUUGUAUAAAUUGUAGAAAAAUAAAAAAUGAAACAAAAGGGAUGAAAAUGAACAAUAUAUGUAUGUGUUUGCAACACAAUGUUAGAUAAACGACAAAGUAACACAACCAAAAUCUUUCAUUCAAAGUAAUAAUCUUUUGGCAAUCUUUAUUUAAAUUACUUGUAUUUAAACAAAAGCAUAUUACAUAAACUAUUCAAGUAUUAUCAAACUCAUCAUGUAUUAAUAGAAGUUUUAUCAAUUAAGUAGCACUUAAAAGAAUAAUAACACAAAAACAAAGAAAUAAAUUCCAUAACAAUGCAAAAUGAUACAGAAUUACAUAAAAUAUGGGUUGCAUAACAAAUUUAUUUUGGACAACCAUACCUUAACUCCAAAAUGGAAAAGAAAACUUAAAAUCAUAAGCUAACAUAAAAAAGAUCUAAAGGAAUAUAUAGGUCAUAUCUUAUACUUCUAAGCUUAACACUUGAACUAUAUUGUAAGAAAGUUUCUCUUUUAAAUUGCAUAAUGAAGCUAUCCAUUCUUUUCCUCAGUUAGCUUCUUGACGACAUGUAUCUAUAUCAUUAUCUAAGAAGAAGAAAAGAAAACAAUAGAUGAUAGAAAAGAAAAGAAAAGAAUAUGAUGAUUUAGGGAGCAAUUUACUGGUAUUUAUAGUGAUAUUUAGCUGUCUUUUCACCUACCAAAUUAAUGGAGCACAUUGAAUCAUGAUACAUAAAUUUUAUUUUGGUUUCAAAUUCAAAGAGUCACUAAAGAGUCAUUCAUUAUUAAGUGUAGUUGUUGGACUUCAUAUUCCACCAUUAUGUAAUUAAAAUAUUAGUAUCUAAUAAAUUAAUUAAUUUCAUUUUGAUUUAGUGGAGGGGCAAAAUGGUAAUCCAACUUUGAAUGUUGGAGUUUUCCACUUAUAAUAAUAUAUGAUAUGAUAUAUAUUGAUUUUGAAUUCCCAAAACACAAGAUUAAAGGUUCGCGUAGUGGUUAAGGGCAUUCAAAAUCUACCUUCAAGUUUCAAGUUUAAAUCAUAGGCACGCUUUAGAUUGAAUAAUGAGCUAAGUAAGAAUAAAUUUGAUAAUUAGAUGCUAUGAUGAGUAAAUGAGAUAACUAAAGAGUAAGAGUAUGAAUCUGGAUGUUUUGGGGGCGUAUAAAUGGGUCUCUAUCUAAAGUAGGAUUGCAAUUCUCAAUAAGUAGGAUUACAAGAGCUUCUAAAGCGUUGCAGUAAGUCCAAAAGUUCAUAGAGGGCAUUCACAAGAUUAUUGGAUUAUGGGUGUCACAAUGGUUGAGAGUGUAGAUUUGACCGCUUAUCAGUUGAAGAGAGUAGCUCAAAUUUGCUACAAGCAAUGGAAGGAGGAAAGCGUUGUUGAUGCAGACCCAUUGGACUGGGAAAAGUUCAAGGCUAUUUUAAUAUCCGCUUGAGAUGAGAGAGGUUAAGGUCCAAGAGUUCAUAAAUCUGAGACAGGGUAACAUGACAAUGAAGGAGUAUUUUUUGAAGUUUUCUCAAUUCUCCAAAUAUGCUCCGACUAUGGUUGCACGACUUUAGGGACCACAUGAGUAAGUUUGUCUACGAUAUUUCUGCGAUGUUGAUUAAGGAGAUCGCUAUCUCAAGGUUAAUGACUCAUGCUCAACAGAUUGGGAAAGAAAAGCUCAAGGAGAGUGCUAGAGACUAAGAGAGCUCAGACAUAUAGUGUAGACUACUCUCAUCAAAAAUCAGUAGGCAGUAAUCGAUAUCAGUUUCGUCAAAAAUACUCAAGUCCAACCCCAUCUUCUGCUAGUGCUCUAGGGCAAUGUUUCUAGUGGAUGCACUUUCCUUACUUCUCAGAAGUGUGGUAAAAUCAUCCAGGAAUAUAUAUGGCCGGUACUGGUAGGAGCUUUGGAUGUGGUCAGAUUGAGGGAUUGCCCAUCGACGGUAGGCAAGGGCAAGGAUGUUCAUCAGCAGGCUCAGCCUAAAACUUUAGCAAGUCACCUGACUCAAUAGGGUACCCCAUCUAGAACUGGUGGCGGACUGCAUGAGAACAGGUUUUAUGCUCGUUCCCCUGAUAUAGUCAUUGAUAUGUUACGAGUCUUGUUAGAUUCAGGAGCCACAAUACUUUUCAAGAUGGGUUGAAAACUUGAAAUGAAUCAACCCAAUUUCCUACACGACAACCAUUUAUUUUUCAUUGAUUUUCAACAUAUAAACCAUGAGAAAAUGGUCUAAAGCCCCCCAACCUAUACCCGAAAUUCCAACUACACACUCGAACUUCACGGGUGUCCUAUUACCCCCUGAAUAUUUUAUUUCUCAAUUUAGUGCACACCUGAGUGCUGACCUGUCAUAGGAGGUGAGAGCACCGCCUCUAGGCGCAUUAGAGGCAAUAAAUUGGCUAUGGUCAUCUUCCCCAAAUUAAAUAAACCUUUGUUCCUUCUUCCCCACCAUUAAUCCUUGUUCCUUCUUCAAUAUUUUGACGAUUUUCUUUCAAAAAUGGCUAGGUUUUAGUUGUUUAUGUUUAUUUCUACUUUAAAUCUUGAAAUUAGGGUUUGUAAUAUGCUCUAAUUUCUUAUUUAAGUUCUCUAAUUUGAAUAUUGAAUCUUCUCUAAAUUCAUUAAAAAUAACAAAUGAAAACUUGAAUAAGCUUUAUAUCGAUGAAUCAAACCCAAUGCUCAACGUUGUAGUGAGAUGCAAACAUGAAAUUUUGUUGAAUUUGCAAACUUUUUGGUCGAAAUUAAAUUCGACCAAGAAUUGGGCAAGAUGAAAAGGAGAAAAGCGAAAAGAAAGAAUUGGGGUAAGGGGUGAUGUCGUUCGAUCUUUAAGAGGGAAAUGGAAAGGUUGAAGUGGGGCCUGCGCGUGCAAAUCACGUUAGUCAAUAUAUUUGGUUUAUAUGUACUGGUCAGCACUCAGGUGCACUAAAUAGAGAAAUAAAAUGUUCAGGGGAUGAUAGGACACCCGUGAAGUUGGAGUGUGUAGUUGGGAUUUCGGGUAUAGGUUGGCGAGGCUUUAGACCAUUUUCUCUAAAAACCACACGACAUUAUAAUGUACAGAACUGCAUUUAUGACUCUUGACAUUUUAAAUGGGUAGAGGACUACAUUUGAGACUUUUGACAUGCAACUCCGUAUGACAAGGGAGAGAUAACCUACUAGGUAAAAAGGGCCACUUGCCUGUUGGAAUUGAAUAUUGGGAGAAUGGAGCUUACCAUAUCAAAAGAAAUAUCAGGCGGGCAUACAUGAGUUGCAAUACAACAAAUCCAUAGUUUCUUCAUUUCAACAUUAAGGGACCUUUAGUAUCUAAAAUAAAUAAUUGAAGCUGAAUAUUCUAUGAAUAACAACUAGAGGCAAACCCCCAAAAUCUGAAUUUUGCACUCAUAAUAGAGGCUCUGUUUGGGAACUUUAGGAUCAUGAUCAAACUAAACUAAUCGAGUUUAGUUUAUGCAUUUUCAAAUGGAGGCAAUCCCCAAUCGACUGGGCUGUAAUCAAGUAAAGAAUUCAAAACCUGAUCAGCGACUUGAUGAUACUGACUAUCCAACCUUGCAUCUGGAACCAUAACCACUGACCUGCAUGCAGUAACAUAAAACCCAAGUCAGUAGAUGAUAGCGCAAUUAGAGCUUUAUACAUUCCUAUGACAACUAUAUAUCUGUACCUUCACUUUUCUCAUAAGAACAUUAAUGCAAUAGAUGGGGGGUAAAAGAGACCAAAAUGCAACCAGGUGAUCUUCUAUAUCAAUGACAAUGAGAAUCUUAAUGCCACUUCAGGACUUACUUGGCAUACGUGUUACAUCUACCAGAAGAAACCCUUGUCAACAAACAGAACUUUGGGGACUUUAGUAGCUAAAGCAUGUUAUUGGCGUUUAAUCAUGCCUCAUAGGACCCAAAAAAAUGAAGAAUUAAUAGUAGCAAACAAAUAUGAGCAAGUUCAAAACUCAUGAAAACUGCUAACAUUCCAGACCUGAAGAAAUUAAAUUAAGGAAAAAACAUAGCCUCAUAGUACAAAGCAGGAAAACUAUUAGAAAAACGCAAGAAACCAGAGCAAACACCAAAAAGGGACCAUGUUACAAGGACUCUAAUGAUCACUACUAGCAAGAGAUUUGGGUCUGCAUAUGUAAGGACCCAAACAAGGAAUUUUUUUUGAGAAAGGUAACAUCCCAAACAAGGAAUAUUGUCUAUCCAUUACAGGCAAAACUAGGUGUUUGUGUGGGUGUCAUAGAGAAUCCCGGGUCCUGGUGAAGUAGCAAACUGAGGCAAUUUGCGGAUGGAAUAAUAGUAAUAUGUAUCUUUUAGAUUAUUGAAUGAUCCGAAGAAGAUUACAAAUCAGACAGAAAAUUAGAACACCAGGAAGCACUUGCAGUGUGGAUAGGUUCAAAGAGAUUCUUGAAAGUCAAAACAAAAACCCCAAAAUAGGAGGAAGGAAAAGGCAAGAUCCUGAAGGAGUGCUCUGAAUCCAAGAACCAGACCAAAAUCAUAUUGUUUUCUCAAUUACUAGAUGUUAUCUUCAAGAGAUUAACAACACCUACGAGUUAAUCAAUUACUUAGUGCCAAAUUGUUGAGACAUAAAUCUAGAUGAAAUAUAAAAGGCAAACUACAAUUUACAUGUUGGACCAAUCACCAAUCAGUAUAACCUUUGCACAGGAUGUCAAGUACAUAAGACUGUUGACUGAGAGCAAAAUAUUCAUAGGAAUAACUAAGACAAAAAACAUACAGUGAAAAAACAAAAUUAAAGAUAUGCAGUUGAGCAAGCAUUUACAGGAAAGUACAAGGAGAGUUGGUAUCUAAACUCCUUAAAAUAAUGAAAAGUAAUCAUGUAGUUCUCUCAAGUUAUUCUACUAGAAGAAAUCAAAAAUGAUAUCACCCGACAUUAAAAUUUUGGGAGAUAGACCUACAUUCCAGCAUUCUUGGCUGCAAGGACACCAGAGGGCGCAUCUUCAAAUACAAGAAUCCUCUGUGGAUCUACAGGUCCACCCUGUCCAUAUUAACAUAAAGAAUACAGCUCAUAGGCAUCCAUGAUAUUUCAUAAUUGACUACAUAUACUGACCAUAUUUCUACUUUUCCAUUAUCUGAAGGAUCUCCAUUCUAGUUUCACAAAUUACACCCAACUUUCUCAGAUUUUGUAACAAAAUAGUGUUAACUCCCCUAAAGGCUUGUACAUUCAGAAAAAGUAGUCUCUCACUGUACAAUUUUGAGAACAGAUUUUGCCUUUCUGCAGUAAACGUCCUAGAAAUUUUAGAUGUUAUAUAUUCUCCGCUUCAAAUCAAAUGCCCACCUUCCAAUUUUACUUUAUCCCAAAAUAGUGUCCUUCCUAAAAAGAGAACUUCUUAAACAUACUUUACCAUAUAAAAAUCACAUAGUACCCAGUUUUUCUCUUUUAAAUACACCGUCUAUCCCAAAAAGUUUCCUUGUUGAGUUUUGAAUAAUCAAAAUACAUAUUUUUCAAACAUAACUUCAGAUAAACUUUUAUAUACAUAAGGAAAGGUGACAGUCCAUGGAAGGAGGAAAAGACAAGUAAUGCUCCCAGAAGAAGCUGGCAGCAUCAAAGCUUGGGGUUGUUGAAAUGAUCAAUGAAAGAUUUCUUUUGGAAUUUCCAUCUGAUAUAGAAGUUGCCAGGGUUAAGAUUGGUGAAUGGAGAUGGAAAGGACAGAAAAUUAAUCUAGUGAACCGGACUUUGCUGACAUCAAUGUCCAGAAAAUACAAGUUCCGGUGAUUCGAGAUGGGUUAGGCUUGACAGUUUUCCGACAACUCUGUGUGCCUUGAUGCUGACGCGCACUUAAUUAGGUUAUGUUGGGGAAUGGAGCAAGGAAGGGGUAUCAUACUCUCUAUGUCCCAAUUUAUACGACUCACUUUCCGUUUUAGUCGGUCCCAAAAAAGAAUGACAAAUUUCUAUAUUCAGUAACAAUUAAACUUUAAAAUGCCUACUUUACCCUUAAUGAAAUGAUUUAUAGCCACACAAACAUCUAUUACUUAUUUUAGACCACGAGUUUCAAAAGUCUUUAUUUCUUUCUGAAGCUAUGUAUUAAGUCAAACUACAUCACAUAAAUGUAUGUUUGUAUAUAGAACUUUUUUAUACUUUUUUUGCUGAUAUGUUACAAUAUCGUGCAGCACCUUGAUUAGUUGAAGUUAAAGAUGGCAAGACAACUGUAGAACAUGCAGAGGAGGAGGGUUGGAUUGAUAUGAGCAAGUCAGAUUCAUAAAUUUAACUUCUGAGAUGGCAAAACAAUGCAACAUCCUAACAAAAAUCAUUGACUUUACUUUUUCAUUUGGAAGAUGACUAAUGUGUUUGAUCAUUGCAUCACCGUAAAUAGCUCACAGAGAAAAUUUUCUUUUUCUAAGAAAGUAACACUAUUUGAAGUUGGAUAUAAGAACCAAGCCAACAGAAACAGGCAUAUUUGAAAAGUCUAGUAGGUAAAUUAUCAAUUAGACCAUACUAAGGGAGGUCUAUGUAAUAGAAGACUAACCAAGAGAAGGAUAAGUAUCAUAGUGCGAGAUCUCUCAGUAUAUACACAAUCUAGAGAAACAAAAAUCAGAGAAUUACCUCAAAUCUGUUUGCAGCUGCAAGGAAUAUAUCAGGUGAUGGCUUCCCUUGUUUAACUUCUGGAUCAUCGCCACGAACAAUAUGAUGCAUUAGUGAAAAAAGUUCAGUGUGUCUUUGAGUUUUCAAAUCAAAGUGCCGCGUGUGAGUUCUGAAAAAUGCAUUUAUAUUAGUUCACUUUUUGAAUCUUACUUCUGAAACAUUAUCUUAGCAUAUGUUAAUUCUUACACUUCUACUUUUUUUUUUAUGACAAGGGAAUGGUAAACUUUCUAGUGAACAAAACUAAAAGAAGAUGACAUACCCCGUAGCAACACAAAUUGGUAUCCCAUUUUCAUGAAGGUGAUGAAUCAGGCGGCUGGCCCCUAUAACAGGACAAAAACUUAAAACAAGCAAAGAAGUUCAUGUAUCCAAUUUUGCAUUAAAUGAAAUUAAAAGACUGAAAUGAACAAUAUGUGGAAUUUAUAUGCUAGUCUUCAUACUUAAUAUCCACUCUACUUCAGAAACAAAUGUUCUAAACUAACAUUACUGGAUGCAAGAACUUGAAAACAUAAUUAUUCAAGAAGCUGUUGGAUAGGAUUCACAUGUAAGGAGAAUCAGUAAUUAGAUUUAUGAGCAUGCUGUAAUUUUUGCAAGAGAUUGUCAAGUUGAUAGGUAACCCAUCUUGGAUAAAUAUGUUUUCAAGUUCUUGCAUCCAGUAAUGUUAGUUUAGAACAUUUGUUUCUGAAGUAGAGUGGAUAUUAAGUAUGAAGAUUAGCAUAUACAUUCUACAUGUUGACUAUUGUUCAUUUCAAUCUUUAUGCAUAGUGACCUCUCAAAUGGUGAAAUUUUUGCAACAAGUUGUAAAGAUGCAGAAUACACAUAAUGAACAGUCAAACACAUCAUUUACCAAUGCAAUGGUAGGAGCAAAAAGAAACCUCUGAAAAUCAUUUCUCAUGUUCGCAGCAAAAGGCUUUCCAACUCUGAAGUGUAUACCACAAGAGGGUAAUGAAGGUGUGUUCCUUGAUAUCUAGGAAAUUAUAUGUUCCAAGUCACUUAAAAAUAAGCUUUUCUUUUCUCAAGUUUCAAGGUUUAAACUUCUUUUUUUUAUCACAACUCUGUUGAGGCUAGCUUGCAGUACACCUUGACUAAAAUUCCUCUGGUUCCUAUUAUCUCCCACUAGCACAGGUGCCGGGUAACUCUACCGACCAAAACAUAGACAAAUUGGAAGUUUCAACUAGGGUUGCCUCCGAUGAGAUUUGAAUAUUAAUUGAUCAAGGUUGUUACUCUGGCUCUCAACAGCUAGGCCAUCCCCAGGGACAGUUUCAAGGCUUUAAUAUGAAAAAUAUAGCAUAAAUGUUAUGGAGGAACCUUUUAUUAUGCAUCUAGAGAAGUAGAGAUUACAUGUCCCUGGUUAUACUUUGGGGGAAGAAAGAAAACUGAGCUAUUUCCAUCAAGUAAAGAAAAGCCUCUCCAAAACUUUAAAAAUUAAAACCAGUUAAAGUUAUCCUCAAUUGGUAGUUCUUCAUAAAAAUGCCGUAUAAGCUAGGCCCUAUUAGCAGGAAAAGAUGGAGAUAAAGAGUAAGGAUUGAAACCCCAUUAGCAGCUUGUGUAUGUUCAUGCAAUAUGGGUGUCUCAUCCUUAAGAACUGGUUACUUCCUCAGCAAAAUUUGGAUUGUGGAAGGAUAAGAUCUUGCUUCAACAGAGAUUCAUGAAAACAUAUCCACCACCUCCACCGCUCUUUUCUUUUUCAUAAAUAGGAAGUUUAGAAUCCAACUUGAUUAUUGAAAGGAUUACCAGAUAUAACAGAAAAAUGUUCCACCUGUCGCUGCAUGUCUAUUUAAGACUAUACAGAAUUAAAUUCAACAUCUACUGGAUCAAUUAUACUUCCCCCAUGCUUUUUACACUAGUUAUGGAGGUAAAAGUAUACAUGGGAGUUGAAUGCUCCAAUACGGAAAGUAAUAGGUAAAAAGUAGUAUGAUUGAUCACAGAUUUGUUCUGGCCCUAAAAUUCAUCAUACAACCAGAAAAAAUGAUAUUGUGGAGAAACUGAUGUCUUACUUCAUAAUUUUGAGGAAACAAUAGCCUGACAAAGGGUUCAGUCCUAUUUGGAUGCCUAUAUGGGAGGUAAACUGCAUAAUUUAUAUAUAUGUAUAUUAUUUUAACGUUACGAUAUCUAUCCAUGUAUAUAAUAUGAAAAUCAGAACUCUCUUUUAAAGGGAAAUCAUAUAUAGUACGGUUACGUCUUCAAUCAAGAAGGUUAUAUAGAAAGUGAAGAAAUUGAUUUGAAUAUUUGAUCAAGAUCCACAAAUUUUUGCCAUUUAAGACAAAUAGUCAAUUCCAUAAGUUUUACAUCAUGUGCAAAUGUCUGCUCCUCUUAUGAACAGAACUGAGAAGGGUGAGAAAGCUGAAACUUGAGAAAUGAAUUAAAAAAAUAUAUUCUGUCUCUUGUGCUUAUCAAAAUUGUACCUGGCAUGAGGUCGCUUGUGGGGAACAUUUUCUGCAACAUUUCUUCUCUCUCUACAAGAAAAUCUUCAGCUGUAAGUGAAUCACUUAUUCCUGUCUCUUCAACAAAGACCCUGGCAGCCUCUAUUGCCUUCAUCCCCAUCAUCUUUGCCUUGAGUGACCAAUCAAAAGUCUUAUUAUACCUAGCAAGUAUAAUCUCCUGGACCUCCGUAUAGAAUUUCUCGGUGUCUGAUACACAAAAGAAAAGGAACAAAGAAGUUACUCAACCAAGAUUUGUCUUCAAGUAUCAUCUAUUCGACCACACAAAGAUUCACCUGUUUCUUUCCGAUAGAAUAUAACAAACGGGAAAGGCCUGGUAAAUAUCACUCUUCCCUUUGAUCCCCUAUGUUAACAAUCUACCCUCACACCUUCUUCCCGUUACUUAUUUGCUUCCAUCCUUGGAAGCUGUUUUAUUUUCUAAAACAGACUGCAGUGUCUUAAUAUAUCAGGUGAUGGGAUAAGUACAUAUCAAAUAAUGUCUGCUGUGGUCAAACCACAUAGGUAUACACAAAGGGGCAUAACAGAUUUGGCUGUGUGAAUUUGUUUUGUGGUUAUUUAAGUUACAUAACUUGGGUAGCAAUAGAAAAUCCAAAUAACAAAACACCUAAAGUAAAAAACUAAAAGACGUCACAAAAAAUUCAAACGGACCAGUCCAUGCAUCCUUUCCUAAACUUUAAGAUCUCCUAUAAUAAAUCAACAUCGGUCUUACUGUUGCUUUGAGAGAACAAGGGAACUAGAUCUUUUUUCUUUUUGGUUGAUGAAGAGUGAACUAGAUUAGGGAACACAACAAGCUGCCUUAGGUAUAAGAGUUGAUUGUAGUUUUGUACAUCUCCAGAAAGAAGAAUUCGUAAAAGAUAACACAAUGCACAGUGGAAGGAACUUUCUCACACUGUGCUAUUGCUAACUUUUCCUUUACAGACGCACAUCAUUAUAAGGUUUUAACUGACUAUAAAUCAUAACCGCGUACAGGCAGUGAGUAAUAUAUAAUUUACAAAAAGAAUGCAAUUCUCUGCUAUGGUGACAUGCUUUAGAACCACCAAUCCUACAUAAUUUAUUGAUUUUUUUUUUUUUGAAAAUGGUAACGAUGUAUUAUAUCACAAAAGUACAUGGGUUGUACUCAAACCUUAUAUACAGAUGCACUCUAGACACUCCUACUCUAUUUCUAUAUUGAGUCUAGAACAUCAACUAUAGAGACAGUGUCAUUUGAGUAUAAUUGAUUACACCAAAAACAUAACAACAAAAUGCAGUUUAGUUUAACAUCCUGUAUAGAAAGUGAAGAAAUUGAUUUGAAUAUUUGAUCAAGAUCCACAAAUUUUUGCCAUUUAAGACAAAUAGUCAAUUCCAUAAGUUUUACAUCAUGUGCAAAUGUCUGCUCCUCUUAUGAACAGAACUGAGAAGGGUGAGAAAGCUGAAACUUGAGAAAUGAAUUAAAAAAAUAUAUUCUGUCUCUUGUGCUUAUCAAAAUUGUACCUGGCAUGAGGUCGCUUGUGGGGAACAUUUUCUGCAACAUUUCUUCUCUCUCUACAAGAAAAUCUUCAGCUGUAAGUGAAUCACUUAUUCCUGUCUCUUCAACAAAGACCCUGGCAGCCUCUAUUGCCUUCAUCCCCAUCAUCUUUGCCUUGAGUGACCAAUCAAAAGUCUUAUUAUACCUAGCAAGUAUAAUCUCCUGGACCUCCGUAUAGAAUUUCUCGGUGUCUGAUACACAAAAGAAAAGGAACAAAGAAGCUACUCAACCAAGAUUUGUCUUCAAGUAUCAUCUAUUCGACCACACAAAGAUUCACCUGUUUCUUUCCGAUAGAAUAUAACAAACGGGAAAGGCCUGGUAAAUAUCACUCUUCCCUUUGAUCCCCUAUGUUAACAAUCUACCCUCACACCUUCUUCCCGUUACUUAUUUGCUUCCAUCCUUAGAAGCUCUUUUAUUUUCUAAAACAGACUGCAGUGUCUUAAUAUAUCAGGUGAUGGGAUAAGUACAUAUCAAAUAAUGUCUGCUGUGGUCAAACCACAUAGGUAUACACAAAGGGGCAUAACAGAUUUGGCUGUGUGAAUUUGUUUUGUGGUUAUUUAAGUUACAUAACUUGGGUAGCAAUAGAAAAUCCAAAUAACAAAACACCUAAAGUAAAAAACUAAAAGACGUCACAAAAAAUUCAAACGGACCAGUCCAUGCAUCCUUUCCUAAACUUUAAGAUCUCCUAUAAUAAAUCAACAUCGGUCUUACUGUUGCUUUGAGAGAACAAGGGAACUAGAUCUUUUUUCUUUUUGGUUGAUGAAGAGUGAACUAGAUUAGGGAACACAACAAGCUGCCUUAGGUAUAAGAGUUGAUUGUAGUUUUGUACAUCUCCAGAAAGAAGAAUUCGUAAAAGAUAACACAAUGCACAGUGGAAGGAACUUUCUCACACUGUGCUAUUGCUAACUUUUCCUUUACAGACGCACAUCAUUAUAAGGUUUUAACUGACUAUAAAUCAUAACCGCGUACAGGCAGUGAGUAAUAUAUAAUUUACAAAAAGAAUGCAAUUCUCUGCUAUGGUGACAUGCUUUAGAACCACCAAUCCUACAUAAUUUAUUGAUUUUUUUUUUUUUGAAAAUGGUAACGAUGUAUUAUAUCACAAAAGUACAUGGGUUGUACUCAAACCUUAUAUACAGAUGCACUCUAGACACUCCUACUCUAUUUCUAUAUUGAGUCUAGAACAUCAACUAUAGAGACAGUGUCAUUUGAGUAUAAUUGAUUACACCAAAAACAUAACAACAAAAUGCAGUUUAGUUUAACAUCCUGCACACUAUUUUCUAUGCCUUCAAAACAUCUGGAAUUCCUUUCUUUCCAGAUUGCCCACCAUAUUGAAGCAGGGAUAAUUCUCCAUCUAGUUCUGUCUUUUGCAAGGGCACCUGCCUCCUCCCAGCUGUACAAGGCCUCAGUAACUCUCCUAGGCAUAGUCCAGGAUAUGCCUUUAAGGCUCAAGAAAAUCCUCCAAAGCUGCCGGGUGUAUUUGCAGUGUAGAAAUAGAUGGUUUACAGUUUCUAAGGUUUCCCCACAUAGGAAACACCUAGAGCAUAAGGUUAUCCCCCUUUUCAUUACAUUAUCCUGAGUCAGGGCAGCUUCCUUAGCUAGCAGCCAAAUAAAGCAUGAGACUUUGUGUGGGAUUCUACACUUCCAUACUUGUUUCCAAGGCCAGAUGGGACUCUGCUGGCUUGAUUCAUCCAUCAGCCUGUAAGCUGAAUGCACUUUGAACUCUCCUCUAUUGUUGCCUUUCCACCAAAGCAUAUCCUCAUAUGCCUGAAGUCCAGUAAAAUGUCCAACCAACUUGAGGAAUUCUGCCAACCUCAUCACUUCCCAGUCAUUUGGUUCUCUCCUGAAGAUGAAAUUCCACCCUUGUGGUGUCCAUAGUUCUGCAAUAGUUCUUUGUUGGAACAUUGCCAGAUUGUAAAUAUCAGGGAAAAGAGUUUCCAGGUUACCUUUCUCAUGCCAUUCAUCCUUCCAGAAUUUGAUUUUGUUCCCAUUCCCCACUUUCAUCUUGAAUUUGGGUUUAACUUCCUCCCAUAAUGCUCUUAUGGAUCUCCAUAAACUGAUCCCAUAAGGUGUGGUCACAAUCUUAGUCAUCCAACUAUCUUCAUUCUCAUAUUUGGCACCUAUCACUCUUCUCCAAAGUGUUUGGUUUUCAUUUGAGUAUUUGCACAACCACUUCAUUAAGAGUGCUUUGCCAUGUAGCUCCAUAUUCUUUAUUCCCAGACCACCAUUCUUCUUUCCAGUUGUCACUGCAUUCCAUUUUACUAGAUGAAAACCUCUAUUCUCUUUGUUUCCUUGCCACAAGAACUUCCUUCUUAUGCUGUCUAGUCUUUUAGUGAUCCCUGGUGGGAUGGGAAAUAGAGACAGCAUGUAAGUUGGGAGAGCAUCUAGGACUGAGUUUAUGAGGGUCAGUCUACCCCCUCUUGACAAGUACUGAGUUUUCCAUCUGGCCAGCUUCUUCUCACACUUCUCUAUCACACCAUUCCAAAUUUCUAAGGACUUGGAUUUUGCUCCCAAUGGCAUACCCAAAUAUGUUGUAGGUAGAGUACCUACUUCACCCCCUAGAAUUGAAGCUAACAAUUCUAUGUUGUUGACCUCAUUGAUAGUAUACAUAGAACUUUUAAUCCAGUUAAUGUGCAACCCGGAUACCCCUUCAAACAGCACCAGGAUCACCCUUAAGUAUUUCAGUUGGUCUUCCUCAGCUCCACAAAAAAUCAAUGUAUCAUCUGCAUACUGAAGAUGUGUCACCUCCAAGCUUUCUGUAUUUUCUCUAGCCACAUCAAAACCUUUUAUCCAUCCUCUCAUAUUUGCUGUCUUGAGCAUAUUAUUCAGCCCCUCCAUAGUAAUUAAGAACAAGAAAGGGGACAAUGGAUCACCCUGCCUGAGUCCUCUUUGAGUUUGAAAAAACCCUGCAGGGGACCCAUUAAUCAGAACAGAGAAGCUAACUGUAGAAAUGCAAAAGCUAAUCCAGUUCAACCAUUUUUGUCCAAAUCCCAUCAUCUCUAAAAUCUUCAGAAGGUACUUCCAAUUCACAUGAUCAUAUGCUUUUUCUAUGUCCAGCUUGCAUAGAAUGCCAGGUUUCUUCUGCUUAUUCCUGGAAUCUACAGCUUCAUUAGCAAUCAACACUGCAUCCAUAAUUUGUCUCCCUUUUAUAAAAGCCAUUUGCUGUGAGUCCACCAGUUUGUCUAUCACAACUUUCAACCUUUCUGUGAGAACUUUGGAGAGUAUUUUGUAAAUGCUCCCUAUGAGGCUAAUUGGUCUGUAGUCCCUUAACUCAUUGGCUCCUUUUUUCUUUGGAAUGAGUGCAAUGAAGGUAUUACUCAACCAAGAUUUGUCUUCAAGUAUCAUCUAUUCGACCACACAAAGAUUCACCUGUUUCUUUCCGAUAGAAUAUAACAAACGGGAAAGGCCUGGUAAAUAUCACUCUUCCCUUUGAUCCCCUAUGUUAACAAUCUACCCUCACACCUUCUUCCCGUUACUUAUUUGCUUCCAUCCUUAGAAGCUGUUUUAUUUUCUAAAACAGACUGCAGUGUCUUAAUAUAUCAGGUGAUGGGAUAAGUACAUAUCAAAUAAUGUCUGCUGUGGUCAAACCACAUAGGUAUACACAAAGGGGCAUAACAGAUUUGGCUGUGUGAAUUUGUUUUGUGGUUAUUUAAGUUACAUAACUUGGGUAGCAAUAGAAAAUCCAAAUAACAAAACACCUAAAGUAAAAAACUAAAAGACGUCACAAAAAAUUCAAAUGGACCAGUCCAUGCAUCCUUUCCUAAACUUUAAGAUCUCCUAUAAUAAAUCAACAUCGGUCUUACUGUUGCUUUGAGAGAACAAGGGAACUAGAUCUUUUUUCUUUUUGGUUGAUGAAGAGUGAACUAGAUUAGGGAACACAACAAGCUGCCUUAGGUAUAAGAGUUGAUUGUAGUUUUGUACAUCUCCAGAAAGAAGAAUUCGUAAAAGAUAACACAAUGCACAGUGGAAGGAACUUUCUCACACUGUGCUAUUGCUAACUUUUCCUUUACAGACGCACAUCAUUAUAAGGUUUUAACUGACUAUAAAUCAUAACCGCGUACAGGCAGUGAGUAAUAUAUAAUUUACAAAAAGAAUGCAAUUCUCUGCUAUGGUGACAUGCUUUAGAACCACCAAUCCUACAUAAUUUAUUGAUUUUUAAUUAGGGGAAUAUAUAGUCAAAGAACUUAUACUGUUUACAGAAAGAACGCAAUUCUCUGCUAUAGUGACAUGUUUCAGAACCACCAAGUCUCUGUAAUUUACUCUUAAUUCCUCUUGAUUAGGGAAAAAGAUAAUCAAAAGACUAAGAAAUGCACUGUGUUUUCUUUGAUAUGUGAGAAAUGUCUUAGUUCUUGAGUACCUUGUGCGCCAGAUAUGUGAUGUUACAUCAGAAAGAUAUAGACAUACAGACGUGUACAUGUGCUUGAGGAACACACUCAUCAUACCAUCUCUACUGGAAUGUGGAGUGGCAUAGUCUAUCUAUAAAGAAAAGCAUAACAGAAUACAUCAAAAGAGAUGGUCUAAUGGUCACAGCCCACAGGGACUCACUUAACGAGACCAGAAUUAUGCAUUUGUUCACCUAUCAACUAUAAUUGACAACUUUUGGCAUCACUAGCAAAGGCAACUUCAAAUUCCAAGUCGGAUAAUUCCUUCAAGCAGCAGCUCAGUUUUUUUCAUUUUGGCACACUGCACGUGCCCAACCAACUUCCAAGAAUGCUAUUUCACUCUUCAAAAUGAUUUUCUAAAAUUUUGAAAAUGAUUACUUCAGUGGCUGUCGCCUUUUCUAAUAUAUGAGUUCCCCACCCUAUCUUUACAAAUCCUAAAUCUGACACUGCUUUCAAGGCAUAACAUCAAAAGUUAAAGUAUUCUAACUCUUCAUUUUCAAUCAAUAGUACACUAGCAUACUCAUUCAUCUCCUCCGAAGAACAACAAGGGUAGAACACAUAACACUCAAAUUUCGAAUUUCACUCCCAAUUCCCAAAUGAUCAGAAAUUCUACAACAUCCAAAGAACAAUUUUAGCAACCGAUUGCAUACCAAGAUUACAUCAAUCCUUGAGAAACUCUACUCUACCCAUAGGCAAUUCCCACGAGCACAUUACCAGUUGAGUCACAAAAGAGGGUGGCAUUGCAUUCUCAGUUCAUUCAGAUUUGUGAAAUAAACUAAAGCAAAGAAAAGAGAAUAGGAGAGCAAAAUGCAAGUGACAUAUUGAUACCUAGAAGAAGCCCGUCCAUGUCAAAGAUUACAUGAGUGAUUGAGCCUUUCCUUGCCGAUGAAGCAUCAAUGCCUUGAUUCGCCAUAUUUCAACAACUUUUAGCUUCUUCUGGCGCACCACAACUAAGAUUGCAGCAGAUCUGAAAGAUUAUUUUUGUUACCCACUGUCUUAAUUUGGAAGUACCCUUUUCUUCUUUUCUUAUUGGGCAGUACUUCUGGGUUUAAUCAGAUUUAACGCCUUUUCCUCCUUUUUAAUUCCGUUCCUUUUUUCCUCCUUUUUCUCUUUUAAAAUACAAGUGAAGACACAAUACAUUGAAAUUGGUGUCGCUUUAACUAGUAUCACCAAACUGGAAAUUAGACUAGUAUUGACCUAUAAAUGGAAUAGUCAAUAUCCAUCCCAUAAUGAAGGUGCUGCUUUUACUAGUAAAAACAUAUUCCCUCCGUCCCUAUUUAGUUGUCCACUUUAGAAAUGACACACAGAUUAAGGCAACAAUGAUUAGCAUAGUAAAAUUACAAUUUUACCCUUAUAGUACAAUUUUACAAUUCCAAAAUAAAUUCACUCAAGAUAACUAAUCAAUGCUGAAAAAUUCAUAAGUUUAUUUACUUUAUUUAUGACAACUUUUCACUUCAAAAUUACAUCCACUUCUUUGAAUUCAAGUGAAAUAAAUUGGAGGGAAACAACAUACACUUUUACAAUUUUUUAUAACAUUUAAAAAUUUCCCAUCAAAAUAUUUUGUUAUAAAAAAAUGCUUCAAUGAAAUGAGAAAUCAAACAACCAAUGGAUACAAGACAAAAUAAAUCAAGUUCAAUGAAUGGAAUAGAUUUAAAUAUUUCUGUUGAAGUGGAUCUUCAAUCAAUAUAAGUGAGUCUUCUACUUUGAUAGGAGUAUUAGUUGAAACUUCAACUUUAUUUCUGUCCAUUUUUUAGUAAAAAAUUGUUCAAAAUUUUUACUCAUAAACUAACAAAAUGCUUUAUGGGUAACUUAAAGGACUGUGUAACUCCCCAAGCAUAAUAAAUGUAUUGUCUGGUUCCAAAAAGAAUGAAUUACAGCUUACUAGAAAUUUUCAAGAAGUUUAAAUAAGGGUAUAAUAGGAAAAAAUUUAUUGUCCUUUCUUGAUUUGUCAAAAUGGAUAACUAAAAGAGGAAAUAUGGACAACUAAAUAGGGACGGAGGGAGUACUUACAUAUUAUACAACGUGACAUUAAACAUCUUAAAUUAUGUGUCUAAAUGCUUUAAAAAAUUUAAGACAAUCUUAGCUUAGUUAUUACUAUAGUACUUACCAAUCUAAAACUUAAUAAUAAUAGUUUCUAUUUCUCUGUGUCCUUUUAUCAAUUAACAAACAAUAAACAUAACUGGACAACAUCAGUCCAAUCUCUAUACCAAUUUAUCAUAUUGUAAUAAUAAACAUCGUGCAUUUCUUUCCUUAACGUACCAAGUUCAGCUAAGUAAUUAAUUUAAAAUUAACAAAAGCGAUGUAACCACAAAAACAAAAUACUACUCCCUCCGUCCACAAUUAUUUGACAGGUAUACUAAAAAUAGAUGUCCAAGAUUAAUUGUCAAUUUAAACAAUCAAGAAAUAACUAAUCACCUUUUUCCAAUUCUGCCCUUAAUGAUAGUGUAGUUCAAUUGAAAAGUUAUGUAGACUUUUGGUAUUCUUGGUAUAGUAGGGUUAUAUUAGUCAAAUUACACCUUCUAUUAAAUUUUCCUUGAGGGGUGUGCAUGACCUUACCCUGACAAACAAUUGUGGACGGAGGGAGUAAAAACUUAUUAAUAAGCUGGAAGAGUGUCACAAUAUAAUCGUAAUACUUUUAUAGGAGAAUGUGACUCUUAAUAAAAAUUCGAGAAAAGUGUUAAAAAGCACCCUUAAAUUAAACUUCGCGAGAUUUUUAGGGGCGUAUUUCACUCGUAUUGCAAGAUUGUGGUGUAUUUAAAUUCAGUUAGUCAAGUAAAAAGUGUUUUUUAAGGCUGCUAGUAAUUCAGAAAAUCAGGAAAAGAAACUAGAUUAAUAAUUCACGUCGAAUUUAGAAAUGUUUUCAAUACUUUUCUGGUCAUUUAAUGAGUAUAGUCACCUAAUUUUGAAGGCAAUAAUUGAUCGUAAUAAAUUGAUAAUGAAGAGUCAUAGCAUGAAGUCCACACAAAUACUUGAUUCCUUCAAUAAAUUUCCCCAUUUUUCCUUUAUCUAUUCAUUUUUUUUUCAAAUUCCAGCUUUCUUAGUCUGCCCUUUCUUAUUUUCUUGAUUUUAGGUAAAUUUUGUGUUUUAGAUAUGUAUCUGAGACCUUUCCGAAUUAGAAAUACUAAAAAUUGUAAUAUCAAUUGUUAUUACUCUUUUCUGUUUUUAUUUCCUAUUUAAUUAAUUUUUGAUUUGUUGUUUUUUUUUUUUUUUUGUAGGUUGAUUGUGCAUGAAUUUGUUAAUCAGAUUUAAGUUAUUUUAUUUUGAAGAAAUCUUCAAAUUUUUGUUGUAGGUGAAUUUUUCCUUAAUCUGAAGAUGAUAUUGACAUAUAUUAUAAUAAUUAUCUCGCUUUUUUCUCACACAAAUUAAAGUGUUUGUGUUCGUGCAAAUGUUAAUUAUUAUCCUUUUAAAUUUUUCAUGAAACUUUAGUAAAAAUUUAAAUCAGUAUAUAUAUAUGUGUGAGAGAGAAUACCAAUUUGGAUAUAUUAUACAAAAAUAAUAGAAAUAUUUUUGUAUAACAUUUCUAUUGUUUUUUAUAUAUUUUUUCAUGUAGGAAUAUAUUUUUAAAAUGGGUCUGAUUAAGGAUUUUAAAAAAGAAAAGAAAAAGUCUAAAUCAGAGUUGAAAUCAAUAGCUACUUCUCUUUCACUCUGAGAUAUAGUGAUUUCAUGUGGUUUGAUUUUAAAUAGUUUGUUUUAUAAAAUACAUCAAAGACACUAAAAUUAUAUUUUUUGCUUUCAGUAUUUUACAAGUGAUACUUUUACAAUUACUCUCAUUUUCCUUUCUCUUUAUAUCUUUUUUGAAAUCCAAAAAUUCUCUAUAAAGGAAGAUAAAAGGAAUGAAUGAAAGAUACAAUCAAGAAUGAAAAAUAACAAAAAAAAAAAAGGUUAUGAUUAAACCUUGUGCUGAUUUUCUUAUAUUUUCUUGAAAUUAACAUUAUCAGUUUACAAGAAGAUUACGACAUUACAUAAUUUUUUAAAAAUAUUAUACUGUUUUUAAUUUCAAUAUCUUUAUAGAAGAAGAAUAUAACAAUACUUUUUGCAAUAAUAAAUAUUAUUUGAAUGAUCCUAUGGAAAAUCAAUUCUAGUAAAGAACUUAAACUCAUUAUGAUCAACUCUCACCUAAGUUUAAAAUGGUACUACUAUUUUCCUACCAAUUAUGCAAACAUUCUACUAUCUUCCUCAAUCUCUUUAAGGUUUCCGGUAAGUGAUUCAAUAAUUUACUUUUGGAAAUUAAAUUUUGUACAAGAUAUUGUGCAUGGAUUCAGAUAAAUGUAAUAGCCUUUUCCUAAUUAGAUUCUAUAUUUGUAAUCCUUAAAUGUAGUAUAUAAAUAUCAAAUGGCAAAUCUUAUAGCUAAAGUUUAUCAAGAAAAUCCUAUAACUAAAAGGAGAAUUCGAAAUCCUUUUAACUUUAAAUCUUUAAUCCGUCUCUAAAAACUAACCUAUUUUUUUUUUGGCUUAAAAAUAUUUAAAGAUGGAAAGAGGCAGAAGAGAGAAGGCAAUAAUAUUACUGGUUGCGACUCUUUCAACAUGUUUCUCUGCUUAUGGACAAGAAAUGAUCACUGAUCCAAAAGAAGGUAAUUUAAUUAUUUCCUCCUCUUGUGAUUGUCGAGCUAGUUAAUGAUAUUUGUAAAGGUUAAUUUGGUAGAGUAUAUAAAAAUAAUGCUAAAUAAAGUAUAUUAGUAAUGUUUGCAUUAAUUAUAGAUAGAUUAUUUUUAUGUAUUGUUUGAUUUGGUGCAUUAAAAAUAACAUGCAUUGCAUAAAAAGUUUUAUUUACAAAGAUACCCUUCAUAAUUAUGAUGAAAAAGAUGUAAAAAAUGGUUAUAAGGGACAAUUGUGUCUUUAACCAUUCUAUUACAUGCAUUAAAACUAGGGGUAUUCACAAUUUGGAUAAAAAUCGAUCCAAACUGGAAAAUCAAACCAAACCGAUUAAAUAAACCGAUUGUUGUACCGUAAUUUUUCUAUCUUUAGAAAAAUCACUUUUUGAAAUGUUCUAAGUAUAAAACAAUUUGAGAAAUAUACUUAGAAAAGAGUCGCCACUUAAUUUUUUAAAGAAAUUAAGAAAACUUAAUUUAAAAAGGCUUUAACAAAUAAACCUUUAAAAAAUUAGAGAAAAUGGGUAAGAAGUUCUUAUUUCUACUCUAAGAAGGUAUUAGCACUUAAAGUAGCCGCUAACCUGCGGUUAUCCUACGACUUGACAAAAAUAAAUUUUUUGACUAAUUCUUUGGGAAAAUGAUUUACAUAAAAAUAACAAUUUAUAAUAUUUGAUUAAUUUUAAGAAAAUGAUUAAAUAAAUGACACAUUUUAUAUUAUUUUUAUUUUUUUUAGAGAAAGGGAUCCAAAAUGGAACAUUUGACUCGAAAUACAAGUGAUUAGAAUUUUAAUAAAACUAGAUUAAUUAGAAUUUAUUUGACUUAUUUUUUAUUUAUUUUUUAAUAAUAAUUUAAACCAAAUUGGUUUGAACAUUGAAACCAUUUAAAAUUAAUUGAGGAACAAAAGUUUUGACUAACCUUUUGAGAAAAUGACCAAGUAUGUAUUUUUUUAUUUUUAAUUGAUUGAAAAAGUUGACUAACAUUUUUCAAGUUUAUUUGAGAAAAAUACUUUAACUUGAAAACAAUUUUAAAAAAUAGAGUAAAAUGUGAUUAAGUUAAAAAGCAUUAAAGAACAUAUUUAAUUUUUUUUAAGAACAAAAGGUUUUAACUUAAAUUAAAGAAUAAAAAAAUUGAUCGGCUACUUGAUAAAUAAAAUAGCUGAAUAAAAAAAAGAUGUAUUAAAAACAAACCAACACAAAGAAGUAACUCAUCUUUUGGGGAAUCUAAUUAAGUUAAUUAAAAAAAUUAAGGUUAGAGUUAACAAACAACAAUAAUGAAUAAUCACAAUUAUGUAUAAUUUAAGAGCAAAGGAAAAAAAGGAUUUGGGCCUUUCUUGGGCCUGCUGCAAUUGAUUUGGGCUUCAACCCUAUUUCUACCCUUGAAACCCUGUGUAUACACCAGGUGUAUAUUGCUGUAUACACCAGGUGUAUACUGCUGUAUACGGGUAGUGUCUUGGCCUAUUUUCCUGUAUAUUGAACCAUAUAACAACUGUAUACAGUUCUCUUUAGCGCCUCCAACCUAUGUUUUCGUUUCUGGCCACAUGUUUGUUGCACCGAACUGGUAUAUCAGUGUAUACUGUUGUAUACAACAUGUAUACAGACCAUUUUCAGCUUUUCGAGAACCUAUUUCAGCUGCUCUUUUAUUGCAAAUAUAAGGAUACCUCGGAAUGACUCAAGGAUAUGCAAGGGAGGAGUCCCAAAGAACUCAUUGUAUGAGUUAUAACCCAACAAAGAAAAGAUGAAUCAGUAUUUGAAUAAUGUGGAAAAUGUGUUGAAUGAACAUUCAUUUAAGCUUAUACUACUUUAAUAAGUAUAAUAAAUCAAAUUUAUAAUGUAACAACACGUACCAAUGCUCUUAGUAAAGAAAGAUACAAAAUAUGGGAACUUUGAUGCAAUGGAGUCUGGUAAACGGGAGGGGGAGUUUGGUAGCUAGGAGGGGGAGUGUUUUGAUAACUAGGAGGAGGGGUACUUUGAUAACUUGGGGGAGGGGUGUUUUGGUAAUCAGCCUGUGCAUAAUAAGCCGGAUACGAACUUUUUGAAGGUCGAGAAUGACCUUGGUACGACGAGGAUUUCCUUGGGGUUUUCUUCCCCUCAUAAGAGAUAGAUGACACAUCCUCUCUUUUCUUCUUCAACAGGUCCGAAGAUUCGGACAAGGCAGUAACACGGGCUAUCUUCCCAGUUCUCAAUCCAUCUUCGAUAGUCUCACCUACCUUGACUAUCUCAGCAAAUUUUGCUCCAACGAGCAACAUGAUUCUGUCAUAAUAUUCGAGCUCUUGCACCCGCACAAACACUUCGACAAUUUCCUUUUCUGACAUAGGAGGUCUAACUCUAGCUGUCUCCUUUCGCCAUCUAUAUGUAAAUUAUCUGUAACUUUCGGUCGACUUCUGUUUCAUCUUCUCCAAGGAGUAACGAUCAGGAACAAUCUCCACAUUGUAGGCGAAUCAUUCAAUGAAGUCCUUAGCCAGAGCGUUCCAGCUAGACCACUGUCUUGUUUCAUGAGACGUAAACCAUUCUAGAGUCUCUCCGUUCAGACUGUGGCUAAAAAGCCGCAUUAACAAAGUUGUCUCUCCCAACUCCAACGAGUUGGUCACAGUAGGCCCUCAGGUGUGCUAAGGGGUUCCCCAUUCCUCUAAAGAUGUCAAAUUUUGGCACCUUGAACCCUUCCGGGAGGUCCAAAUUCGGAUGAAUGCAUAGGUCUUCGUAACUCAACCCAACAACCUCGGGAAUGCAGUUCAACUCCUUCAUGGCUUUUCUAAUUUCCUCCUUCAUAUCUAUCUUGGCGGUCUCUUCCUUUGACCUCCACUCUCUCUCAUUUUCCUCAUAUUGGUCGAGCUCCGAACCAUGGGCAUCAUGCUUGUUGGGGAUCGGUAUUUAGAAAGUGGCCUUUUGCGAUAGUGGUGGAGCAAUAGAGGGACUCUGGCCAUUUAAAGGGGCGUGAUAGUUUUGGGAGAAAGGCUGGGGGCUGGUAUACUGGUUUUGGUGAGGGAGGGAAGUGUGUGGGUUAUUAGCGUUUUGGCUGUGAGGGAGUAGGCCAGUUUGGUGGUUUGCAUUGGGGGAAGGAGUGGUGCUUGAAGGUUGGUAUUUUGAGGAGAGGGUGGUGUUUGAUAAGAGGCUGAGGCGUAAUGAGGUUUUUGGGUGGUAAGGUCAAUGAUGGAGGGAUUACGAGCAGGACUUGAAGGCGAGUUUUGAGCUUGCUCCAUGUUAGAAGGGGGAAUUUGAGCAGGAGGUCUUCCGUCUGGUUGAGCGUUGACAGCAAAAAUAGGAGGAGGCAAAUCUUAUUUUCUUUGCAUCUCGACUCUCAUCUCAGCAAUUUGUUGCAUCAACUGCAGAAUCAGUUCAUUCUGAUCGGCAAGGGCGGGCUGAGCCACCACGACAUUAGUAAGGCCGAGUUCUUCGUUGUUAUCACCCAUUGCUGCUUUUCCCUUGUGUGAACUUUGACUGAGGAAGGAAUCUGUAUGACCUUUAGAUCUAGUGAAAUAAGGAUGAUCGGCCAGUGUAUCAACACUGAUUAGUUCUAACUACUUAUAGAGAAAAACAACUCAAAGGCAAAUCUGUUAGUAUUAGUUCUGGAUGAAUAAUGCAAGAUAUCACAUAGAAGGCAUAUAAACACAUAAGAGUUGCUUCGUUUGAGAACAUGUUAAUACACGAAUAAUGAGGAUUGAUUUUUUGAACAAGCAGGAAUUUGCUCGUUUUAUUUUGAGGCUGGUGACAAAGAAAGGUUGAAUUGCAUUGAGCUAAGGUCUUCUUGCUGCAUCUCUCGACGUCUGUUGAUGUGAAUUCAAUGUUUCCUUGUAGAAUGAAGGGGAAAAAGAAUUUUUUUAAAAAAGAUAGGGGUCGGGCCUUGAAAGGCUGCCUACGUAUCUCCGAAAGGGAAUUCAGGCCCUACGUAGUUCGAAUACUAAAGGAAAUUCUCAUUUUCAUUCAUUCAUUUCUUGAAGAUUACAAGAAAAGUAAAAAACAUAUAAUAAAGCUCCUAAAAGACAGAUGGUGCCUUCAUCAAAGUUGCUUUUUCUGAUUGUUGCAUUAAUCACGGGGGGUAAACUCAUAUGCUUCAAUGGCGAUUUUCUCAUUCUCUUCUUUCCAACGUCCCUGGAAAGGAGGCCUAUAGACAAUUUCCUCCCUGGUAUCUUCUUCAACAGUUUCAGGUCCAGUGCCUUCAGGACUACUGGCGUUGGCCUCUUGGUUGAAGAAGGAGUAUUUUCUGUGUAGCUUUUGGAGCCUCGUGGUUAUAUCAUUGUUGAAGACAUCGCAUUGCUUCCGCAUAGCGGUCGUCUCUUUGUUUAUGAUAGCAUGUCUUGUUAUCUUAGCCGCUAACUCCGCGUCUAGUACUGCAUUUUUGGCUUGCACAACUGCGGUGGCUAGUUCUACUUCUACUCUUCUUUCUCCCAUCUCUCAAAUCUCCUGUUUUAAUCGAAGCAGUUUUAUCCUUAGACUCUCCUCAGUCAUUUUCACUUCGACAUUCUUUCCCUUUUCCAUCGUAGCAGCAAUUUCAUCUUUCCUGAGAUGAUAGAGUAAUGUUUUAGGAUUUGGUAGUAAGAUUUUAUUUCUGGUUAAGAAACUCAAAACUCAUGGAAUUUUGGUCAGAUAUUUUGGUAGUGACUUUGUAUUUAGAAUUGUGGAGAUUUCAAAAAAAAUUCAAAAAGGAGUGGGCUAAAAUGUCCUCAUUCAAAGCAACAAAUCACAUAAAUAGUUAAAUCACACAAAUAUCGCGUCCUAAACAUUCAUGUGACCCUUUUGCCCAGGGUAGGCGUAACGAUUUGAAGGAUGUAUUGCGCUAUUUAAAACAAAUUGUUGCAUCCCCCAAAAUAAGAUUCAUUAAUGAUUGGAGAAUUCAUUACAAAGUCAACAAAGGGGAUACAUCUUUUAGGGAAGGGAUAAACGACAAAUACAAGAACAUCAAUCCCACGCAGGGGAAUAAGAUAACUAAAAGGCUGAAGGACCUGCUCCUCCUCUUGCUUUUUUUACUUCUUCGUGAAUGAGGAAUUUGCUAGUCAUCACAUGCGACUCGGCGAACACAGCUUUGAAAGACAUCGACACACCCUGGAGAGUGUUAAGCUAAUCAUCCAAAUUCGAAUCCAAACGUAGCAAGCAGGCUCUUGCGUUAGCUAACUCUUGUGUGGCAAAGGCUAAGGUCCUUUGGCUUUCAUAUUUCUCGAUGCUGGAACUCUUGUUCCCUACGCAGGUAUCCUUGCUCCCUACGUUGAAACUCUUGCUCUCUUCGGUCCCAUUCCUGCUGAAAGUGGUAGGCUUGGAUUUGGAGCCUUACUUGGACAUCUUUAAUCUGUCGGCCCGUGCGUGGUGUCGGGUCAAGUGUAUCACGUAGAUCAUCCUGCAACCAUUUUUUGUAUUCAUCCUGCAAUCAUAUCUAUUUUCUGUCAUGCUCUCCUUUAGGUUGACCCGUCCAGCUCAUUAUUGACGAAUAUCCUUGGUGUAAGGUAUCUUGUCGCACUCGUUAUAGUCAAAGACGUAGCGGCUAGUGUCUCCUUUAAAAGGUAGAAUUUGUUUUUUGCUGAAUUGUCGCAUUACCCUGCUAGGAUUGUAAGGUCGUACCCUUCUAAUGCCAAGAAGGAUUAUGAAAUGACACUUAGCCCCCUAAACAACUAUUUUUUCUGACAUGAAAUCUUGAAACAUCCAUUGUACGUUUUCACCUUUUAUGUCGUGGAAGACUUUAGCCCAUGCUUCCCUAGUGCUGUGCAUCUCGAACCUGUUGAUGCUCAAAUGGAACUCGUAAUGGUCGAGGUGGCUUUCUUUUUUUGGUUCGGCCAAUUUCUGCUUCUGAGUCUCGUAUGUCUUCACUAGAUUUUUAGACAUCCGCCACUGUAGCAAGAUAUUAUAACCUUGAAAAAAUGGAAACUCGUUUUUGCAUUGACCCAAAGAUCAAUAUAUGUCAACCACAAUGAUCGGGGCCAGAUUGAAGUAUUUCUUGACUUGUCCCUUUUUACCAAUACCCUUAAAGAUGGCGUAAGUUACCAUGACAAUCCGAGUAUCAAUUUCGUUCCCUCCGUCCUGAGGGAAUACCAUCGUCCCUAAGAGGCAUACGACAAAUGCUAAGGUUUGAGUUUGACUCCAACUACUGCGACUGAGAAACUCAUUUGAAAAAUUCUUAUAAUAGUUCUCAUGUCCCCAUCGUUCGUAGAAUUUCACAAAUGGAAUACUCGGGGUGUCUAGCCAGUCUGCAUUUACCAGUAACAACAUGUUCUUCAAUUCUUUGCUGGUCGGCUUAUCUGGUAGCAAAAUGUGAUAAUCUGGAUGAUUUCUCAUUUUCUGGCACAUUUUGACAUUGUCUAGACAAUCUUUGAUCUCUUCAAUAGUUGGUGUCAUUUUGACAUCUCCGAAGCGAAACACCAUCCUCUCAUCAUCCCAAAAUCAAGUGACCACCUCAAUGAACUUAGGCUAAACUUUGAGAUUCAUUAUCGACGGGAAAUGACCCAAAUAAAUGAAAAGUUCUCUUUUCUGAUAUGCAUUGAGAUUGUACCACCACACACAAAGGAGGUUUGACAUCUCGAUGACCAUUUUGAAACUCAAGUGUUGCUUGGCCAUCUACAAAAAACAUACAAAGAAUUAGAUACCCCCCAAAUCCAAGAAACAACAAUUUGUCAAACAACGCAUACAUCCUUCAAACACGUAAGUAUGAACGUCCGUUCGAGUCGUGAGCCUUUUGGACUCAAGGUGGUCUUUCUAAUGGACCCAACACGCCUUGGGAGUUGGGUCAUCUGAAGCCAAUGCUCUAAAUUUUGGGAUUGAGUUUGGGUCUACGCUAUUCUUGACUAAGAGUGGGCUUUCUUUAUAGUAGAUUGGUGACCCGAGCGGACUACUUGGGUUGGGACAGUUAACGACCGUUGACUAUCCAGUAGCCAACUACAUUCGUCAGGGUGUCCCAAAAACAAUUUGGUUAACGAACGAAUGCGGCCCGCAUAGUCGUCCUUUAAGUGGGAAAUAAAAAAUAAGCGUCGUUUGACGAAAUAUGUUAUGACAUGAAUGCAACAGUUUAUAGCAAUUUAAACACAUUAAGCACAAAUAAAUAAUUCAACAAUUAAUAACAAUUAGUCAAAUAGUCAAAUCUUAUGGUUAGAACUUAAUUAACUCCCCAGCAAAGUCGUCAUUUCUGUUGUGCCGUAAUUUUUCUAUCUUUAGAAAAAUCACUUUUUGAAAUGUUCUAAGUAUAAAACAAUUUGAGAAAUAUACUUAGAAAAGAGUCGCCACUUAAUUUUUUAAAGAAAUUAAGUAAACUUAAUUUAAAAAGGCUUUAACAAAUAAACCUUUAAAAAUUUAGAGAAAAUUGGUAAGAAGUUCUUAUUUCUACUCUAAGAAGGUAUUAGCACUUAAAGUAGCUGCUAACCUACGGUUAUCCUACGACUUAACAAAAAUAAUUUUUUUGACUAAUUCUUUGGGGAAAAAUGAUUUAACAUAAAAAAUAACAAUUUAUAAUAUUUGAUUAAUUUUAAUAAAAUGAUUAAAUAAAUGACACAUUUUAUAUUAUUUUAUUUUAUUUAGAGAAAGGGAUCCAAAAUGGAACAUUUGACUCGAAAUACAAGUGAUUAGAAUUUUAAUAAAACUAGAUUAAUUAGAAUUUAUUUGACUUAUUUUUUAUUUUAUUUUUUAAUAAUAAUUUAAACCAAAUUGGUUUGAAUAUUGAAACCAUUUAAAAUUAAUUGAGGAACAAAAGUUUUGACUAAUCUUUUGAAAAAAUGACCAAGUAUGUAUUUUUUUUUUAAUUGAUUGAAAAAGUUGACUAACAUUUUUCAAGUUUAUUUGAGAAAAAUACUUUAACUUGAAAACAAUUUUAAAAAUGAGUAAAUGUGAUUAAGUUAAAAGCAUUAAAGAACAUAUUUAAUUUUUUUAAGAACAAAAGGUUUAACUUAAUUAAAGAUAAAAAAUAUGAUCGGCUACUUGAUAAAUAAAAUAGUUGAAUAAAAAAAAAGAUGUAUUAAAAACAAACCAACACAAAGAAGUAAUUCAUCUUUUGGGGAAUCUAAUUAAGUUAAUUAAUAAUUUGAAGGCUAGAGUUAACAAACAACAACAAUCAAUAAUCACAAUUAUAUAUAAUUUAAGAGCAAAGGAAAAAAAGGAUUUGGGCCUUUCUUGGGCCUGCUACAACUGAUUUGGGCUUCAACCCUAUUUCUACCCUUGAAACCCUGUGUAUACACUAGGGGUAUACUGCUGUAUACGGAUUGUGUAUUGGCCCAUCUUCCUGUAUAUUGAACCAUAUAACAACUGUAUACAGUCCUCUUUAGCGCCUCCAACCUAGUUUUCGUUUCUAGCCCAUGUUUGCUACACUGAACUGUAUAUCAGUGUAUACUGUUGUAUACAACAUGUAUACAGAUCAUUUUCAGCUUUCCGAGAACCUAUUUCAGCUGCUCUUUUAUUGCAAAUAUAAGGAUACCUCGGAAUGACUCAAGGAUAUGCAAGGGAGGAGUCCCAAAGAACUCAUGCUACUCUCUUAAUAGGGACUUAACUAUUAGCAUACAUGUACGAGAAAUCUAGACUUUAAUAUCUUCCAAAUCAAAGAAAACAAAACAAACAGAAAAGAAGGGAGGGAAAAGGGACCUAGUUCAAACUAACAAAGAAGAUAAAUCUAAGUGGGGAUUUAAAAUACUCCUAACUAUCACUUGCAAGUAGUAAUAGACAUAUGAUACAUAUGCUAAUGAUCACGACUAAAAUUCACACAUUUACAAUGACUUUUCAUACAAAUCAGUAACAACAAACAAAUUGCUAAAAAUUGGGAGUAGGUCCAUGAAUAUAGCACAUAGACACAGUCAUAUUGUCAAAUCCAAAGUAAACUUAGACUCAUAGUAUUCGGUACUAAUGACUCUCAUGUAAAUUCUAUAGUCCGCGCAAUGGUUAUCUCGCCUUCAAGUAAAAUAUAUUAAAAGAAGUGGAACUUGUUACAUUCUUUUACAACCAAUGACACAAACUAUAGAGAUAAACAUGAUGUGAUUUAAACAUGAGUUGAUGAAUCAAACCUUUUAUCAAGAUCUAAUUAAAACAGCCCACUUUUUAGCCGAAGUAAACCGUUGCCGCUUAAGAAACUAGUGUUAUUACGCAAGGAAUCAUACACCCAAUACUCAUGAGAAGUUGUGACCUUAUAUUCUAUCAAAGCAAGCGACUAAUGACAGAAAAAUUAGAUUCCAUACGAAGAGUAGCCAAAUAGUGAUUAAGACCAUGCUAUUUAGGAGUCCUCUUAAUAAUUUUAGCAGCCAAACAAGACAGAAAACAGAUACUACGCUUGACACAUUUCAAGAGCUCAAAUUUUACCCACAAGAAGAGAUUUCAGAACACUUAGAGAGAUUGGAGAUCUGAACAAGUCAAUAUGCUGAGGCAGUUUGAAAAGAGAAAAUAGACAGUAAACUGGGAAGAGAAUAAGAACAAGAUAGGUUGAAAUGUGAAAAAAAGAUAAAAUCCUACACUUUACAUUAACUCGACUUCCAAUAAUUAACAGUUUUUUUUUUUUUUUUUAAAAAAACUUCAACCAAAGUAUCAAUACGAAAAGAGAUACAAAGGGGGCUCAAACGACCUGUAAACAAGAUGAAGAAAGCAAAGCAUAACUCACAUCAUUCAAAAAGGAAGACGAGAAAUAAGGGGGGGGGGGGGUGUUACUUUGAAAAGCUUAAACCAAAACUAGAGCACAUGAAACUUAUGCAAGAAUUAAUAUUUGAACGAAUACGAGUAGUGUUGAGUAGAUUAGCAAGAACAUCACUACACUACUAAUAAGAACCCUAUUAAAACUAGCUACGCCAUUGGUUGGCAUAAAAACAAAUUCCUCAUUCGAACAGCGACAGCCAAACAGAAAUAAAGAUUUCACAAUCUCGCAGAUAUUAAGUAGGGAUAAACGAGAUGAAGAGGUUACCUUUCCGUGAGCAGCGAGACUAUGACAAACGAGCUGAGAACAAUGACUCUUCUACUAUGAAAUCUAAAUACGAACACUAAGCUAAGAAAAUUCAAGCGUCGAUCUUCUCGAAACUUAGAAUCAGAAAGCAAGAUAUAAAAUUCUUAAGUUUAAAAUGUCUAUCACUCAAACCAAGCUCAAAACCGUCGUCCUCAUCCUUGGAGCAUGGAAAACUAUUUAUAGGGAAAGAUUGAGCGAUUUAGGGGGGAAAUCCGUUGGGAAAUUCAAACAAAAAUUUGAAUUUCUUCUACUAUUUUCGAAGCAAGUAAAGGGGAUGGGAGAAAGCUGAAUUCCGCAAAAAAGGGAAAAAGGGGACGUGAGGGCGGCUGAUGUCGACGCCUUCAUAGUAGCGUCUUUUCCCGGGUUUGCCGGACUGAUGCAUAUGGAGGAAGAAGAUGUACAGGGGUCGUUUGGGUCGGGUUGCGUGAAGAAGACGAGUAUAGGGUCAUAGGGUAUGACUCUUGAAGUUAUAUGAAAAGGAGUAAUUGAUGAUACCUUCAAAAUUUUAAAUUUUCUUAGAAAAAUAAUUAGUUUUGUUAUCAAUAAUUCAAUAAAGUCUUGAAAAUAGUAUGAAUUCUUUUUUAUAAAAAAAUCACCAAAAUAAAGAAUUUGACUGGAGAAGAAGAAGAAGAAAAAGAAAAGAAAAAAAAAGGGAGAGUGGUUCAACUUGAUGUGGGGGUGGGAGGUGAAGAAAAAGAAAGAAAAUUGAGGGAUGGAUCACUUGAAAUUGCGGGGGAGUCAAAAAGUAAGAGAGAGAAAUAAAGAAAAAAAAAAGGAUAAAAGAAAAACUUAAAAUGAAAAAAAAUUACAUUUUAAAUUAAACUAACAUGUGUCAUGUAAUGAUUGGUGUGUGAACACACUUGCUUCUUAAAAUUUGGAGCUGAUCGAAAAAUGAUACAAUAAUAUCUGUUCAAAAUUAUUUAGUGGGGUAAUAGGACGGUUACAAAGUUGAGGUGUCUUUUUUAAAAUUUGGGACAACUUCAAUGGUGACUUUAUGUCUUUUAUCUAUCAUUAUACAUACAUAAUAUAUUAUCUAUAUAAACAAUUUUAAAGAUCUUAUAUGUGUUUUCAUCAAAAUUUAUUUUUAAUCUAUUUAUGAAAGCAAAAAUGUUCAAAACGAGAACAUUUAUCUUAUUGUUUUCAUGUAUAUGCGUGUCUAUGACAAUUUUUGGUGGGAUUAGAAUUGUCAUUGUCUCUUCCUUCUAGGCCAAAUGGUGAAUCUUGAAGCUUUAUUCAUAAUAAAUUUAGUGAUCAGAAGUUCUAUAAUGUCAGUCGUUCUAACUAUUUUUCGUUUUGAAUAGACUGUUGUCAUGACUUUUUUUCUCGUUUUAGAUGAAUUGUUUCUCUCAUUUUUGUGUAUGGUUAAUAACCAAAUCAAACUGAAAUCGAUAAAUGUAUAUAAUGUUUGGUUUUGAGAAUUUAAAAAUUGAUUAUGUUGGUUUGGUUUUGAUUUUGACCAAUAAUCGAUCCAAAUCGAUUCGUGAACACCCCUAAUUAAAAUCAUUGCAUUACUAAUUCCUAAGAAUCCAUGGUAUUAGUAAUACACACAUUAAUACACAACAGAGUAUAUAACUAAUGAUUGACUUAGUUAUACAUAAAUUGGAAAAGAAUACCAAACAAGGUAUUAUAGUAAUACACAAAACUAAUGCGUACAUUAUUUUUUCUAAUACACUCUAUCAAACGGCCCCUUAGACUAGCAAAAUGAGAAUUAUUUAAGAAGCGGGUACUAUCAACUAGAAGUUCCCUAGUGGGAUAAUUGAUAAUACUGGUGGACUGCGACGGGAUAGUUAAUAAUGGUGGGCGAUGAAAAUAACUAUAAAUGGAUGAAAUUGGUUAUUGAUUUUUUUGAACAAAUAUUUUAAUAAUAUUAACAUUUGGUUACAUAUCUUAAUCAUCAAAUCUAGUAAGUGAUUGUAAAAAAUUUUUAAAAGAAAAGAAAAAAAAAACACUUUAAUAGCUAAUCUAGAUGAAUAUUUAAGAUUCAGAUAUUAAAGAUAAAUAAUUUAAUGACUGAAAUCAAAAUGAUUAAGAUAUCAUACAUUAGUAGUAAAUAAAUGAGACCUUAAUGAAUUCGAAUAAAUUUUAAUAAUUAAGAUAUAUAACAAAUUCUUAUAUAUUAUCAUUAAGAUGUUAUCCAUUCAACUAUUUCAAUAAAGAAACUAAGUACUACUCAUGCACUUUAAUAUUUCAUCCGUCCCUAAUUACUUGUCAAUUUUUGAAUUGACACACCUAUUAAGAAAAUAAUAAUUGACACAAUGAGUUUACCAUUUUAUCCCUAGUAAUUAAGAAGUGGAUGAAUUAAAAAUUUAAGAUUUUCAAGAAGUUAUAUCCUUUUCAGAAUUAAUUAAUUGAGGGUACAAUGGGUAAUUUUUUUUAAUCCUUUUUUGAUUUGUCAAAAUGGACAAGUAAAAAAAGAAAAAUUUGAUAAGUAAUUACUCCAUUUGUUCAUUUUUAAUUGUUGGUUUUCUUUUUUUAGAGUCAAACUAUAAGAACUUUGACAAACAUUUUACUAUGUAUAUUUUCAUCAUAUUGAUAUGCAAAAAAUUACAAUUUGUAGUAAUUUUUGUAUAAUUUUUGAAUAUCUAUUUUUUUUAAAAAUCGAAUUACUGUAAUUUAAUUUAAAUUUAAAAUACUAGUCAAAUUGACUUUUGAAAAACGCAACAUGACAAACAAAAGUGAACGGAAGAAAUAGUUAUAGAGGGAGUUGUUAAUUUACAAACAAUACAUUUAAUUAUACGAUGACAAACAAAACAUGUCGUAAUUACUAUUACAUUGUAUAAUUACUAAGUGAUAAUUACCCUAAUAAUUACACUCAUUCCAAUUAGAUGGUGACUUUUCAAACGGAAUUUAGGAAGUUGAUAUUCGUUCUUUGAGCUUAAUGAUUGUGACUUUUAUUUUAAUAAAAAGAAAAUAUUUAAAAUGAUUUUUUUCGAAAAGAGAUAUGAGCUAAUUAUGUAACACAGAGGUAUAAAUUAGCCAAAUUUUAAAACAGAAGAUAUAACUUCUAUGCUUUCUGUGUUUUUGCUGAAAUCACAUUUGUGUGAGUGUGACCUACUUGAUGCAACGAAUUGUGUAGUAGUAGUAAUUAAUUACUGCCGGAAUGUUCAGUGAGGGCGCUAGAGGCCAUUCAAGGGAGACUCGAAGAUCCACUGGGCUAUUUGAGGAAUUGGGUGAAGGAGAAAGACCCAUGCACUCAUUGGUUUUUUGUGCGCUGCAUUCAAAACCAAACGGAAGGGUAUCAGCAUGUUCAAGAAUUGUACGUAACCCUACUGGGUUCCCCUUUCGAUCUCUUACCGAUUGAGUUUAUAUAUAAUCUAUGUUGUAGCUUACAAUUUUUUUGUGUGGACUUGCAGGCGUCUGAUGAAAUUGUCCCUUUCUGGUACACUAGCUCCUGAGCUUGGCCAACUUAAACAUAUGGAAAUUUUGUGAGUCCCUAUAACAUUCAUUUGAUAUUUGUUAGAGUGGGUUUAAGUUUCACAUUGGUUGUUGGGGAUAGACAGAUGGUGUGCUUAUAUGGACUUUGACAAUCUUUUCCUCAUGAGCUAACUUUUGGGGUUGAGUUAGACUCAUGUAUCAUAUCUUUAUUCUUUACAUGGUAUCAAAGCCAAGUCCAUUCCCGUUUGGGUUUCCAAUCCAUGCUCUUGUUGGGCCUGGGCGUGAAGGGGAGUGUUAGAAUGGGUUAAAGUCCCACAUUGGUUGGGAUAGACUAGUGGUCUGCUCAUAUGAACUUAAUCAAUCCUUUUCUUAUGAGCUAAUUUUGGAGUUGAGUUAGGCCGAAAUGUCAUAUCUUUACAAUAUUUAUUCAGCUGUAAUUUUUGGUGAUUAUGAUUUCAUUUUUGCUUUUUCAAGGAAUUUCAUGUGGAACAACAUUAGCGGCAGCAUACCUAAGGAGAUAGGCAGCAUCACUGCUCUGAGCCUACUGUAUGUCUCUCUUCAGUGCUCAAUUUCACUCUAAUCAUUGUUAACAGAACCCCUUUUUGUUUGAGAUGAUGACCUGAAAAGAAUCAAUAGUUUGGACAAACCUCUAUGACCUUUCAUAAACUCAUUUUCGCUUACUUUCUAUCAUAGAGAAUUUUGUUACAAGUGAUCAGGAAAUGAAUUAAAAAAUACAGAAACAUAAAAUGACAGUGUUAAACUGUUAAUUGAAGAAAUACUAAACUAAUGGUUAAAAAGGUUAGUUUGAUAGAGGUUAUAAAAAAGUUUCUCCCUCCAUUUCAAUUUCUGUGUCUUAGUUUGACUUGGCACAAGGUUUUAAAAGCAAAGAAGACUUCUGAAUCUUGUGAUCUUAAACUAAAAAUGUGUGUUAUGUACCAAAAUGCUCUUUGAUCUUGUGGUCUUAAAUAUGCCACAAAGAUCGGAUCUUUGAUUUAAAGAUUUUCUAAAUAUAGAAAGUGACAUUCUUUUUUAAAUAGACUAAACGGAAAGUAAGACACAUAAAUUGAAAUAGAGGGAGUUGUUUGGUAGAAAAAACAAUGGAAUGUUAUCAAACAUUAUGUGACGUCGCAACAUGGGAAGAGUGUCAUAUAAGUUGAAGGAGGGAGUACUCUGCAUUUGUGAAAAAUAGAAGGAGACACUUUUAAUUUUUGGCAGUCAAAAUAGAACCUUUCAAUGUUAUUCAAUUGCUAAUCAAUCUGUAGAAGGCAGAACGGAGUGAUAGUACACAGUUUUUGUUCCAUGUAAGACAAAUAGUGAUGAUUCUCAGCCACUUCAGGUCCUGUUUGCUGUGUAAUCUUGAAAGAUGAAGUGAUGGUUUGGAGUUCAUGUUUAAUUUACUGUCAGGAGUUUCUGGUAUAAUAUCUACAGAACUAAGUAUACUAACUACAUGAACUCAUCUGAUGGAAGUUCUAAAUAUCAUACAUAACACUAGCGACAGCUACAAGGAUUGACUGAUAUUCCAUUUAUGUUGUCUUGAUUGAGAAAUGAAGCUCUCAUAUGGCUAUUAUCCCAGCUAGAAGUCUUACCUUUAUCAUGGGAAGUCACAUAUACAUAUAUUGGAAUUUCAGUUCUCCAUAUAAGCCUCAAUCAACAUUUCUGAAUCCCUGCUUCAAUUGAAGCCCGAAUAUGCAUAUACCUCACUGUUGACAAUCAGUACUAUUCCUUACAGAUGUUUUAGCUGAAGAUAUCUAAUAAAUAACUUGCAUAUUGUCUGCAUAUAUGGAUUGUGCACAUUUACGAGAAACUCCAGUCCAACUACCAUUCUUUUGUUUUUGCAGGCUUUUGAGUGGAAAUCACAUAUCAGGUUCUUUACCAGAAGAGCUCGGUUAUCUUCCUAACUUGGCUAUCUUUCAGUUGGAUUUAAAUGAUAUAUCAGGACCAAUACCAAAAUCGUUUGCAAACUUGCCAAAAGUUGCGCAUUUGUGAGUUCUCCAUAGAAUCCAAAGAUACUGUACUGGAUGUGGUGGCAUGGAGAUGUUUAGUUUCUGUACUGAUCAUUCUUGUUCUGGAUGCAGCCAUAUGAAUAACAAUUCUAUAAGCGGUCAAAUUCCACCAGAGCUGUCUGCUUUACCUCUUCUACACUUGUAAGAAUCACCUUAUCCAACAAUAUAUAAAUACUAGUAAGUUCCAUGUUUGGAUUUACUUGGAUGUGCAUUAUUUCAGCCUUCUGGACAACAACAACUUAUCAGGUCACCUUCCACCAGAGCUUGCACAGAUGCCGAGCUUAAAGAUUCUGUAUUACCUGCCUUUGAAAUCUUAAGCUUUUGCUGUUUCAAUUUGUCUAGAUUCUCAACAAUUUAAUGUCAUUUCAGCGUUAAUAAACAAACCCCAACACCUCCUUCCCCCCUCACAAUAUCAACUUUUGCAGUCAACUUGACAACAAUAACUUUGAAGGCUCUGUGGUUCCGGCUUCUUACAGCAAUAUGUCCAAACUAGUGAAGUUGUAAGUUACUAAUAUCUCGGGUUUUGUUGGUUUAUGUCCCCUUUCUUGUCUGAUGAUAUACAUGCCCAUUUUCACCAAGCAAGAAUAUAGAAUUCUUAAGGAUGUUUGCCAUCACUCAAGGUUAAAGACCGUAUUUAUCCCAAACUUUGAUCAGAAAACAAGUCCCCAGUGAACAGUCAGAAAUAAAUAUAUUCACCUUGUGAUGUGACCUUUUCAGGCGCUAGAAUUACAAAAGAGGAUAACCAAAAAAAUUUCUCCAUAUUACAUCAAUGUACUCCCAAUAAGGGUUUCCCACCCCCUUCCUCACAAUAAAUGAGAGGCUACAGCAGUAUUUUCAUUCUUUGGCAGUGACCUUUUGACAUAACAUGGAGUAACAAUCUAAGACUGACGGAGGAACUCAAUGCUAAUUUACUAUACUAUGAAGCUUAUUGUGGUCAUUCUAUGAUUAUAUUCACCAUUCUUUAAUUAAUAUUCUGCAUAUUAUUUCAUCAAACCUGCAGGAGUCUUAGGAACUGCAACUUGCAAGGAACAGUUCCUGACCUGAGCACAAUACCAGGCCUUCUGUACUUGUAAGCAUACUUCAUUGAGAAAUUCCUCUGUCCAAUUAAACCACAUUUUGAAGCUUAUGUUCUUGUUGUUAUGACCUCUUAUAAUGUUGAUAUCUGCUAAAUUUUGCUUAAUAGUUCUUAUAUACCAGAUGAAGUUGAAUUCAUCUGCCAUUCAAUUUGCUUUGAAAACUUGAAAGAUAGACAGUUAAAUUUACAACCAAUGACAAUGCAUCUUAUGCCAAUUUCUCAUGUCAGGGACCUUAGCAGAAACCAACUCACGGGAAAUAUACCUUCCAAUAAGCUGUCUGAUAAUAUCACAACCAUGUAAGAUUCUGGUAAAAUAUUAAACUGCUUAAAUCUUUACUGGUUAAUACAGCCAACUUUUAAUCUCACUCCCUUCUUCUUCUCCCCUCCCCCUCCCCCUCCCCCACUCUCUAUCAGUAUUUGUGGGUAGGUGGUCUAAUAGAAUUACUGUCUUAACAUAAACUCUUUUCUUUUUGAUGUUUGAGUAACUCAGUCUUGGUAAUAUCAGACUCUCGAUAGUGAAGUAACUACUUUGAUGAUGAUUGCAGCAUUCUGUCAGGAAACAUACUUAAUGGUUCUAUUCCUUUGAGUUUUUCUGCCCUUCCAAAUCUGCAAAGGCUGUAAGGAGCUUCAUUUGCUCAAUCUUUGUUUCUUGAUCCUCAGGUUAUUUCAAAUUUCAUUUCGAUACUAUAAUAGCUGCAGUAUUGACACUUCCUUUCCUAAAAUUAUUUUUCUUGUAGGUCACUCAACAAUAAUAGGUUAAGUGGUUUUGUGCCAACUACCAUUUGGGAGAAUAAGACAUUUUCCCCAGAUGCAAAACUUAGAUUGUAAGAGUAUCAUUUGUUCAUUUUCCUCUUAACAGUACUUUAUUUUUCAUUUUUGUUCUGUAUACUGCCCCACAAUCGAUUGGCUAUAUAAAAUGUUAUAAAAAGCGAGGAAAAGCGCAAAGCGAGGCGAAGCGCUGCCCCUGCGCUUUAAUUUCCUGAAGCGAGGCGAUAUUGAAAAGGCACUCGCUUCUACAGUUGAAGCGAGAAGCGCAAGAAAAGAAAAAGCGUGAAAAGGCGCGCUUAAUUUGAAAAAGCGAUAAUUAGGGUUUUUUUAAAAAAAAAUUUAAGGUUUUUUUUUUAAUUUCUGAAAUCCUUACGCGACUUCACAUACCUCUUUCGCGACUUCAAUUUUUUUUUUUGGACUGCUGCGAGGCUGCAACUGCUACUGUAAGUUCUCUUCUUUCUCUUUUUCCCUUUUUCUCUUCUUCUCUUCUUCUCGUCUUCUUUGCGACUGCUCUGCGAUUUUUUUUUCUAUUUUUGGUUGGUGCUGUGUUUUUUCCUAUAUUUUUAUUGCUGCCAGGGUAAGUUCUUGAAACGAACCCGAAUUCUAAAUACAGAUACAUAAACAUUAUAUUCAUUGAUAACCAAAUUAUAAUAACAACACUUGAAUUACAAAGAUAAAUACCGAAAUAACAAGUAACUAAAGAUAAAGAUAAGAAUGGAGAUGAGAAGUUAAGAUUCUAGAAAGAAGAUGAGAGGAACAAACGGUUUCUUCAUAAUACACAUAACUCUUCUGUCUAAUCCCUAAUCCUAUUUAACUGAUUGAUAAUUGGGCCUGGAUCCCAAAUAAAACUCUCUAGUAUUUUACUCGGCCCAAUAAUCCCAUCUAAAUCAACCCCAUUCAUGACUUCUAACACAUAUGCCCGUACAAAGUCUACUUGAUUCACAACAGUUCUCUUCUUCUCUUCUUCUUCUUCUCUUCUUUUCUGUGAGGCUGCUGCGACUGAUCUGCUACUUUUUGGUUGCUGCUGUUUUUUUUUUCAAAAAUUUUGGUUGCUGCUGUUUCUUUUUUCAAUUUAUAUACUGCUCUGUUUUUCCAAUUCUUUUGCUGCUCUGUUUUCUUUUUUAUUUCUAUACAGUGAUUGUGAUCAGUGAUGUGUGUAUGCUUGCUACUCUGGUUUUUGUUAAUUUCAAUACAGUGUGAUCAGUGAUCAGUUUGAGGAUCCUGUUGAAGAAUAGGAGUUUGAUCCUUUUGUGAUUUAAUUAUGUUUUUGCUUUAUAUGUUAUGACUUAUGAGGAUUAUUGACUAUCUAUUUACUUUUAAUCUAAGAAUAUAUUACCUCUAUUCAGUUAAUUAAUAUUUUUUUUAUAUUUAUACUAAAUAUCGCUUUACUUAAAAAAAGCACGCGCUUCGCUUCUCGCUUCUGUGAAGCGAGCCCUCGUCGCUUUUUUCCGCUUCUCGCUUCCCAAAACACUGUGCAUAUAGAUAAAAGCUUUUUGUAGAGAAUCAACCAAAAUUUAUGUGUCAAUUUCAGUUUGAUAGCUAUUCAGUGCACAAGUAGUUUUGGAUAGACAAAGAAGGUAUCCAGGAAAAUAAGUACAGAUAUGGAAUAAUGUGUCUAUUGGCAACAAGAUUUUUCUAUCUCUAUACAGUUAAAGUACAACAAGGGAUAAUGUGUCUGGUGUUUUGUUUUGCUAGAGGUAAUAUAGCAUGUAUACUUUCCUCUUACUAAACCAUGCCAUGCUUGACUAGAAGUGGCCCUCAUAUGUUAACACCUCAGAUUUCUCGGCUGAUCCAGUUGAUCUCCUUUGUGCAGGAACCUUCAACGUAAUUUACUCUCAGAUAUUUCGGGGAUUCUUGAUCCUCCUCCAAAUGUCGAUAUUAUGUAAGACCAUAUUUCUGCUAGUCUUGAACAUACAUAUUUGUGUUACUUUCAGUUCUCAGCUUUUAUAUUUACUAGUUCUUGGACACGUACAAUGCAUGUGUAUUCCAUACUAAUUAAUACAAAUGAAAAGAAAACUCUAAGUAGAAAAUGAAAGUUCGAAGGAGAAAAUAUACCGUGCAGUAGGCUCUGUUCCUCAUUCUCAUUCGUUACCCUUCAGUAUUCUAUUUUGAAUAUAGGUAACUAUUUUUAUAUAUAAAGUUGGGUGUCAUUAUAUCUUGAAUAAUGAAAUUGAAGUAGUUCUGGAAAUCAUAAGAGAGAAAAUCAUUUGAAAAAGAAAAGAGAAAAGCAAACCCACAGUAUCAACAAUCUUAUAUCCAGUUAUUGCAAGCAGAAGUUGCAAAAACUUUUCUACUAUAGAUCAUCCAAUUGCGAUAAGUACGAAUAUCUAAUCCAAAUACCACAAUGUUUGAUUAUUCAUAAUAUUUGAAAAGAAAAAUGAGUUGCCCAGUCUUCGAAAGCAAAGCAGAAAAUGAGAUGACAAAAUGCAUGGCAACCAAAAUUAAAUUCAUACAAGUGCAUAUGAAUUAAAUUUCACGUGACACUAAAAUUCAUGGCUGAUUUUGUUUAAAACUGUCAAGACCCUAAAAUCCCAAGCUGUGAUGGCACCUACCCAAAUCCUGUAGGUGAUUCAAUUACAAUACUAGAUCCAUUUUAGCAAUUUAAACCGUGGAAUUAAAAGGGAAACGGGUAAACAAGGCAAAAGCAAGUGUUGCAGGAAAUACACAAUACGCCACCCAAAACCUGGUGUCACAAGUACAAGAGCUUCUAAAGUAGGAUUACAAUUCUCAAUAAGUACUAUGACUGUCCAAAAAGGAAAGAUAGAAAUAAAUAAAAGGAAUGGAGUCAGGUGUCUCGGAAUAACCAAGCAGCUCACCCCGAAUACUCCAAUCUAUCACCAAUUAGAUGCAAGAUAACCUAUCACUCAUACUCGGAACAAAAUCUGCACUCAAACAGUGCAAAAAACAAGGGUGAGUAUGAGAAAGAUGUGUACUCAGCAGCAUCGUCGAUCGACCCUAAAUGAAGCAAUAACGAGGGUUGGUUAUACCAUGCUUACCUUCACACUUCUCAAUAACCAUAUCAAUAACAAGUGUAAAGAAUCCAAACAGUUAAAUGAACAAGGUAGUUACAAUUAUCAGAAUUCAUCAAGUCAGGCAAGUAAGCUUCAGAUAAUGUCAACCAAACAGGUAAGAAUCAAUAUGAAGUAUGAUAACCAAUGCAAUGCAAGUGAUGUGAGAUGAAAUGCAAUGCAAUGGCCAAUGCACCAGUACACACACUCCUGCGGUAGGUAGUCGGGACCCAUGGAGGACUCGCGAGGCCCAUAUCCUGCCCCCACAAUCCGGUCUGUAGACCCAUCGGGUAAAAUAGUAUCAUCACUCCAUCCAGAAUCCGGUCUCUUAGACCCAUCUGAUAAUCACUGUAUCAUCAUUUCAUCCGGAAUUCGGUCUUUUAAACCCAUCAGACUAACCAUAUGAUUCAUCAAGUAUAUAAUGCAUGAGACAUCAUAUGAAAGCAUGAUAGAAUACUAGAGUUAUGGAAUACAUGAACAGAUAAAAUACCUUUCAACCAGUUCAUACUUCAAUUUACAAAUAAUAGUGAGUUAUGAAUAUCAGAUGGUCAUACAAGCCAUGUAUCAACUAAAAGCUCAAUUAGUCAUGUUCUUACCCACUGUUAUCAUAAAAAAAAUUUGAUGGGUAAAAGUUUUUAUUAAUAUGGUACCAACAUAGCACAGGACUAAGUACAAAGCUACAACAUCUCCACAAUCAUACUACAUAUUCUCCCCUAAAAGAUCCAAAAAAAACAAAUAUUGGUCCGUCCUAUCUAAAGUACUACUAUAACACCAAAAAACAAGUUUUUGAUACAUUAUUUUUUACUCUAGCAAUCUACGGUCUUUUUCCCUCAAAGCAUGUCUUGUUCCUUUCCAGCCAAACAGUCCAAAAUAUGCAAAUGGGAAUGGUCCUCCAUAUCUGUUUCGCUCUUCCCUUUACUCUUUGAGCUUGCCAAACUUCCAACAGACUAUUGAUCCUGUGAUAUAACCAGAGACACACCCAUAAUGUUCAGAAACAAUUUCCAGCAUUGUCUUGAGAAACUGCAAUGUAGGAACAAGUGCUCAACUGUUUCCUGCUUCAUGUUACAAAAAAACAUCUGCUGCACAUGGAAUAGCCUCUCCUUUGCAGGUUAUUUUGGUUUAAACGAGCAUCCCUGGCUGCUAACCAACCAAAGCAGGUUGCUUUCAAAGGUGCCUUGGUUCUUCAGAUCAUUUUCCAGGGCCAGUAAGGAAUACCCUGAUUAUUCUGCUGUAGAAACAUUUUAGAAGAACUUUUGAUUGAAAAUACUUUAUCCCUGUUAUGGACCCAACUAACACAUCUGUUUUGUGUCAAUCAAUUAAGCAUAUGCUCAGUUGUUGCAUCAGUUGACAGAAACUUUCUACUUCUCUAUCAUUCAAGUUUCUCCUGAUAGUAAUAUGCCAGCCUGAGUUUCAUGGAAAUUUAACAGGUUACAUAACGAAGAAUCAACAAGUUUUUCAUUAUGAUGGAGCCAGUAUACAUUUUCUUUUUUGAUUAAUUCUAAAAACAAAUUGCUCAACUUCUAUCUCAGUUAAAUGUGUUCUAGCUUCAUCUGAUAGCUUAUGCAUGUUUGUGUGCAGCUGUGUGUGCCAUAUUUGCUGGUUGCACAAAUUACAUUAAUAAUGUGAUGGGGUUAACCCAUUUCCUGAUAUUUUAACUUGCAAAUAUUUUCAAUGGCAUAAAGUUCGGGCUCUUCUUAUCACUCUUUGAAAUUUCUGAUUAAGCAUUCAUCAAAUUAUGACACUGAAUAAUAACUUUCAGGCUUUAUGGAAAUCCUGUAUGUGGAAAUGCAAAUGAGCGUCAGAUUACCCUGUUUUGUAAAUCAAAAGAUGGAGAUGAAGAGUAUGGAGUCUUUAACAAUUCCAUUCCAAGUUGUGCAGCCCAGCAACCUUGCAACAGUUAUUCCGAACAUGUCCCAACAUUAGUGGAUGGCUGCUUUUGUGCAGCACCUUUUGGAGUUGGUUUUCGUCUAAGAAGCCCUAGCUUUUCAGACUUUCCGCCACAUUACAGUGACUUUGUGCAGUGGAUAAAAGACAGUGUUAACUUGAAUAUUUAUCAAAUAUACAUUCAUUCUGUUGCAUGGCAAAGCGGUCGUAGGCUUAGGAUGUUUUUGAAAUUUUUCCCUCCACGUAUAAAUGAUUCCAAUGAUUUUACCAAAUUUAAUGACAGUGAGAUAGUACGGAUUGCAAACGUAUUUGCCACCUUUAAUCUUACUGGAAGUGAUGUCUUUGGCCCAUAUGACCUGCUCAAUUUCACUGCCAUGGGAUAUAGUUCUGGUAUGUCUCCAAACCCACUGUGUUCUUGCAUAAGUAGGAUAUAAUCUUUAAUGUUAUUCACAGAUCAGAUUGAUUAAAUGUGGACAUUUUCAGUUGUAGUUGUGUAAUGAUUUCCUGAGGAAUUUAAAGUAAAACCAAAUUGAAUCAAGAAAAAAAAUGUGAAUCUCGUGUGCCCGUAUGAUUUUUUUCUUUUAUUCUUGCUGAUUCUUGAAUAUAAUUAUUAUGAUUAUUAUUAAUGUCGUUUAUCUUUACUGGUCAUGCUCAGAUAAAAACUCUCUUUCCCGUUGUGCUCCAUUUCGUUUCUGAAAAUGUCUAUUUAUAUCAUCUAUCUUGUGAUAUGGAACACAGUUUCUCCUGUUGUCGUUGAAGUAUGCGAGUAAGAAAAUUCAAUGAAAUGGUUUAGAGACCCAUGCAUUAUUGAAGCUUAACAUCCUCAUAGACAUGCUAACCUGAAAGAGAUGCUAGUGGUUCUUAGAUACUUUUGACUGCAUUACUAUAAGUUCUUAAUUAAGUAAAAUCUACAGACCCAUUCAGAAACUCAAGAGGAAUUGCCUACUAUUGUUUUAUUUUUGAUGUAAAGAAGAAUUUGUUUGUUAAUGAUACAGAAUCUGUUUAAAGAAACAUUAUAGAAUCUUUGUAAGAAGAACAAAAAUCUACUUUUUUAUUUUUGUAUUCUGUAAAGAUGUCUCACAACACAGACUUUGUCCUGAAUAUAUAUAUCAUUGUUACCUUUCUCAAAAUAAUAUGCUACCAUAUAAGAGAGCCAAUAACUUGCUCUGUUCUUGUUCUUCUUCCUGCUUUCUUAAGAUCAAAUUCUGAAUAUUUUCCUUCUUGCAGCCCUUUUUCCCCCGUUGGGAGGAGGGGGAAGCAGAAUAAACAGAGGCACCAUGGUUGGAAUUGUCUUUGGGUCCAUAUGUGCUGCAGCUGCGCUACUUAUGGCCAUAAUAUUUGUGUUGCUUAAAAUGCGUCGAAGGUUCCAUGUUUCAAAAGAUCAACCAUGUGAGUUAAUCUUCAGUUAUCGUAUGUGACUUUGCCUCAGCUAUGGGGAGUUUCUUCUCCAUUUCUUUCAGUCAUCCCCAUUAGGACCUGCUGGUUAAGUAGUUAAUAGACUUGACUUUUCUUGGAUAUUCUUAUGAAUCACCAAAAAUGAGGCCGUGAAACCACAUUUUUUCAGCGGUUCAAGCAUACAACGCAAACUUCGCACCUUAUAAUUUCCGAUUUCCAGCUUUUGUAGAACAAAAAGAUGCCAAUAACCAUUCUUUUUCUUCUUUACUGUGAUUUUCUUGUUUCAAUUGCCUUCAAGAAAUAACACAGAAUUGCCAGUGUCAACCAUCUUGUUUGUAAUUUAACUAUGAUACUGCUUGAUGUUUACUUUAAGUUUCUUUUCAGAAGAGAGUAUGGUGCUUUAAUUCCUCACAUGGCCAGAGAAUUUUACGGGUUUUAUGGAAAGUUUGUGCAUAUUGCAUUUUACAAUAAGUUCUCUGCCAAUGCCCAUCACCCCUAAAACAAAAAAGUGGAAAAGAAAUAAAUAGAAAGUGUGCUGGGUAUGUAUAGCUAAGUAAUACCCUUGUUGUAAUGCGUCUGUUAUUUGUAUAAUUAGACUACCAUUUAUGUUCUUUUAUUAGUCAGGGUUAAUUGAUAUUCUUAAACAACAUUAUACCCAGUGUAGUCCCACAAAUUAGGAUCCGAGGAGGGUAGAGUGUACCCAGACCUUACCCCUACCUCAAAGGUAGAGAGGUUGUCUCCGAUAGAUCCUCGACUCAAGAAAAACAGCCCAGAGUAGUCCAGAAAAAGAAAUAAUAGAAGUAUAAGAAACAACAUACAGUAACAAAACAGUAUUACACAAAACAAUAUGAUAGUCAAAGUACAAAGAACAAUAGAUAGUAACAGUAAUUAAUUGAUAUUCUUAAAGUGAACAAAAUUAGUUGAAGCCAACUAUUGUAGCAAAGGUUUAUUUGCAUUGAAGUCAAUGUUGAAAAUUGCUUUUGUUGCUGCAGAUUUACUAGGAAUAACAAGUAGUUUAGUUGUAGGAGGAGUCUUCUGUUAAAUUUAAAUUUAAAUCUAGUUGGAUAUAUUUAGUUGAGAUAGUGUAGGAUUUUGAAUUUUAUUUUGCACAAUUUUUGUUUUCAAGUUACUAUUUAAAGCCCUCUAUACUUAGCAAAAUUAUUGAAAAACAUUUUUUAAUUACUUCCAAAAAAAAUUGGUGGCACCUUCUUUUAAAAAAGUUAACGGUGGUGUCAAAGCUUUAUUUGAGCUUAUUGAACUUGUGAGUUCAUUGAAGUAGUACUUUCAACCAAUUUUAACCCAUAUAUAUUUUCAACCCAUUUUUAAUCCGUGCUUAUUUAUAACGAGCAUGACUAUUUCAACCAAUACCAAUUUCAACUAAAUUUUAAUUCAUGCUACUUUCAAACCCAAUUUUCAACCAUGACAAGCAAUCAUCUCUCUCUAAGUACCCCACAAAUUUUCACUAGUGAGAACUAUCAAAUUUGGUGAGUGAAGUUCAAGUCUUCCUAUGAAACGUAUAAGUUUUUACAACACUUUUUGCAAAUUUUAUAAUUGUCCAUAUUAAAGCACUUUCAAAAGAGCUUUUAGGCAAAAAAUGUUAUUGAGGUUCUUUUUAUGCACAAAACAAAAAGAAGAGCAAAGAUUCAUGUUACAAAAGUAUGCAAAGUUGGAGACGCUCAAAACAAUCCUCAAGCACAAACAACAAAAAUAGAAAUUAAGGAAUAACUUUUUAAAAUUGCAGCAACUGAAGCAAAGGAGUGUUGGAAAUAGUUUUUGUUAUUGCAGAUUUACAGAAUAACAAGUAGUUUAGUUGCAGGAGGAGUAUCUGUUUGAAUUUAAAUUAGUUUAGUUGCAGGAGGAGUAUCUGUUUGAUUUUAAAUUUAAGUUUUGUUGAGAAAGUUUAGGAUUUUGAAUUUUAUUUUGCGGAUUUUCUGUUUUCAGGUUGGCUAUUUAAAGCGCUCGAUGCUUGAUAAAAUUAUUUAGAGACAUUUUCAAAUUGUUCUUCCAAUCUUUUUUGAUGCACGAUCUUUUAAAAAAAAACAGUCUUGCUAUCAUCAGCUAAGCUUUUUCCUUUCAUUCUUUUUAUGACAACUUUUCAUGCUAAUAUUUUCAAUGAAUAUCUAAUUUUGAGUAAUUGAAUCUUCUAUGUCAUUAAUCUCUUUCUUGCUUAAACAAACUUACCAAAGACCACGUGGAACUCAUAGUAAUAUUCCUUUCAUUUUCUUUUGUAGUGCCAAAAUUUCCAAUGCGAAUAGAAGGUGUUAAGGCAUUGAGUUUUAAGGAAUUAGAGGCAGCAACUAACAGUUUUAGUAGUACAACUAUAAUUGGCCAAGGAGGCUAUGGAAAGGUCUACAAAGGUAUUUUGGCAGAGGGCACAACAGUGGCAAUAAAACGCGCACAACAAGGCUCAUUACAGGGGGAAAAAGAGUUCUAUACUGAGAUAGAAUUACUGUCACGUUUGCAUCACCGAAAUCUGGUUUCUUUGGUGGGAUACUGUAAUGAAGGAAUUGAACAAGUAAGAUUCUCCAAACUGGAAAAAUAAUACACAAUAUAUAAUAUAUAUAUAUAUAUAUAUAUUUCUUAUGGUGAUUGUCUCAGUUCAGUAGUCAAAUUCUGAUUGCUCAGUUCUGGUUGAACACCUAGGCCAAAAUUGAAAUUUGUGCCUUGUUGAUCAUUUUGAAUGCCUCGCUGCCAGUGUGCAGAAGCAAUCAAGCAUAACGUCAAUCACCUUCUACAACUUAGAGAAUUCUAUUUGAUAUAAAUCCAGAUGCUAAUGAAAUGACAAGCAUCACAUAAAUGAUAGUUAAAUUGCAGCGCAAAGUUCAUAGACUUAUCUGAUUCUUCUGUUAAAGUAAACUCAAGCUGAAGUCUUCUAAGAUAGUAUUUUCAUCAUAUAUCUUUUUUUGUCACAAAUUUUUAUCACACGUUAAGUGAUUCUAUUUGUGAGAAAAUUCAGUCUACACUACUUAGAUCACUAAAUAUUAAGUUCAACCAGCAUUCCCAUCUAUGAGCCACUCAUCAGUUACAUCCCUUAUACUUGCGUACAUACUCUUGUUGCAUUAGUGAAAUGCAUGUCUUCUGAAAAAUUAAUCAAAUUAUUAAGAGACAGAUGGAAGGAUAAGAAAGGAUAUUAUGUUUUGUAGUUUUCUAUUCUACUUUUGUAAUAGUUGGUUUCAUGUGCAUGUAGAUGUUGGUGUAUGAGUUCAUGCCAAAUGGUUCCUUACAUGAUCUUCUCUCUGGUAUGUGAUGUAUCCUUCCUUCGCUAUGGUGUCAUUUGACUUCCUUUUGUUAGAAUUAAGCACAUUUAUUCUCCUCUUUUCAGUUUUUCUUUCCGGUGUUCUAUUUUUUAUCCAAAAAAGAGAAUGAAAGAUGUCCCUCUAGUAAAGGGACAUCUUAUUCGAUUUUGAAAUCCAAUAUGAAUAUCAAACAGGUAUCUCCAAAAUAAGAUUAUUAAAGAUCUUACUUAUUUUUACAGCUAGAUAUGAGGAACGUCUGAGUCUUGGAACAAGGUUAUACAUUGCUUUAGGUGCUGCCAGGGGCAUCCUCUACCUCCAUACUGAAGCUGAUCCUCCAAUAAUCCAUCGUGAUAUCAAGACAAAUAACAUACUGCUGGACUCCAAGUUCACCGCAAAAGUCUCUGAUUUUGGAAUCUCAAGGCUUGCACCAUUACCUGAUGCUGAAAUGAGUGGAAAUGUAUCAACUGUUGUGAAAGGAACUCCUGUAAGGCUUUACUCGUCUUAUAUGUUGAAGCCUGCAAUAGAAAAUCGCAUUGCAAUAAGACCUGCAACUUAAGCAAUCUAGGUAGCAUGACCACAGACCAGGACUUGAUAUUCUUCAAAAUCAAUGAUAAAACUGGCUGAGAAUAGGGAGAACUUUUCUAUAUUCAUUCUAACAUAUGCAUGAAAUUGUCUCAUUAAAUGGAUCAAAUCUCCUAUCAAAAUAAUUAAUCAACAGUGUGAUAUAUUCAUCUUCUUAAGCACUUCAAUAAUGGACGGUUGACCUUCUUCCACCCUUACGUGUGUUCCCCUCCCCACCUCCAUCGAUCAUUGCAGAAUUUAAACUUGAGUCUACAUCUCACAGUGAAAUUGAUGGACGAAACAAUUGUCUAAAAAAAUGUCUUUUCAGUGACAUGCUUAAGACACAUUUUAAAGGUAGUUACUGUUGAGUCCCACAUUGGUCGGUGGGAGGCAAAUUUGUCUCCAUAGAUUGUCUUGGACAAUCCUCCACUCAUAAGUUAGCUUUUGGGGUUUAGUUAGGCCCAAAAUACAUUUCUUUAUCAUGGUAUUAGAGCUAAGCCAAGUUCACAAGUCAACACACAAGGCUCUUAAGAAUGGUGCCUUGAGUGCUCAAUGGGCACAAAUGUCUUUAUCAUUCCCACAGAUAGCCGACAGGGUAUAAUCAGUCCAUACACCGAGCCUCCAACACUCGUUGGGCGCGCAACUCUCACCUUGAAGAUGUGAGCCGCCCAUAGAGUUUCCUAACUCGUAUGGAUACCAUAGACACUCCUUAGAGAUGCCUAGGCAGGCCCUUGAGGAUCCCCCUCAAGGUUGCUCACUUGGUACGGCUUGAUGCCAGCACGCACGGGGGAGGUUGGCUGAGCAUGCAACACAUCUGCCCCCUUUUUUAUGCUCUAAAGAAAUAAGUCACACUGGAUGAUAUCUUUUGGUAAGAGAAUCAUAAUGGGUAUUUCUUAUUGAUCCGAACUCCAAAGGACAUCGUUUAUUCCUAAAGACUUGUCUUGACAUCCUUCACACCUCCAUGAAGUUUCACACCUCCAUUAACAGCCCAUGUGACGCCUGUAGUCCCAUUUGACUACAAACCAGCAUUAUGUCUGUCCCAAGAUUCAUGGCUUAACCCUGUACCUAUGGCGAAGCUUUGCCUUUGGCGGUGCCGCCUGUUUGGUGUCAUGGCCUUAGCCUUGACUUGUUGACAUACUCCUGUAGAACAUCUCAUAUGUUUGGUCUUGCCAGCGCACCCGGAUUGGCUAUGGACAUAUUAGUCUCUCCCCUGGCACUGAGUGGCACUCUGCGUGCACGGUCUGAUCCUCAAGCUUGACACUUGCCUAGUGCUUUUGCACAAGGCUUGUAUUUUGCCUGAGUAGGGAAACUUUUAUGUUCUUGGUCUUUUCCAUGUGCGUCUUUCAUAAUAUACCCAUGGCUGACUUAUAUCAUUACCAAACAUAGCCCUCGUGACAUACUUCCAUCCCGUAUUGUGCAACGUUGUCCCACAAUUGCACGUCUAGGUCAACAGGCUCUCAAGGCUGAACCCAAGCCAACCUCACAAGUCAACACACGAGGCUCUUAACAGUGGUGCAUGGAGUGCUCAUUCGGCAUGGAGGUCUUUAUCAUUCCCACAGAUAGCCCACAAGGUAUAAUCUGGCCAUACAUCGAGCCUCCAACACUCAUUGGGCAUCAACGCUAGCUCUGAGGUUGUGCACUGCCCAUAGAGUUUCCUAAUGCGUAUGGGUACCUUGGACACUCCUUAGAGAUGCCUAGGCAGACCUUUGAGGAUCCACUUUUAUCAUGGUAUCAGAGCCAACCCACCCAAUGCUUGUUCACCCGAUAUUGGCCCCCACCUUACAGUGUCCAUACUCCAGAUAUCCAAUCCUGGCAAUAUGGGGGGAGGGGAAUUUCACAUCGGUUGGUGGGAGGAAAAUUUGUCUCCUUACAUGGUUUUCGGAAAUCCUCCCCUCAUGAGAUAACUUUUUGGGGUUGAGUUAAGCCCAAGAUACAUUUCUUUAGCAGUUACAUACAUGUAUAUGAUGGUCUAUCAACUUUAUCAUGUGAGACACGACACUGAAAAAAUUCCUUCUCUAGAAGUGCUAGUCUUGUAUGGUAACAAUCUAAAAUCAUGUUUCUCAAAAUCUGGCGAUUAAAUCUUAGUGUUUCCCAAAGCAAAUAUUUGGCAUGGUUAAGACUUGUUGUUUACGGUCAAUAGUAAAUUUGAAUCUUCACUCCAGCCGAAUGCUUUAUGGAAUGAAACCCAUAUGGGUUUGACAGGGAAAAUAUUGGAACUGUGGAAAUGUCUUGCAAACUCAGAAUAUCAUGCCUCAUUGAUUUUAGGGUCAAACAUCAGUCACUCUUAUUUGUGAUUAACAAUGAGUAAAUUAUGAUUUUCAGAUAUCUACUAGUUUAUUCCUAACUAAUCAAAGUUCGAUUCAAUCAUCAAGUUACACUAAUGAGUCUAAUAUAAAGGAAAAAGUAUAAUCUGGGGAUGAUCUUGUUCAAAAUCACUCUAUCUAUGUAUCUCUCUCUCUCACACACACUUGCUUGAUUAUUUUUGUCUUCUUGCCUUUCCUCUUGAGAGUUCAUUCUCUGAAGUUUGAUCAUGAAUACACAUACCAUGAUCCCCUAGUAUUUCAAUAUUGCUUUUUACCUUCUCAAUUAUCUUUCUCUUUGCUUCUCCAAAGAUAGCUGACAGUUGCCAAAAUUUGACACUUGUGUAGGGCUACCUUGAUCCUGAGUACUUCUUUACUCACAAGUUGACAGAGAAAAGUGAUGUUUAUAGCCUUGGUAUUGUAUUUCUGGAGCUUUUAACAGGGAUGCGACCUAUUUCUCAUGGAAGGAACAUCGUCCGGGAGGUACUUGCUUCUUUUUCCCCCCUUAAGUUAUCUUAGCAUGCACUUUGUUCAUGAAGACGGAAAUUUUCAAGGGAACAUUUGAUAGCUCUUGUAGAUAUAUUCGGUGUCUGCUAAUGGAUCUGAACUAAAGCAGUAGAGGGCAUUUGCUUUCAUGAGUUUCAGUUCUUUUAUCGCUUUAAUAAGAACCUGAAUAAAUUCCAAUGUGAUCUAUUUUAUGAAAUUGAGAUACAGCACGAAUCAAUAUAGUUGCUGGGUCCUUAAAACUUUUUUUUUGAAACUGGUAACAUUUGAAUUGAUAUUUGUACUUAGGGAGUACUGGAAGAACCAUAUUUACAACAGAGUAAGGCAAAAAGAAACUGAUCCCGACUCUAGAUGGACCCUAAAACAUCUAAAAUUGACUCAGUCUCAUUAGAGCAAACAUUUGUACACCAAAAGCAGAACAACAAUAUAAAUUCAAGUUUAAUCUCCUGCACAUUGUUGCUCCUAUUUUCGAAAUAUUUGUCAUUCCUCUCUCUCCAUAUAGUACACCAAAUGCAGGCAGGAAUAAUCCUCUAUCUGUGUCUGUUUCUAGCAAUCCUGUUUCUUUCAACUAAAAAGAGUAUCAUCAAUCUUACUAGGCAUUAUCCAUGAGAUGCCUCUGAGAUUGAGGAAAAUCUGCCACAGUUGGUCAGUGACUUUACAGUGUAGGAAGAUAUGUCUAACUGUCUCAACAUCUAUUCCACAUAAAGGACAUAUGUUACACAGUGGAAUUCCCCUCUUUGCCACAUUGUCAAGAGUCAAAGUAGCCUCAUUAGCUAAAAGCCAAGUGAAACAUGCCACUUUGUGUGGCACUUUGGCUUUCCAAAUGUGCUUCCAAGGCCACUUAAUAAUCUGAGCUCUAGUUUGGUUUGUUAGCUUGUAUCCCUCUUUCACCUUAUAUCUGCCUUUGCUAUGCCCAUUCCACCAUAAGCAAUCCUCUCCUCUCCUCUUUGUAGUCCUUGAAAGUUCUCCAAAAACUUACAAUUCAGUCACUCUUGGCAUUUUCCAAUCAUUUAAAUGUCUUCUGAGGACAUAUCUCUGCCAUGUGGUGUCCACAUUUCAGCAACUGUCUAGUGUUGAUGUUGAGCCAAAGCAAAGAUGUCAGGAAAUAAGCUUUGUAAACUAUCAGGACCCAUCCAUUUGUCUAACCAGAAAAAGAGUCAUGUUGCCAUUAUGUACCUUGAUAAUAGAUUGAAUUUUAAGGUGUUAAAUUAGGUCUUAGGCCUAACUCACACUUCAAAAGCUAGUUCAAAGGAAGGAAGAUUGCCUAAGCCUUAUAAGGAAUCCACCCAUCUCAUUAAUCACCAAUGUGGGACUUUUUUGCUUUAACACCCCACCUCACACCCAGUGCUUAGCAUAUGGUGCAUGGGCAAUUUUGGGCAAAUUUUGACCUACCUCACGCCCAGUGCUUAGCAUCUGGUGCGUGGGCAAUUUUUUUUUUUUGGGCCCCAACAUUGGGUGAGAUGGGUCCUGCUCUGAUACCAUGUUGAAGUGUGCGACCAUCUCAUCUAAAAACUUAAGUUUUUAGAUGAGAUGGUCGCACACUUCAACAUGGUAUUAGAGCUGGCACAGUAACUGGGAUCCAAUAUCACCGCCACCCAAAAUUAAAAAGAAUUUCACGUGCUUGGCCCAUGAAAAAGAAUCAGGCCCGCACGUGAGGGGACGUGUUGAGAAUAUCAUUAAAUAAUAAAAGUGUGUUUUCACUAACAGUUUAAGCUUUUAGAUGAGAUGAUCACACACUUCAACAUCAAAAAUUGCCACGCACCAUAUGCUAAGCACUGGGCGUGAGGUGGGGUGUUAAAACAAAAAGUCCCACAUUGGUGAUUAAAUGAGAUGGGUGGACUCCUUAUAAGGCUUGGACAAUCCUCCUCCCUUUGAGCUAGCUUUUGAAGUGUGAGUUAGGCCUAAGACCUAAUUUAACAUGGUAUCAGAGCAAGAUGGAUCUCCAAAGACUAGCACCAUAAGGGAUAGUGACGUCUUUAGUUACCCAAUUGUCCAGCUCCCCAUACCUGUUCUUGAUGACAUUACACACCAUAAAGCUUGAGUCUCCUGUGGGUAUCUCAAUAGCCAUUUCACCUUAAGAGUUUUGCUCUAGUCCUUAAGGUUCUUUAUGCCUAAUCCACCCUGUCUUUUGCUUCUGAUAAUAUUCUUUCAUUUGACGAGGUGGUUAUCUUUCUUCUCCUUAUUACCUUGCCACAAAAAAUCUCUCCUGAUUUUAUCCAACCUUCAAACCACUGUAUGAGGUAUAUGAAAUAGGGACAACAUGUAAGUUGGUAGAGCAUCUAGGACAGAGUUUAUCAAAGUUAUUCUACCUCCCAGUGACAAAUAAUAUGAUCUCCACCUGGACAAUCUCUUCUUACAUUUCUCCAAAAUUGGGUUCCAGAUAUCUAUGGAUCUUGACUUUGCUCUCAAAGGCAUGCCAAGAUAUGUUGAUGGCAAUGUGCCUACCACUCCAUCUAGAAUUUAUGAUAGGUGCUCCAUAUUUGGGACCAAAUUAAUUGGAGAAAGGUUGGUAAUGAAGUAGAGAAAGUUGUUAUAGCCCAACCCUUAAUUCUUACCGUAGAAUGUGUUGGUUUUUUUAUAAAGAAAUUAAGAAAAUAGCAGGGAAAGACUUUGAGAAAAAAAUACUGCGGAAUUGUCAAAGGGAAUUGUUUUAUUAAUAAUCUAGAGACUUACAUUUAUAGAUAUAAUUCCCAACUAAAAAUAGAAAAAUACGUUACUAACUUAUCAGUUUAAUUCAAAUAACAAAUAAAAAGAACUAACUCCUAAAUUCAAAUCAAAUAGGACUCUAAUAACAUAAUUUGAAAAUCCUAAAAAUAGCUAAUUGUUUUAUUUCUGCAAUAUUCUGAGACAUAUUCUCAACACUCCUCCUUGGAUCAGGUAUUGUAAAUUGUAGUCUCAUCUGAAAUUGACUUUGUGAACAAAUCGCCAAUUUAGCUUUUGUCUUGCAAGGCUUGUGUGCAUCUUCUGUUGGAUUAAAUGAGAAGCUUUUACCUCUCAUUUCAACUUGUAAAAUCUGUUGCUUAGUAGAAUCAAAGAUUCGACAAUAUUUGUCUCCAAAUAAUAAUUUAAAUCCUUUUUCUAUUAAUUGACCAACACUAAACAAAUUUUUAUCAAGAGGCACAUAAAGAACAUCUGAAAUUAUUUUUGUACCUGAAUUUGUUUUAAUUGCAACAGACCCUUUUCCUUUUGCAGGAAUACAAUCACCAUUCCCAAUUUUGACUUUCUUAUUUUUCAUAGGAAUGAACUCUUUAAAAAGAUUUCUUUCAUAUGUCAUAUGGUUUGUGCAACCACUAUCAAUCAUCCAAAUAUUGAUUGCAGAUCUUGCAUUGUGCUGGUCUCUUCCAGCAUUUAUAUGGAGGAUGUCCAUUUUUACCACAAUGCUGAUAAGGUGGAUAAUUAUUCAAAUAUUUACCCUUGCUUUGAGUUUUGUGGUUGGCUACUAGUGCUCCUUCAACCAUACCAUCUUGCCUCAUAAGCCUCCUUUGUUCCAAAGAAUUUAACAAUUCUGCCAAGUAAUUUUGGACAGAUCUUGUAUGUUUUCCAAGGUAGUUAUACAUGCUUUAUAUCUUUCGGGCACUGUAACAAGAACUUUUUCAACAAUUCUUGUAUCUUUAGAUUCACUGCCUAGUAAUCUUACCUUAUUUACAAUACCAAGCAAUCUGUCAGAAUAUUCCUUAUCUAUUUCUGACUCUUUCAUUCUCUGCAAUUUGAAUUUCCUCAUUAAAUUUAAUACCUUCAUUCCUCGUAUUCUUUCAUCUCCAGCAUAUUCUUUCUUCAGAUAAUUCCAAAUUUCUUUUGGUGAUGUGAGAGUCAUGAUUUUCGUUAAAACAGUUGUCGAAACAACAGCAAACAAAGUUGCUUUUGUCUUGUACUUAAUGGUUUUCUUUUCCUUGUGACUCUUGAUUUGAGCCAUGGUUGGAUUAUUUGGCAGCCGAUUAAUUUCAUAAUCCUUUUCCGCGGCUUCCCAAAGAUUAAGAGCCUCCAAGUAGGUUUCCAUCCUCAAAGCCCAUAUUUGAUAAUUCUCACCAUCAAAAAUAGAAGGAGUCAUUCGUGAAAAACUAUUUUCGGAAUCCAUGUUUCUACUCACAAGUCCCUCAAGAAGAAGGCUCUAGAUACCAAUUGUUGGUUUUUUGAUAAAGAAAUUAAGAAAAUAACAGGGAAAGACUUUGAGAAAAAAAUACUGCAGAAUUGUCAAAGGGAAUUAUUUUAUUAAUAAUCCAGAGACUUACAUUUAUAGAUAUAAUUCCUAACUAAAAAUAGAAAAAAUACGGUACUAACUUAUCAGUUUAAUUCAAAUAACAAAUAAAAAGAACUAAAUCCUAAAUUCAAGUCAAAUAGGACUCUAAUAACAUAAUUUGAAAAAUCCUAAAAAUAGCUAAUUGUUUUAUUUCUGCAAUAUCCUGAGACAUAUUCUUAACAAAAUGCUUAGGGAUGAGUUCCCAAAGUUGGAUGUGUUGACAUGAAAUGUUAUGACAGCUAGAAAUUGAGAUCAGCACAAAUAACAUGUCCAUUGUCUUAAUAGUAUCCAGUAAGUGUUUGACCUAAAUAAAAAUGGUGAAGUCCUCAAUGUUUAAGCUGAUCCACAACUAGUACUAUCUCGCCAGCCUAGAAGACGAGCAAUGGCAGAAAAUCAGAGUUCGAGAUCAACACCUAUGUGAAUCAGACAUUUUGAAUUAAAGCUCAAACUAUUUAGAAGUUCGAGGAAAAACUACAAUCAAAAGAAAAAACUGUUGAACUCUCCAAAUAGUUAAAGUGUCAUUCUUUUUGGGAAUGGAGGGAGUAAGAGAAGUUACUUUUGUACUAAUGACAGGUGAAUGCAGCAUGCCAAUCAGGGAUGAUGUCUUCUGUAAUAGACAAGAGUAUAGGUCCAUAUUCCUCAGAUUGUGUCAAGAAAUUCCUGGAUUUGGCCGUCAAGUGUUCACUGGAUGAACAACAGGACAGACCGUUUAUGCUGGAGGUGGUGAGAGAGUUAGAGAACAUCACUUACAUGCUUCCAGCAAUUGACAAUAAUAAUAUUGCACUGGAUUUAGAUGUUUCCACAUCACCAACUUCAGCUAAUUCCAGACACACUACAACCUACACGACUAUGGAAGGAACUGAGCUUGUGAGCGGUGUCAUUCCCUCCAUCAGGCCUCGUUGAUGUUUUUAAGGACUUGCUAUAUACCCUUUAUUUGCCUACAUGUUAAUGGUGAAAGUUCUGAAGUAUUAGAAGUUCAGUAUUAGUAAGUCUGAGGUAUGUGUGUGUAUAUAUAUAUAUAUGUGCAGUUUGAAUCAAUUCUGAGAGGAUAAAAAGACUUGUAUAUAUUAUCAUGAUAUUGUUGUUCCAUUCAGAAGAGAAGUGAUUUUAUCAUUUCAUGUAAGAGUUUUUAAAUGAUUACAGAAAACAGUUUGUUUGUAGUAAUCAAUUACUGAAAAUAUUACCAAAAGAAUGUGCUCUAAAAUUUCAUGUUAUUGAACUGUUUUAUUCAUCAUUUUUAUUUUUAUUUUGUUUUAGAAAUACGAUAGAUUUAACGUCUAAUUAUUUAUUACACAACAAUAACAUACCCGGUUUAAUUAUUUAUUACACAUAAUAUGAGAAUGAUAAGGUUAGGGAGAACUCAUAUAAGUACAACUCAUACACAUACAUUGCAGUAGAAUGACCAAUUUUAACUUUGUAAAUCUGUAGCCCAAAAACAUUAGGCCUAGGUUCGGAAAAAAGAGCAUUUUCUGUUGUUCUUUUUCAAAUAUUCAAGUGCAAAGUUGGAUCAAUUUCCAUUUUUCUCUUUCAUGUUCGUAUACAUUCUUAUAGAAUUUUUUAGCAAAUCCAUAAAUAAUACAACUUGAAAAUCUUUUUUGAAAAAAUCUUCUCCAAGUUCCAAAUAGUAUAAAAUCAAAGAUAAAAUAUUUAAAAAUUGUUGCAACUUCGUGAUUUGGCAUAGAGAUCAACAAGGAAAGUCGAUUAAUACAGAUUGUUCGAGAAAAAGUAAGAAAACAUACAAAAAGUAGUUUUUGACUUCACAUGUGGAGUACACGUAUAAUGAUUUAUAACUUUGUAUAAACUUGUAUAUAAAAUGUAUAAAUAAUAUAUACAGGAAAAUAUUUAUAUAUUGAAUAAAUACACAUUAUACACUCACUAUAAUUUUGUAUAAUUAUAUAUAAUGUUGAUAUGGAAACUAGAUUUCAUCUUCAACUUUGUUUUUCAACUAGUAUGAUUUUCAAGAUCAACUUUUCUCAAACAUUCAAACUUCAUCGCCAUAACAUAUUCUAGAGUCAAGUUCUGCAAGUUUUUUCAACAAUUAAAAUUUCAUCAAAUAGUUUUGAGUAAUAUUUUCCAUAUCUCAUUCUUGUAGUUAGUUUUGAAAUCCUUUUCAUUUUUCUCCAUCAUUUUUUCUCAUUAAACUUUUGUUUUAAAUUUCUCUUCAACUCACGAAGAACUGAUUCUGUCAUAUUUGGAAAUAGCACUUCUAUUUCUCAUUUUGACUGGUGCAAUUAAAGUUGCACCAAACUCUUACCACUUCAUACUCCUGCUUUCAAGUUCAAUCAUCCUCUUGAAGAAUAUAGUAUUAUAGUCUUCAUCAUUUGUAAAACUCGUGAAGACAUUGAACUUAUCAUAGACAUCAAUCUUCACACUUCAUUCUAGAGAGAAUUUUUCAGAAAAUCGAGGUCUAAUUGUGUCGAUUUAGGGUCGACUUUUCAAGAAUCUGCCAACAAUUGCUCUUUUACACCGACUUGCUUGUACUAAAAAAAAAUUACACAAGCAUACCAAAUUAUUGCAGAGGGGAAACAUGUUGAAAACGACUAAGGCAGCAGAGAGAUUAUAUCAACAUCCCAAAUUUUGAAAUAUUGCCAUAGCAAACAUUGAAUAUGUGGUGAGCUACCUAAAUCUGAACAAAUGAACAAGCUUGAAAGAAAAUGAAUACAAUUGUUAACCUAUCUACCAAGUUGUGAAUAUUACAGCGGUUUGACAAUGUGGUUGAUUCCUAUUCAAGCUUCUUAAAAGAAUACUGUCAACAUCUGGGCACUCGUGCUCAUUUAAAAAUUCAGCAACAAAUGUCUUCUGCAAUGUCUUAGGUAUAUAACCGUAGCACUGCAAGACCAACAGCCGAGAUAGAGACAAGAGUACCUAUACAGUAUUUAAUCACUUCAUAUUUUGCAGCUUCAAUUUGCGCCCUCAAUGCAUGAAUUUCCUAUAUAUGGAUCAAGCAAGAGAAAAAGAAAAGAUGUUCACAAGAUGCAUUGAGUUUAAAGAACGUUCAUGCUCAAAAUAUACAAGAUCCA